AAUUUUAAAACUUCAAAUAUAAAAUUAAAAUCUAAAAUUAAAAUUAAAAUUUUUAUUUUAAUUUAAUUUUAAUUUUGAAUCUAAAAUUAAAAUAACAAUUUAAAGUUUGAGUCUAAAAUUAAAAUCAAAUUUAUUUCAAGAAACAGGUUUAGCUACUUCUGAUUUUGGGCUUUAAAAAUCAGAAAAUUGAUUCUGAAAAUCAGAAUCAAAUUUUGAAGACGAAGCUGUCAAACGCUUUAUUUAGCCGAAAAUUAAUUUUGGAACCAAACUCACUUUUUAUAGUUAGGCCAAAUACCCACUAAGUCUCUUCUAACAAUUAUUUUAUCUUAUUUUUUUAUUGUUCCCUACUCUGCCCCUCGCUGCUCACUCACUAGUCGCUACUGCUCCAUCACCGAAAAAUCUACUAUAUAUCAGUCACAUCACAUUAUUCAUAAUCAACUAAUUAUAUUUUCUUUUAGACAAAAUUAAGUAUAAUAAAAAUAAUUUUCUAAAAACUAUGAUAUGAUGGAUAAAUCUCAUGAGUGCAUUUUGAUUGACUGAAGAUACCACGUCACUAAUAUGACAGUUAUAUUCUAAACUUUUUCUCUGCCACGCACGCCUCACCACUGUCAGUCGGAUAGUCUCUCUCGCACCCCUCUCCCUCCUCUCUGCACAUGCCCGCCCCUCGCAAAACAAAAAAAAAGAAAAAAUAAAAAAAAGAGAGGAUGUUGCAAUAAAUUUGUCAUAAUUUCAGACCAAGCAGGAUCGGACUAUGCUGCAACUCCGGAAGAAAUUCAUCUUCAGUAUUUAAUUUCGACCCAAAUUAUCAUAGAUCUAACUCAAUCUACAAAAUAUUUAAUUAAUAAUCAAUUAUUCACUCAACUGGAGUCAUUAAUUAUCCAAUAGCAAAGUCAAAAUGUGUUAUAUAUUAAUGGCAAAAAUGUAUGGAGACCCCCUCAGACUAUAGGUCAUUUUGAUAUCGCUACGUCAGUUUUAACAUUUCUAAUUACUGAGACCUUUAUUUCUAACUUUUAUUUUAUUUUUUUUGUAAUCAAGUCUUGUAAUAUAUUUAGUUGAAAAUUUUAUUGAAUUGAAUAGCUUUAUUAGUUGUUAAUAAUUGAUUUUUCUAGAUUUAUUUGCCAAAAAAUAAUUAAAAUAAUUAAAUUCGAUAAAAUUCUUAUUUUAGUCGACUGGAUUACUUAGUUUUAAGACAUUGAAAUUUGAGGGUUUUUAUAUACCAAAACCUUAAAAGAGUCGUUGUUGAAAUUUAUUAGAGAAUACCGAACUAUAUAUAAUGUAUUACCGAACUUUAUUCAGAUUGGCAUGAUCUAUUCAUUCAAAAUCAGUAAGAAUUUUGACAAUUGAAACUUAACUAUAAUAAAAUAUAAAAAUUAGGAUAUCACAAUAAAAAAGAAAAAAUACUAAGCCUAAAAUGCAAAAGAGAAUUACAGAAAUUUCAACUCUCGUCUAGUAGCAAUCGUAAUCGAUCUCUCCUUUCGGACUUUAAAGUUAACAUUUUGUGAAUUUUAGUAUUAAAAAUAUAGAAGUUGACAAGACUAGUACUGGAGGAACCAUGAGCUUUUAAUUAUGAUGGAGCUGUAAGAUUACAACCCUUAGCGCUACGCAAAAAAAUAAAAUAUUGGGAACCAAAGUUAGAAAGGGUAAAAGUUAGGGAACCUUGAUGCAAUUAACUCUAUGCAUAUGUAUAUUAGAAGGUUCCAGGAAUCAAGCCGGUCCGGUCACGUGACCGAAGCUUCGCUUCAAAAUUUGACUCCCCCACUCUCUACUCUCUACUCUCUCUCUCUUUCCACAUUGACUUCAUCAAUUGUCAAUUUCUUCUUCUUCUUCCUAGCAAUUUGACCGCCCGUUAUUUGUCUCCAUCUCACAACAUGCUAUUAUUGCACUCACACCACUUCUCUCUCUAGAACCUUAAUUACUACUACAGCAACAAUCAAACAUGAUGCGUCAUCUCUCUCGGCGAAGGGAAGUGUCGCCGCCGCCGCCUCCGACGCGGCUCCUCUCGUGGCUCGCGGUGGCGGUUCUCGUGCACUCGGCCCUCCUCCUUCGCUCCGCUGUGCUCACGGAGGGCGCCCGCGCGGGCCCCUCCUCCGUCUUCCUCGACCUGGCCCCGCUCGCGAUGCCUCCGGCGGCGUCUGGUCGUCGGAGCGGCGCCCGCAGCCGUGGGGUCGGAGACGAGCUCGUCGGCGACGAUAAGAGGCGCGUACCCACCGGCGCGAAUCCUCUUCACAACAGAUGAUGAUGAUGAUGAACUCUACAUUACAUAUGGUGCUCAACUACUACGAUUUCCGUACGUCGAAUGUAUUCCAUGCACAUAGCUUCAUGCAUCUCUUUCUUUUCUUCUUUUUUUUUUUUGUUGUUUAAUUAAUAAACUUGGUUUGUGUUCCAUGAAUGCACAUUAAUAGAUGAGAGAUCAGAAGACGACGAAGAAGACGGUGAGUUAUGAAGAUUAAAAUCGACGAAUAUUGAUCUUCUAGUUUAUUGUAUUCUUCUCCAUGCAUAUAUGUUGAGAUCUUUAACUUCAGCGCAUGUCGGGGGAAGAGAAUUGCAAAUGAAUUAAGAAGAUGAUGGAAUAACAGGCAUUGAUUUGUCGAAAGAUCGAGUUUUCCCAUGUUGUAAUUUUCCGUUGUAAUCUUUUCUUAUAUAUUAGUUUGUUUGAAAGAAAGAAAUCUUUAAAUGGUCUUGAUGUGUAACUUGAUCUUACAAUAAAGCUAUGUGGAUGAUGCUUUUAUUUGCGCACGAGUAAUGCUUUUUGAAGGCUCAUUUUAUAUAUGAUGUAUAUAUUAUCUCUUCCUCAAAUAUUUCUAAUAUAUAUUGAAUUUUACUAUGAGUUUGGUUCCACAUGUAAUAUUAAUUUAGCGGAGAGAAUUGGUAUCAGACUAUUAGAACCUAUGUACUUCGCAUGGUCUAAACUUUUGAACUGAAUAAGUUUCUAAAGAUAUCUACGUAGUAUACCCGCAAACCUAUGCGUAUUUUGACUCUCCCAACAUGUACACGUACGCCUUAUUUCAUUAAUUAAAGCACACAAUUUUUAACCAGAUGUAGAGAUUUGUAUAUAUAUAUAUAGCUAGUCAUUAAUUAAUUAAUUAAUUAAGCUCUUCUAGCAGUGUGUGUUUUUUGUCUACUUUUUCUUUAAUUUGGAUUUAUCUACCUUUUCCCCUCUUCCUCGGCUAAUUAAACAAUAAACAAGAAAAAAAAAAAAAAGAAGAAGAGAUUUUCAAAAAAAGAGAGAGAGAGAGUCCCUAAAAUACAUAUCGACUCUUGCAACCAUAAAUGCAUGGACACAGAAAUUAACAAGAGAAAUUUAGAAAGCAAGGUACGUGUGUAGCUCUCCCGACCACAAGAGUUAGGACUUCUAAGAGUUAUUAGGCUUAGUUUAAUCCAAAGCUUUGGAGUUAGGGUUUUUGGUCAAUUGUUAUAUCAAACAUAUACUAGCUAGUUGAAACUUUAAUAAAAGAAUAGCUAUAAUAUAUAGUACAAGACUAGCUAGUAGUAGUAGCUGUUGUUGUUGCUGCUGUUAUUUUGGAUUAUACUAAGCAGGUUUAAAAAUUGCUUAUCAGCAUCUUAAUUCUAUCAUUUCUUAUUUUACAUAACCUGUUCGUAGAACAUAAAAUCCAUAAACUUCUUUUUUUCUCUUUUUUUUUUAAAAAAAAAAAUUUAACCAAUAGGUUUUGUUAUUCAAAAGGUCAACUAGCUAGGCAGUCAAAUAGGUAGCAGAUCUACAACCUCACGGAACAGGAAAAAGUUUAGAUUUGACUGUGAUAUCAUAUUACCUGCAAAAUUGAUUCUUGUAAGAAACAAAUCUAGAAAUAUAUAUAGGCUUUAUAUUUAAAACUUUGAAUCUGGUUUUCACAGAAGCUAGCUACAUAUAACUCUAUAAUGAUGGAUUGAUAAUUCACUAGCUUUGGUUUGAUACAAGAAUACACAACAAAAAUAAGGAAAUUCAAUUUUAGUGAUAAUUAUCUACGGUUAUUGUUAGUGCUUUCUCUUGUCUUAUGUGAAUUGUCUAUUUAUAGUAGAUCUGAAGCCUAUGUAUAUACUGCAAUUUACUAUAAAAGAAAAAAAAAAAGCACUACUAACAAUUAUUGACAAAAUUAACUAGAAAGCUCUAAUUUCUAACUAUAUAAUAUUUGUACUUAAUUUUGAAACCUAUAAAAGUAUGUUUUAACUAUGAGUAUUUCUAAAGUAAAAUAUAUAUUAUUCAAAGUAUUUAAAUAUUUUACUAUUUUUGGGAAGCAGGGCCAAACAUGUUGCCUCCAAAAGCGGGCGCGUCGCCUCAAGAUCCACAACACCUAUUUUCAAAGAAUGCCACGCUAGAUUCUAUUCACGUACGUAUAACGUAGUUUUAUACUUUUAUGUACGUACGCUUCGGUUCUUUUGCAUAGUUAUCCUUCCAAAUAUAAAUAUUUAUAUAAGGUUGGUGUUUAUUUGUGGCAUAUAUAUGUAUAACUUUAAAAACCUUAUGUCGUUGCCGGAAUAUUUAUGCAAAAAAAUAAUUAUGUCGUACCAGGGCGUGCGCAAACCAAUGAUGUUCACAAAUAAAUAGGGUUAAUUACAUUAAUGGUCCCCAGCCUUUUCACCAAUUUUCACUUGGGUCCUCAAUCUCUUUUUUUUUGCAAUUGAGUCCCUAACCUCUUGAUUUCAUUUCAAUUAAGUUUCAGCUGUUAAAUAUAUGUUAAAAUUGACAGAAAAUACCACAUGUCAGCGCCACGGAUGCGACAUGUCAACGCCACGGUGGCGUUGUGUCAGCGGAUUGUAAAAAAAAAAAAAAAAUUGGGGACCAAAUUGAACGACGCUGACAUGGCGCCACCGUGGGGUCUCCAACCUUUUUUUUGCAAUCCGCCGACACAACGCCACCGUGGCGUUGACAUGGCGCCUCUGUGGCGCUGACAUGGUGCUGACAUGUGGUAUUUUCCGUCAAUUUUAACACAUAUUUAACGGCUGAGACUUAAUUGAAAUAAAAUCAAGCUAUUAGGGACUCAAUUGCAAAAAAAAAGAUUAGGGACCCAAAUAAAAAUUGGUGGAAAGAUUGGGAACUACUGGUGUAAUUAAUCCUUACAAAUAUAUGCACGUAAUUGUACAAUUUCACAUAUUUGUAAGGAAUAUAUAUGAAAAAUAGGCCUUCAUACUUGAGAAAUUAUACAUGUUAAGUUCACGACUAAAAAAAAUUGUAUUCUCUACAGCACCUUGUCUAGAGGUUGUAGAGUUUAGCAACCCUUUUUUCUUUUUUAAUAAAAGAAAACGUGUGAUAAGAUAAGCCCAAAAAAAUAGGCUUUUGGACAACGCGGGAGUCGUAGGAUACAACCCAAAUGGGUUGUAAACCUAACACUCCUUUUCAUACUUAUUAGAGUAAACUUCAAAUAUUAUUUCUGUUGUUUCACACUUUUUCACUUUAGUAAUCUAUAGUUUAAAGUGUAUCAAGUUGGUGUCCUGUGGUUUUAUUUUAUCUUUUUGUCAGCUUUUUCGUUAAUAUUUCGUUAAAUUAUAUACAAAAAAACUUCAGAUACCUCACCUAGGUUUAUUGAAUAUUCACUUUAAUACUCUUUAGUUUUAACUUUGUCACCGAUUUAACGAAAAAAAUUAGUGAAAACGAUAAUAAAAAGAUAAAAAUGAAACCACAGGAUACUAAAUUGAUACACUUUAAACCACAGUGUAGUAAAGUGAAAAAGUGUGAAACAACAGGGGUGGUAUUUGAAGUUGUCCCUUAUACUUCAUGCAGGCAUCUAAAUUUUAGAUAUUUGCACUUAGACCCCCUAUAUUUAUAAAUAGCUCAAUAGCUCCUCUCUUCGAUUGAGAAACUAAUUAGAAGAGUUGAAGGGUUAGUGUAAGGAAGAGUUGAAGUUUAGAUGGUCUCUGUACAUUUUUUUCUAUACAUUUUUUUUUUCCAAAAAUUAAAUUACCAUCACACAAUUUGAAGCGGAGGAGUCUCCGUACACCAUUUGGGAUUAUAGAAAGAUUGUAUUACAUGUAGUGAGAAAAUACGAAAGAAAACUACUAUAUUUAUGUUUUUUGUACGCAUGUAAAAUCACAUUGCAGUAUCACAAAGAGUAGGUUGUAAUAUAUAUUUUACGAUACCACCUAAAAUAAAGAAGAAUAUUUCCAUAUACUUUCAUCUCAACUCUAUUUUACCUAUUUUAGUCUUAGAUGACUCUUAAUAGUAUCAAACUGACUAUUUUUAUAAGGUGUCCAAUCGUACUCCAUUUCCAUCCAGUCUUAAGAAUGCAAACCAGACCGACCGUCCCUGACGCAAGUGGCAAAUUACUUGAUGGUUGGUAUCCGAGGUUUCAAGUUCGAAUCCUAAUUAAUUCAUAUUUUCAGCUAAGUUUAUUUCUAAAUGAAAUAAACAAAACAGACAGUAUGUACACUAUCUAUCUCUCUAAACAAAAAAAAAGAAUGCGAACCGAGCAGAUUUAGGGGCGGGAGCCUAUUUUCUUGACGAGUCAGCCUAAUUCGCGACUGGUUGACUUUUAUCUUCUGUUUUUUUGUCCCCACUUAUCAUUUCAUUUGGAGCGGAUCAGGACGGGUUAAAAGAAGGAAGGAGUUCUUGAACUUUUACUCAUUUUGUUAGCUGAUGGGGAUAAAUUUGGGAUCAAUUAUUUUUUUUUUUCUUACUUUUGGUGCCUACUUACAGUCUUAUUUGGGACAAAUCAAGGCGAGAGCUCCAUCAACCCAGAUCCAUUUGCAUUCCACGAACCCAGCUGGUAAUCAUCAUCAUGAGGUUAAUAAGAAUUGCAUAGGAAUCCGCUCACUUGUUAAUUUUAGCUUCCUCCGAACGCUACACGAAGCUCUAAGAUUCCUAACGCAUUAUAAAAUAGUAACCACGAUUAAUUUAAUAUAUGAUGUGGUUUAAUUACUUAUAAAUUGAUUUUUGGUUAAAUUUACGAAGCAAUUAUAACUGUUUAUGGGUAAUGAGGCGUUGAAUGUCUGCACCAUGCAUUAAUUGCCACGUGAUGUGGACUUAGUUUAUCGUACGUAGUUUUGACUCUUUAUUAAUUAAUUAAGCUGUGUACUUACCCUCUUAAUUAAAGUGUUUGUUUAUUGGGGCCUAAUUAAAUGCAUUUAAAUUAUUUAAUUGAACUUUCAUCCGUUUGUACAUGGUUUUUUAAAAUUUAAAAAUAUAGUACUUGUUGUAAUUUUUUUUGUUUUUUCAAUUGAUCAUAGAGGCCUAUAUUUCAGUACAAUUUUAACUAAUUAAAAAUACCCCAAAGAUAAAGAAACACCACGAUAGUUUUUGAUGCCAAAGUUUAAGUUUGCAGUAAAGAAUCAUGUUAUAAUUCAAUUGUUAAAAAUUCGAUGUAACAACUACAAUUGCUUCAUUAAAAGUAUUUUUUGAUAGUAAUUAAAAGAUAAUUUAAAUCACUAGCGCGUUUCUUUUACUAUUAAUUUAUUGACUAUUUGGCUACUAUUAAUUAUUUUAAAUUAAUAAAAUAUGGAUUUAAAUGGUUAAUUAUAAAAGUUUAAAAAAUUGAAUGAUAAAUAUUGAGAAUUUUUUUAGUUUAGGUGGUUGUCGCAACUCGCAAAUGAGUAAAAAAUCAUAUGAUUGUAGAGUAUUUACCCGUUGCUUACUGCUUUGUUGAAAAAGAGAGUUUUUUUAAUUAAAGUACUCAACAAUAAGGAGCUUACUUCUAUGAUAGCUAGUCUAUACCAAAUUUAAUUCGAAUCCGAAUCCGAACCAAGUAGAUUUACCUGAUAUUAAAUGAAUAUAGUUUCAAAUAAGGAUAUUAAAAAUAAAAAUCCGACAAAUUUGAAUUCAUGUAUGGAUUUUGAUCGUAUCUGAUCAGAAUCGGAAACCGACCUAAAUUCAACCCAAACCCUAAUUUAUUUUGUAAAUGUUUAAUUUAUAUUUGAACUUAUAUUUUAAAAAUUUAUAUUUAAUGUAAUAUAUUUUGAAAUAAGGUUAAUUUUAUACAAGUCUCUGCAAACAUGAUGAAUAACAGAUAUAUCCCUGCAAAGUUCAACUUUCAUAAGUUAUCCCUGCAAAAGUCCUAAUGUAUCCAGAUAUAUCCAUACCGUUAAUAUCUGUUAAAAAAAUCUAGUUAACCACAGCUAAAAUACUUAAACAUGAUUAAUUAAUAAUGUGAAUUGACAAUUUCGCCAUUCUUCCUCUUCCUCUUCCUCUUCCUCUCCUGCUUCUUCUUCUUCCUCUUCUUCUCCGUAUCCUCCUUUUCCGCCUCCUUUUCUCCUCAUUCUUCUUCUUCUUCGUUGUCGUCGUCGCCAUCAUGGUUCCCGCGUGGGCCAUCGUCACGGGCAUCUCCGACGGCACCGGCCUCGCCUUCGCCUUCUGCCUCUUCCUCAUCCUCGUUGGCCCCAACCCCGACAAGCUCCGCAAGGUCGCCGUUGCCACUGCCGCUGUUCGCUCCCGCAGCCUAAAGAGGAAAAGGAAGAGUGCAAGGGCAAAAGUGUCAUUUCACAAUUUUAUUGUUAAAUUAACAGUUUUCUAAUAGAUACUAACCAGAGAGACUUAUCUGAAUACAUUAGGACUUUUGCAGGAAUAAUUUAUGAAAGUUGAACUUUACGGGGAUAUAUCUGUUAUUCAUCAUGUUUGUAGGAACCUGUAUGAAAUUAACCCUUUGAAAUAUUGAAAAGAGAAAUAAUUAUUUCGGGUUCGGAUCUUCGGAUUCUGGCUUAGGUUCAGAUUUCAAAUUUUUAGUCGGAUUCGGAUUUAAAUAUAGAGUUUUAAAAUCCGUCGAAUUCGGAUUCGAAUUUAAAUUUCGAAUUUGAAGUCAAGUUCGGAUUUGAAUUUUUAAAAAUCCACCUAGAAUCCAACCCGUUGACGUCCCUGGCCAUAGCAGAAGGUAUAAUAAAUAGGGUAAACUAAGUUCAUCUAUGUUGGGCUGUCAAAAGUAAAGUUUCAUUGUUCUGUCCACUAGGAAGUUGGAAGCACAAAUUUUACAGGGUAAAAUUCAGUCUUCACAUGGUUUAGCCUAUUUUUACUUUAUUAUUUUAUAAUUUUAAAAAAUAUCUAUACUUAAUUAUUUUAUAAUUUUAUUUUUAUCUCAUUGAAAAAUUCUGCAAGCAAAUAAAAUAGUAAAAUAAUUUUUUCUAAAAAAAUCACAUGAAAGUACCCUAUUUAAUUAUAGGUUCUUAUACUAAAAUAAAAAUAAAUCCACAAAAUAGUUAAACAUAAUUUUUUGAGCCACGGGGUGUCAAAGUAAAAAAAAUGUUAUAUAUCAUAGGAUAGUUAAUUGCAACUUUUGAACCGUAGGGUGACAAAGUAAAAAUAUGUUAAACCACAAUGAGACAAAUUGAAGUUUACCUAAUAUUAUGUUAUGCAAAUUAUGGUCUAAUUUAGCAUCUGUAAUCUCCCGCUUCCCACGAAUUCACUUAUUCUAGAAUUAUUCUAGUCUAUGCUUUCUCAACCCUUUUAACAUCUUGAGCUUAAAAGUUCUAAAGAUGCCAAGAUCAUAGAACUUAUAAUUUUGUAACUUUUGAAUAUACUUUUUUCGCCAUUAGAUCAAAAAUAAACAAUAAUGAUUACUUUUGAGGCCCGUCAUUGUGCACGAUUCAAGAACCGCUACAAUCGAUCCAAUGGCCAAAAAAGACUAUAACACCAAUACCUUUUUACUUCUAAAAUUAAAUACCGUAGUCGUUCUCUACAUGCACACACCCAAAGAUAAACGCUCUAGUACUAAUAAUUAAGCUUUAAGUUUUUUUAGAUCAGUGUUACAAGGCCCAACAAUUGCACGAAGUACUGGGCUAGAUUAGUACACAUGGUACGCAUAGUUUAGUAAUUCGAAACUAUGGUAUGAUCAAACUUGAUAAUAAUGUUGGUGUUUAACGACCAAAACGAAGAAAGUUUACAUACAACACCUCAAUAAUUCCUAAUUAGACAGAAACGAAUUGUAUUUAAGAUGAAAGAUGAAUUAAGAUUUCUAUUAAUCUGGCUUAAAUGAUUUAACAGAUACCAAUAGUAGAGUUAUUUUUAAAUAACAGAAAAUAUAAGAAAUAUAUAUUUGAACUAAAAAAAAUAAAAAUAUAUAAAAGAUAUUUUAGAAGUUUUGUAGUAUAUAUAUUAGAUAUUAUCCUUAGGGCCCGUUUGGUUCGAGUUAUGUAAUAUUACAAAGUAUCUCGACAUAUCCAGGCAUGUUGGAUUUCGGCGUGAGAUUAUUACUAAUGCUGUAUUAAAGCGUUUGAUUUAAUACAGUAAUGUAAUACUAGAUUACAGUGUUUAUAGUAUUAAUAUAUUUGGUUCAGUUUAUAAAAUUUAGUAAUCCUGAUAUAAAAGUAUAGUUUUUUUCAAAAUUGCCCAUAUUGUAGUCAUUUGAAUAUUGAUUUUUGCGGAAAUAACAAAUGUAGAGAAGGAGAUCGUGAUGAUUAUUUGGGAGGACGACGCAAUAGAAGAUGAUAGGUGUUCGUGCGAGAGAGAGAGAGAGAGAGAGACGUCGAGAGAGAGCGAGAAAAAAGCGGCGUGAAAAUAAUACUGUUUAUUAGAUUUGGGGUUGUUAGGAGAUAAAAUUGUCAUUUUACAUAAUAUGUAGUAUUAACGGAUUUCAGUAAUGCAAGAUACACGACCCCCUCCCGUUAAUAUUUUUGAUGUAAUCCUGCUCGAUUUGUAAUGCUACAUUAACGACUAGAUUACAUAGCGGAUUAACCAAACACAGUUAUCCUGACAGGAUUGCCUGUAAUCCUGUCAGGAUAACUCGAACCAAACGCACCCUUAACAAAAUGUCGGCAGAGUAAAAGGACCAAAAGUAUAGCCAAAAACUAUUGUCAAAGAGCUUGGUGAUUGAUACCUAAUAUCUCAAAUUUGAAUCAUAGUUGAUUCAUAUUUCUAGUUAAAUUUAUUUUUUUUAAAAAAUAGUAAAGAUGUAUUAUGGGCCGUGCUGGGCCGGAAUGGCCCACAUUAGCCUGGCCGAAAUGGGCUACGAACCGGACGGCCCAGCCCGGUUUCAAUUUCGGGCUGGACCAUGUCGGGCCCUAGCUGCCUAGCCUCUGGCCCGGCCAGGAAGGCAUGGGCUGGGCCGUGCUUCGGGUGCAUCUCUUAAAGUAUUUACUUUUUAAUUUUUUUAAAAAAUUUUAGUAUAAAAUUUAAAAAUAUAAAUUAUGAAUAUUUUCAUUUAAAUUAAUAUUUUGAUUAAAUCAUUAAAAAUUAUAAAAAUAAUUAUAAUAAAGUAAAUAUUUAUUUUUUAAAAUAAAUAAAUUUAUAUAUAUUUUUUUAAAAAAAAGAAAAUAAGAUGAAAUUUUGGUCCAAAUGGGCCAAAAUUUCGUCAUUGGACCAAAACCAGCCAAGCUAAACGCCCGAGACUCUGCCGCGACCCGUUUUACAUCCCUCGGGGCAUACGGCCGGCUUCUUCCUGACCGAAAAACCAAAAAACCCCAUCUGACGCUCCGACGAGAAGGAGAGAAGGUGGAGGGAUCAUGAGAUCGCGGCCGUCCCCAAAACCACUCUCUUUCCUCUUCUUCUUCUUCUUCUUCAUCUAUGCCUCUCUCAAUCUCCUGUCUUCUUCUUCUUCUUCUUUCCCAGCAGCAGCAGCAGCGGCAGCAGUCGCUGUCGGAGUCGUCGGAGGAGGCGACGGCGACGGUGGCGCGGCGGUGAUGAGGGCGUCGUUCGCCGUCGAGGGCGACGUGGCGUGGGCCGUCCAGAUCAGCGACCUGCACGUCAGCGCCCACCACCCCGCCCGCGCCCGCGACCUCGUCCGCCUCCUCGCCCCCGCCCUCCGCCUCCUCCGCCCCUCGCUCCUCCUCAUCACCGGCGAUCUCACCGGUUUAAUCCUCUCCUCCUCUCAGUUUCUGGAAUUCUAAGUUCUUGUUUGGUUGGUAUUGUUGCUGUUUUUUUUUUAAAAAAUAUUUUUAUAUAAGAGUUUUCAUAUGAAAGAGUGCAAGGUUUACAAUAAAUACAUGGUAAUAAAUAUUGUACGAUAAUAAAAGUAAUAUUUGUAUAAAUCUUUCUAAAAAAAACAUUCCAAACAGAAAAGAGAUAUCAAAACGUGUAAGAAAUAUUUAGAGACAUAGAAGGCAGCCUACAUGGAUCACAUUGAACCCGGAGUGAACCGGGAAAACAGAAAUUUCACAGUGGAGAAAAUAAAAGGUAAAGAACCCUACCCUAACAAAUCGAGUAAAAAAGUAAGCCGGGGGGUGGAUUCGGCUGCAGAGAAGAGAGAUAAUAAACACACAAUGAAUCUCUACAGGCAGAGAAGGCAAAUCACAACUCCAAAUAAGAGCACAAAAAGGAACAAACAGUGUGACAAAACUAUCAACUUUAAUAAUAAAUAUAAGUGUAAUACAGGAAGUUAUGCAAUGCUCAGAUUUGUCUAUUCCAAAAAGCAAAGGGCUAUGAUAGAUAGUGCGUGGAUCAGAACUACGCAAUAAUAUUCGCAGGCUGCAGUGAUUGCCCAGGGGCCAUUCGUCCUGCCAUACCACUACGUACAAAUUCAGUAGAAAAGGCAGUAUCUAUUAAUUGUUCAUAUCAUUAUUGCCUCACAGCAAAAAGUAAAGAAAAUGUAAAGAAAGUAGGUACAAAAGGCUGGAUAAAAAACAUUCUGAUCAUAAAAGAGAUGUCAAAAUAUGAAGGAAAUAUUUAGAGACAUAGAAGGGAGCCUACAUGGAUCACAGCGAACCGGGGGAAAAAAUGUUUCACAGUGAAACAACCAAAUCAGAAGGAGAGGAGAAAAAUUUAAAAUAGUUAGAGCCCAAGAAGACCGCAUGCUGUGAAGUCAAUUCAAAAAACUGAAUUCCCUACCGUUGUCACUCUGCACCUCUUUGUUUCCGAGACGGAUUGUAUGCACCAAUCUAUGACGGAUCUGGCAAUUUAAUGCCGCCGCAAAACCCAACUCCCAUUCCUCCCUCCCAACACUUCUUUUACUAUGUAAGUAAAUAACAUGCAAGCAAUGUUUGAUAACCAAGGAAAGAGUCCAAAUAGGCUGAGGGCUCUAGAGCAAUAUUGGGAGGUCGACAGAUCAAGCCAUUAUGUACAUAGAGAAAGUUUGGGGUUUAUGGCAAUAUUGCUCCGGAGUUUAUUUAGGGUUUAGGGUUUAUGUGGAGCAUCAUUGCCAUAUAUCAAGCAAAGAAUCCAAAUAGGCUGGGAGAACAAAAAAAAAAAAAAGGUAAGGGAAAAAAAAAUAUAUAUGCAUGUAACGUUUAGAGAGAAACAUAGUGCAGAAAACCAACUACAAUUGAUACAUUUCUAGUAAUUUUGCCGGUUAAGCUUAAGUUUUUUUUCUUAAUUUUUAAAAUUACUAUUUAGAAAACGAUUCAUACUGUAUCAAACUAUAGAGCAAAGCUUGAUCUGGGAGCAAGUGUAGAAACACCUAAAAAGCAAAGCUCAAAGAAAAUGGAAAUAAGCAUAACAGAAUAAAUAGUAGUGAAAAGCAAAGUCCGAUCAAUAGGGGAAGAUGUUAGUUUUGUCUAUCUUUUGAAAACCCAAAGUAUCUAGAUUCUAGACCAACUUAUGGAAAUAGCAACUAUAAUCAAUGCAUUUCUAGCAAUUUUGCUGAGCUUAAGUUUUUUCUUAAUUUUCAAAUUUAAUAUUCAGAAAAGGAUUCGUGCUGUAAACUAUAGAGCAAAGUUUGAUCUGGGAGCAAACAAAUUGAAAAUACAAUGCAUUCCAAAGUCCCAGUUUCACCAAAACACGUUUUUUUUGUAGAUUGCCCAUGUAUGGAGCUGGCAAGUGCAAAAAGUAUGAGGUAUUUGGGAAGAAAAAAAACAACAAGGAAAAAAGAAAAAGUAGAUCACAGAUAAAAGUCAGCAAAGGAUUUAAAAGACCAAGAUUGUGUGGGUGAAUUAAUAAAGAACAACAACAUGAACUCUAAAUGCAAGAGAAAAUUAGCCCACACAGAAGCAAUGUAUCAGCAAAAGAGAGUUUAAAAAGAACACCAAAAUAAGCUUUAAAUGCAAGGUAAAAUUAGCCCAAACAGAAGCAAAGCCGAAUGACAUGGCAAGACGAAUGGCAACUAAAGCCAUCAUCAAACAUCCAAGCAAUCAAUCAUCCAAACAUAUACAUAGUAUACAUAGAAUGUCAACAUAGCAAAGGAUUUAUGAGAGAACCAGACCUCCUCUCUACAGGCAAUAACAGCACGAAGAAGAACAGAGGUACUAUGAGUUUACAAGCUUGGAACGAAGUGGGCAAGGGAGCUUACCAGCCAACGGAACAUAUAUAUACCAACAUAAGAGUGAAGCAAAAAGAAAACGAGGGGGGAGGGGGCAGAGCAUCGUCGUCGAACGGUGCGCCGAUUCUGCGGCAGCAUUAAAUGCCGAGAUUUGUGGUAGAUAGAGGCGUACAGCGCAAAAGGGCAACCAUCUUCAGGGAAUCGGCAGUUUUGCGGCAGCGUUAAAUGCCCAGAUUCCUUGGUGGACUGAGGCGUACGAUGCGGAGAGGGAAACAUCUCUGGGGAAGUGGUGGUUUCAUGGUGGCAUUAAAUGGCGAGAUCGGUGGAAAAUAGAGGCGUACGGUGCAUAGAGACAACCAUCUCCAAGCAAGCGGCGAUUGCGUGACGCCAUUAAAUGCGCCGGAGAGAGUAUGAACCUAUGCGUCACGGACACGGGCACGGACACGGGACAUGGGAUAUGGGACACGACACGACUCGAACACAGCGACUCGGCAAAAUUUAAAAUAUAAGGACACGGACAUGGCAAGGACACGACUAAUAAAAUAUAAUAUUUUUCAGUAUAACAAUACAUAUUUAUUAUAUAUAAUAUACUAAUUUUGAAAAUAAAACUAUAUUUUUUUAUAAGAAUGAAAGUUAAUAUAGUACUUUUAAAAUUAAAAUUCUCCACCAAAUAUGAUUUAUUUAGAUCAUCCAAAAAAAAGCCAAAAUGUUUACCAUCAAACAUUGUGUAUGUCCAAAAAAAAAGUAAAAAAAAAAACUCCUAUCUACUUUCAUCAUCUUCGUUUUUCAUGAUCUUCAUCGGUAAGCAUAAACUUCUCUAAUUUUGGUUCAUCAAGUGAGAGAUUUGCCAACUCAAGAAUGCUAAUAUCGUCGAAAGAGUCAAAACUCUCCCUCGCGAUAUCCGACAUCUUAGUAAGCCCUUCUUGAUAUUGUGACUUUCUUCUCGACAAAAGACGUAAAUUUGUAUGAACAAAUACUAAAUCUUCCGCUCGUUGUGGUACUAAAUUAUUUCUUUUCAAUGAAUGAAUAAAUGAGUAAGUGCUCCAAUUCCUCUCACAACAAGAAGAAGAACUAGGAUGUCCAAGUAAGUUAAGAGCAACUAUUUGCAAGUUUGGUGCAUGUAUGUCAUGAAUAAGCCACCAUGAUUUGGCAUCAAUCACCGCUCUAUCAUAAAGAGAGUCACUUUUCGAAAAAUGCCCCAUAGCACCAGAAAAUGCAGCAUAUUCAAGAUUUACCAAUCUUCUUUCUUCUGCAUUUAAAAAAUAUCUUUUCAAACAAUUAUUUCUUUUCUCAACAAGUUCAACAUCUUUAUGUGGAGGUAUUCGUUUUUUAUCUUCCUUAAGCCAUUCAUUACUAUAAUACCUACAAAUUUUCAAAGAUUACUAUUAAAAUUUGAUCACAAAAUUUACUAAUAAUAGAUAAAUAAAGUGAGACGGUCAUACCUUGGAUUCAAAGAAUGUGCCAAAUAAUGAAGAGGAGUACAAUUUUUUGUCCAUUGAUCAAUGAGAAUACCAUAAACAAUAGAGUAAAAUCGUGACUCCUCAUCUUCUUGCUUUCUUUCUUGUCGAUAUAUUGCUGUCUUCACCUUCUCUAUCAUAGAAUCCUACAUUUCAUAAAUUAAAUGUAGACAAGGUUUAUCUGUAUCUCCUCUUCUUAAUACAUCAUAAAUAGGGUCGGUAAAUGAUAAGAUGGACAAAAUCGUGACUCCUCAUCUUCUUGCUUUCUUUCUUGUCGAUAUAUUGCUGUCUUCACCUUCUCUAUCAUAGAAUCCUACAUUUCAUAAAUUAAAUGUAGACAAGGUUUAUCUGUAUCUCCUCUUCUUAAUACAUCAUAAAUAGGGUCGGUAAAGGAAAGGAUAUAGUCAAUUUUGUCCAUCUUAUCAUUCACAAAAAGUGCUUUUCCAAUAUCAGAUAGGAAUAAGGAUAUGAUUAGGUAUAUAAUAGACUUAGACACUAGUAAUAAUAACUGGACUUAAGCAUUUUGGGCCGGUGGUUGGGCCCAACGAGUUAUUGUUGUUGGUGGGCUGGGUCGUACAGCAUCACCACAAAAGAAGCAAAACGAGUAGAAGCAAUUGUAAGUAAUUUCAAUGGUACAAACUUAUUAAACAUAGACAAUCGCAUGGAGUGGUUCAAAAUAAAAUUUUUUACAACCAUAGCAUCAUCACAAAUCUCUGUAAUCCAUUUGCACUCUUCAUAUGUAGUGGAAUUAUUCUCUGUAUUCUUGGCAGCACAAAUAUUCUUUGAAGCAAGAUUUAAAGUGUGUACAACACAUAGAGUCCAAAAUAUGAGGAAAUUGUUGCUCUAUAAUUCUUCCUGCUGCCCUACAUACAUGAGCAUUGUCAGUUAUAAUUUAGACUAUUUUCGAUGGCCCAACUUCCAAAAAUACCUCUUUAAUUAAAAUGACAAUGUAAUAUUUGUCUUUUCCGACAUCUUCAUUGUUAAUUGCCUUUAAGAACAUAGAACCAUCCUCCGUCACAGCUAUGAAAUUAAUUAACGGUCUUCUUUGAGGAUCGCUCCAGUCAUCACAAACAAUGCUUAUAUCUUUCUCACUCCAUGUUCCUUUAAUCGAUUCUAAUAAAUUUUCCACAUGUGCUUUUUCCUACUGAAGUAAAGUAGUUCUUAGCAUAUUAACACCAGGAGGAACAUAACCACUAAUCAUAUGAUUGGUCGCAUAUGUGUAAGAAUUAACAUAAUGAGGGUUUCUAGCAAGAUGAAAUGACAAUCCGCUGGUGUAGAACAUUCUUGCUAUUUCACUAUGUAAUUGUUCAUGAGCUUGUAAAUUAAAUGCUUUUCCAAAGGCGUGUCUCCAUUGCCUUUUCUCUUCUUUGAAGGAAAUUAUCUAGUGAAAUAAUAUUACGACUACUUGAUGAUUCUUUUUGACUGGAAACUGGUGGUAACAGUAUGGAUUUUGAUUUUGCAAUUUUUGCUGUAAGUUCAGCUUCCAAAUUUUCUUUUUUCAAUUCAUUAAGACGUUGUGGGGUUGGUUUUGCACAUCCUCGAAUUCCUUGAUCGGAAAUUUUAACAAGUGAGCUUUAACUCUUGAAUAUGAUACUGGAAAAGUCAUAUUGCAAAAGUUACAUUUGAAUGAAAAAUUUUCCCCUCCUUUCACCCUAUCAAGUUUACUAACAUAACCCCAUAAAGGUUUAUCUAUUUGACCUUGAUGCAAAGGAUCUACCAAAUUCUUAUUAUUUGAUGCCAUAAUCCUACAACAUUGAGGAAAAAAAUAUGUACACGUUAAAAGAAUAACAGUUAAUCUUAAUUAUAACACGGAUGUAAAAAGAAUUAAAAUGAAGAGAAACUAACCCUAAUUAAAAAUAAUUUUAAUGUAAAAAUAAAUUCUAGUUCAAAAAGGUAUAAAACUAAUAAAAAAAAGAUAGAGAAAGAGAAUACCUAUAAACAUUAGAAGCUUUGUUGAAGAAAAGCCUAAUAGAGAUCAAAUAUGAGAUAAAUAAUUUUUUAUUAGGAGUAGAACUAUAUAAUUUUUUUAAAUUAUAUUUUUUUCUAAAAAUUAUACGAUGCUUUUUUCUUAACUAUAUAUUUUUUAUUAAUUCAAUAGUGACGUGGCAACCGUAAUUAAUUAAUUUUCGAAUAUAUUGCCUAACUUGCUUUCCGAAAUUGCAUGACACGGCAUGGACGCGCGUCACACGUAAGUCCAUGCCGCAUACGCGUUUGACGGGCGUCAGACACGGACGCGCGGGGUGAAAUAACGCGUCCGUGACGCGUAGGUAUGAACCCAAAGUGAACAUAGGGUUUGGGGAGAGGAAGAGAGCGAGAGAGAGAGAGGAGAGGCCUCGAGGAGAUAGUAUGGCCUUAAAUGUGAAACAACGUCUGAGGGACCCACGUCUUAAAGAACGAGAGGCGAGAGUGAGAGAAAGCGACACCAUUAAAUGCGCCGAAGAGAGUACGAAACCUAGGCGAACGUAGGUUUUGGGGAGAGCAAGAGAGCAAGAGAAACAGGAGAGGCCUCGGGGAGAUAGUACGGCCUUAAAUACGGGCAGGUGGGAGAGAGACGAAGCGACGCCUGAGGGACCCACGCCUCCGAGAAGGAAAGGUGAGAAGGGGCGGGGGAUAGUGGUAUGAGGGGCCUACCUUCUGAAAUCACGGAGAAUCUCCGAAUAUGGUUGACGGUUCACCCUUUAAUGAUAUUGUAUAGAUAGUCACAUGUAGUCUCCUCUUUUUUUAACACUAGCUUACAUAUUGAGCAUGCGUUAACACAUGCCCACACAUUCAAAUGGCAUGAAAAUAGUAUGAAGACCUCCUUUUUCAAGAUUAGAUACUCAUUGGCGCUGAUGUUUAUUCUGCUAAGCAUCACAGAAAUCUAUGAUCAAAUGCAUUCAAUGUGAUUUGUUAACAUGUUCAUGUCUACUUUUUUGGAAGAAAACAUGUCGUUGCAAGGAUGCACACUGCAUUCAUAGUUCUGGACCUAGGCAGAUCACUUUAAUGUUGUUCACAUCAUUCAUAGUCGUUUUCAUCUUCCCUAUCUGGUUGGAAUUUUCUUUUGACUGGAGCAUUGCAUUCUUAGCAAAGAACAGUAGAAGUUCCGAUCUUUGAUUUGAAUAUCACAAUGAUAGAAAGGAGUUUUUCAUGGUAAAACUUGGAUUGCAUUCUUGAAAUAGUAUCAGCAUUGAUAAAUGGAAAUCUAUGCUGCACGAACAAUAUUUUGAUGGAUUUUAGUGGGUUAUAGUUUCCUUAAUAAAAUUUGAGCUACUCACACGAGAUAAUGAAGUAAAAUCAAAAUUUUUUUUUUAAAUAUUUAUCAUUGCUGUAUAAAUGUAUACUGCAUGACCAGUAUUUUCGCUUUUACUUUGAUGUAUCCAGAUGCAAAAAACAAAAAAAGAACAAGCACACGGCAAGACGAAUAUGAAUGGAUUCUAUACAGGAACAGUAUGGAUGAGGUUGUUAAGCAAAGCGGUUUAGACAAACAUCGAAUAUUUGACAUUAGAGGCAAUCAUGACAAAUAUGGAGUUCCCUUUGUUGGACACAAGAUGGAUUUCUUCUCCACUCAUAGCAUUAACUCUCAACUAAACAGGCUAAGCACCAUUUACAGUAUUUCACUUCUGGUAGGUUUGCUUUUUUUUUUUUUCCCCUCAUUUUUUGUUUGAAGCUGCAUUUCUUAAUAUUUGAUGGAGAAGGGACGAAUGGUCAUACUGUCUACUAUCUUCUUGCUCAUUCGAUUUCGUGAAACUUAAAAUCUUAUUUAUUAAGCUUUACAGAUCCCUUUUCAUAUUCCUUAUCUUUUUUCUCUUUUUUUUCUUUUUUUUUGGUUUCAAUAUACAGAUAUAUUAUAAUGUCCCUAUAUAUUUAUUGAACCUGUCUUGAAUUUUCUUAACUUUUUUUGUUUGUUUUUUGGCUUCAUUGAGGAAAAGAUCCAGGAUUUCUACUGUAUUUUAUUGUGCCUGUCUCGAAUCAUAGUUAUUGGUCAAUCUCUGACAUAUGAUAGGCUACUCAGUGUGACUAUUUGGUAACUCAACUCAACGUAGCGUAAUGAGGUAAUUUGAGAAGUAUAUGAGAUAAAUAUUUACCAAGUUGAUGUUAGUAUUUUGAUCAGCAAAUUCGUCAACACUACUAGGUAAGGUAUGGGGUAUGUCUCUUUGGCAUAUACGUGCGUCAACAACUUCAUGAUGGACGUUGCACAAGCUUCACAGGAAUGUUGAGAACAGUCACGUAACCUUAAAGCGUAGCUAAUGUUGCAUUAGGCAUUUAGAAUAGGCUAAUAGCAUUUAGUAGUGAGUGUUUUCUUUGUGUUUGCAAAAUCUUAGUGUAAAGUUUAAGUAUGGAAGCUUCUGGACUUGGACCAUCCACGAGUACUCAAAACUUACAGCAAGAAUAUGUGUUUUCAUGGAUUCGUUGUGGAGGACUUGUAAACAAGACAAAGGAAAGAUGUGUUGCAGAGGAAGCCCGGGAUAUAAAAGUGGGACUAAAUUGGCUUGGAGAGAGGUUAUGAUCAGUUGCUAAACCACUUGUAAAUUUGGUUUUGUAGUGAAUUUUCAUUCUCGGGUCCCCUGGUUUCUUUACACCUGAGUUUGCGGUUUCCCUCGUAAUUCAGGUGUCUCUGUGUUUACUUUAUUUCUUAGUUACUGAAUUUAUUUCCUGUUUUUGUUAUUUGUUAAGGGCAAGGGAGCAGAGAAUGAGUGAUCACUAAUUCCGCAUAACAACUAUUCAUCACCCUUUUAGGCGUAGUUGUCUAGAUCUAGAGAACCACCAGUUCAAAAUAUUUACUUUGCUUGCAUGCCUUGUCAUUUAUACUGUUCAACCUUAGAAAAUUAAGAGUUUCGACAUACUAAAUAAGCUUAAACACCUUUAUGUCUUGCGUCUUUUAAUUGGAAGAUAAGAUGCUAGUCAAAUUCAUGCAAAUCAAGCACCAAAACAAAUAUAUUGUAUUAUUAUCAAUGUAACAGACAAUACCCACUUUUAUUGUGUUUAACUUCGCAAUUUUGUUUGCUUAGUUCUGUUGUCAUUUUCACCCACCUUGGUAAUGCUACUUGUGCACAACAGCCUUUUGUUACUUUUUGCAGAUAUUAGUAUACUGCGUAGAUCUACUCAAAAUGCAUGUUAAGGACUAAAGAGAAAAGAUUUGAAGAUCACAAUGAAUAAGCACUGGGGACUUGAUGUUCGAAGUAGAAGAAUUGAAAUGGACCAGUUAGAUUCAUGUGGCUAUAUGAUUUCAUGUGUGUGGAUGGGGUUUGAAUAGUAAGUAGUCCUGUAAUUUGUUGAAAAUUCUCAAACUAUGGACAACUUUUCUUUAGUCAAAUCAUUCUUCUAAUUAUUCAAAUUAUACAGCGACUGCGCUUUUAGAAGCAUGGAGUCCUCCGUGCUUCUCAUCAUUGUUUUAUGACAGGGAAUCCAAAUCAAUGACCGUCACUUCUAAUCAUGAUCUAAAGUAUAUGAAAUAUCUAGACUUAAAUUGUGUAACUUUUUGCAAUUCUCUAUCUAGUGCAUAAAGUGACCACACUGUGAAUAGUCAAAAUCAAAUAGCCUUGUAAAAAUAGAAGAUAUGAUUUUUCAGUUCAAGAUAAAGGUUGUUCAUCUUCUAGAGAGUUAAAAAGUAUUUUAUAACGAGAAAUUAUUCAAAAAUUGUUCAACUGAAUGGAAUGGUUAGUUUGGUGUAAAUGAGGGCAGGUAAAGUAAGUUUUGAUGAAAGUGGGCAACUCUAUUGAUUGUUUUGACAAAAAUGGCUAGAAGACUGUUUCUUAGACCUCUUCCCCUGCAUACAACUUUCCCCUCGGUGCUCUGAAGCCUGCCUCUACAUUUGACUUCCGAUAGUAGAUGACGACCUAAAUGAACAAGCAUAUCAUAUCGGUCAUUGAUAUUGUUGAUUUUGGGACCUUUUGAUUACUAACUAAAUGUCGAAAAGAUUGGAAAAUUUUGUUCCUAGAUAGUUUGUAUGCUCUAGAUCGUGUUCAAUAGUAUCUAUUAUCAAUUCAGAUGCCCUAUUAUCAAAAAUGUAGUGGAAUCAUAAAGGCCUCCAUUAUUCUAUAAGCGUAUAUAGCUCUUUACCUAAUUUAGGUUGCAAUAUUGAAAUAUCCAAUUCUACUAAUCAUGCAUAAGUAAUAGGAGAUAGGAAAAAGAGUCUUUUGCCUUAAAAUAAUAUAAAGAGUGUCCUACAUUUAAGAAUCUAAGUUUUAAAAUGUGGUCAACGUGGAAUGCAGGGUAACUAGUUCAGUCAUUUUUUGCAGGAUUGCAAUAUUUUUUCCUUAGUCUGUAACAAGUACAAAUUUAUCUACUUUUGCAGAACAAAUAAUAUAGUUUUUCUUGUAGCCUCAUUCAUUGUUCAAGUACUCUAGUGUCACCAUCUGCAAAUUAGUUCUUGCCUUCAUUAUAUCCCAGAGAAUAGUUAAUUUUAUGUAAUACAUUUACCAUAUUUCAAAAUUUUGCCUCCCACUUGCAACUAGCCCCAUCCAAUCAUCACAGAUACCCCACAAAUUUUACAAGUGUGUGUGACUCCCCACUUUCCAAGAGGGUCAUCUAUCCUAAAACUACUCUAGCUUUAGGCUCACUUAACUCUCUUAACCUCUUAGGCCAAGCAACCCCCCAAAACGCUAUAAGUCGGGUUAAGAGGUUUAGUCCUAUCAUAUUUUAGGGAUAAUUUCAUACAGCUUCUGGUAAACAUAUCGAAUAUCAGAUAUAUCCCUACAAAGUUCAAAUUUUUUAUCCUUCAAAAAGUCCCAAUUGUUUCAAAUGUACUUCUAUUGUUAGUGUCCAGUAGAAAAAUGUAGUUAAUCAUAGGUAAAAUACUUAACCUUGGUUAGUGAGGUAAUUUACCUUUUUACCCCUCUAAUAUUAUACCUUCUCUCAGUCAAAACGCUAGUUUGAUCAAAACCUGGCAAUGAGAACUCUUCCUCUUUCUCUUCCUCUCUCUCUCCUUCAUGCUAGUUUCGAACCAAUAACUAGGGUUUCUCUGUCCCCAUUCAUCUACUACGUGUGUUGCUUCACCCAUGUCGACCGCCGGGGAAUCAUUGGUAGUAGGUAAAGAUAAAAAGGUGUGAGAGAAGAGGUUGCAACAAUAGUGAAUUUGGUUAGUUUUCAUAGAAGAAGAAGGUUAUUAGAAGUUUUUUGAAGGAUAUUUCUGCACUAUUCUAAUAGUUGGGGCUUUUGUAGGGAUAUAUUUGUAAUGGCAAAAUUAACAUUUCACUUAUCUUCUAUUAAAAAAUAAACAAUGAGCUAACGGUAACAAACUAGAGGGGCAAAUAUAAACAUCACUGGACUUUUGAAAGGAUGAAUUUGAAAACUCAGACUUUGUAGGGAGAUAUCUAUUAUUCGAUAUGUUUACAGGGAGCUAUAUGAAAUUUUCUCUAUAUUUUAUAUAGGACUACACCAAAUCUUGGGGGGUGUCACAUUCCUCCUACCCUCAAGCCUUCACGUGCUUGUCGGGUUCAAGCACAUUCACAAGCACCAGGCAAUAUGAGACUCGUCUCACUAGCCUUCUUGUUCAGACCCUGACUUAAUCUGUCAUUCUUAGUCCCUGAUUAGCCCGUCAUCUAGACUCUGGCUCAACCAAGACUCAUCUCACACUUUCGCCUGGUGAUUGUCUUUGAUGUCAACUAUGAUGUCCUACUUCCUAGGGGGUCAUCCAUGUUAAAGUUAUUCUAAUUCUUGGCUCGCUUAACUCUCUUAAUCUCUUGGACUUAGCCACCACCUAAAAUACAGUAGUCGGGUUAAAAGGUUUAACCCUAUUAUAUCUUAUAUGCAAAACUAUUCCAAAUCCUGGGUAUGUCGCAUUUAAGUUUAUGUCACAUUUAAGUUGGCAUCAUAGCCAAUCACCAGUUGGAAGUGUUAGUUGAGUCUCGGUUAAGCUAGGGUCAUACAGCAGAUAGAACACGACUUCCCGGCUAACGAUCAUUAUGAAUGGAGUGCGACUCCCCACAAGGUUAGCUAAGGGUAGCGAGACGAUUUCUCACAUCGCCUGGUGCUUGUGAGUUUCUUAAUCCAGUAACAGUAUUUUGGACAGUGGUUAGACUCGAGAGAUUAAGAAGGUUAAAUUGCUAGGGCUAGAGUAGUUCUAGGAUGGGUGAUCCCCUGGAAAGUAGAGCGUCAUGGUGGGGAGAAAAGAAGAAAGUAAAGAAGAAAAACAAGUAGAAAGAAUACCCUGUUUUGUCAUUUCCCUUCAUGACACCCUAACUCUCUAGCCAAUUCCUAAAGCUACCGGUUCAUGUGAGCUUACUCAUGAGGGAUAAACUAGUAAUUUGACUGGUUAUUGUUAGGUUUCCAUGGAUAAUGGAUUGUUGUUGAUCUCUUCUGGAUGCUGCUUGUUGAUAUUUUCUGCAAGUCUAAACGUAGGUGUUUUUCAGAUGUUACAAGAUGUGCACGGUGUUGUAAGCAAAUCUCCCAAUAAAUAAAUUAUCGGGAAAAGCAUUCGUAAAACAGGCAGUAUCGAUAGAUAUUUGAUCGUGGUAAUGAAAUGUUAUCCCGUGAUCUCUUUCAUACUUGCUCUUAAUACCACUAUAUUACGAAAUUGCUUAUUUCUUAAUAUGUUCACAGUUUUUGAUCUGACCACUUUCUUGAAGGUUCUUCUAGGGAAAUGAUAGACGGUAUCUCUUCAUUGGUAUUGAUGACACGAUGAGCAUCGGCAUUCGAGGGCCAUCCAACUUGUUUGGUCAUCCCACUGAUAAACGGAUUGACGUCGUCGAGUCAGAGCUUCAGUAUUGGGACAAUUCCACUGCCUUAAUAACUAAAGUUGUGUUCGGCCAUUUUCCUAUGUCGUUUACUGCUUCAUCCAAAACAGGAACUCGUUAUGAAAAUGUUUUUUCUAGGCAGCAGGUUUCUGCAUAUAUUUGCGGUCACCUGCAUGCAAAGCUCAGUAAGAAGCUUUGGAGGCUUCAUAAGGUUGAAACAGCUUCUAAUUCUCGAGAUAGAAAGAGGGUGCAUAACUUUUGGGAGUGGGAACUUGGUGAUUGGAAAGAAUCCAAAUUGAUAAGAAUUCUAGCUUUGGAUGGAGAAGCAGUUUCAUUCCUUGAUUUGGAACUGGAACAGGAGUUUCCAACGACCAUCUUAAUCACAUACCCAACCAAUUCAAGAAGUAUGAAUACAAUAACAACAGAUAGGCAUUCAAUAAGAAACGAUAUAAGCGCUCUUGUAUUCUCUCACCAUAUAAUCCUUAAUGUGACUGCUAAGGUUUUCGACUCAUCAAGAAAUUUUAAGAUAGUCGAAGAGAUACCUCUUCAGCUAGUUACUAGUUCUAGUUCUACUGUUUAUAAGCCCUUAUUUCAUGCCAAGUGGAAUGCCGAAAGCUACAAAAGCACUUCUCCAACUCGCUACUGGGUGCAGGUUUUUGCCCUAGAUUCUCAGGGCAAGCAGAUAUUGAGUGAGCCAAGGCCAUUUUCAGUUGACGGUAAACUGGUAACUCCCUCGAGGUCGUGGUUGAAUUAUUUGGUUUUUGAAAUUCGCUGGGAGAUUCUAUACUCAGUUCUUUUGCGGAGCAAUUUAGGGUUUCUCAUUUUGAUGUUACUUUCAAAAUUUCUAAAUCAUUUCUGGGAGAGAAAUAUGUCAUAUGGAAAAUGGGCUAUGUCUGUCUUCUCCUCGCCGAUCCAUAAGCGGAAGCUAUCCUUUUGGGUACUCUGGUUUUUGAUAGAGGGCUCAAGGAAUAGGAUAUUUUGGCUUUCAAUAGCGGUGUAUCUUCUUUGGCUGAUCAAAAUGCCUUGGUUUUGGGGUUAUGCGACAUCUGAGGAAGGAGAAAUUGGCGUGAUGUAUUUAUCCGGUUGGAAAUUAAAGGCUCCAAAUAAUCCUGUAGUGGUUGAUAAAUUAGCAAGUCCAGAUAUAAUGGUCAUUGCCUUGCCUGUCAUGUAUUUGGUGGUGACUCCUGUGAUAGUUAUUACAUAUGCCUUGUUUGCCGAAAGGUCGGCUUUUCACUUCAGCGGCAGCAGGAAAUCAAAGUGCUUAAGAAGUCCGGUUAAUUUGAACACGGAAUCAAAACAACACUCAGCAAAGAUUGAAUCCUUCGUGUUUACUUGUGGGGGUGGGGCAAGAAAGAUACUCUUGUUCUUGUGCAUGAUCAUCACUUUGGUACAUUUUAAGGUAGUUUCAGACUUCCAAAUUUUUGUCGGACUAUCAAAUCACAAUUUUGGCAUAUUUGGUAACCAUAUUUGAAAUUUUCGUCUUUUGCAGAUCUGCACAGCCCUCAUGUGGGCUUAUGGAGCUGCGCCUGUGGCCUUGUCACCUGCAUUAUGUUGGGUGCCGCCGUUAUUAUUGGUUGCAGCUGUGUAUUCUACAGCAACCACUGCAGAGUAGGAGGCAUUUAGCUCACGGUUGUCGACGAAAUCACAUCAUUAACCAUUCGAUGAUAACUGAGGGUCGGUGCUUUGGUUUUCUGUAGCCCUCUAUCCGCACCAAAAUGCGGUGGGCCUUUAUAUGAAAUGUAACCAAGCUGUAAAUAUCUGGUUAUAAUCUACUGGAUUGCAAAAUCACAGUGAGAUAUUACUUUCACCAUGUGAAUCUAUUGGCUUGUCUAUUUAAUGAUCAUCUGUGUAUUGUAGCUCUGUAUGCAAUUAUUGAGAAUUUCUUCUCUUGAUCAAGUUAGUAUCUAUACAAAUGAUUGAGGAGGACACAUGACAAAGCUCUUUUCAGAAACAGUGGAACAUCAUUACCUCAUUUGUUUCUAAUUAGGGCUAGAAGUGUAUGCUCCACCUUACAUUCAUAAAGGCACGAAUUUGCAAUGUCCUACUCUGAAAUGUAACAUAAAAAAUAUUUAAAUCAUCUUUUUUUUUUCUUUUUUUUUCUUUUUUUUUUUACUUUUCUGGGCUGUAUUUUGGAUGUAAUUUAGAGGCAAGCAUGAGAUAUCUGAUGUUUAAGAUAUGCAAUGGUAACCACUUUUUCUUUGGCCAUCUUUGUAAUUGUCGUGUAUAGUGAUUAAUGACAGAGUCUGAAUAGUCACUACUAAAAAAAAAAAAAAAAAGUUUUCUCGAGCCGGAACUCAGAAUAAAUUUGUUGGAUCUCUGUGCUCCAAUGUUGCCAUUUGGGGUUCCCCAUCUAGGAUGGGAGCAGUGUCACGGCCUUAGUAUUUUUGAAUUUUUCAAAGUCCCCGACAAGAAGUUGCCCUUCUAGUAGGGAUGCAGACAGAAUAGAUCCAGGGACAGGAGGCGUCCUCUAGCUUUCUCUUCAUUAUUUAUUGCAUCGGGAUGGAUUCGGUGCGGGUUAAUUUUAGUUUUAUUUUUAGUCCCCACCUCUAUUCAGAGCGGGACAAUAGCGAAUUUUUGGAAGAUUAGGAUGGAUCAGAUGAGUAAUUAAAGGAAUCCUUCGUUCCCGCUCCAUUAACUUAGCGGAUAGGGGCGGAUUUGGAACAGGUUGUUUUUUUUAUAUAUUUUUUUGGUUUUCACUUAUCGCCCCAUUCGGAGAGGAUCGGGAUUGGAGCUCUGCUAACUCGGAUCCAUUUGCAUCCCUACUUCUCUGAUGAUAUUAUUUUUUAAAAAAAUAAAGGAAUAUAAGUAAAAAAAAUUAAUAAAAAAGAUAGAAGUAAAAAAAACAUAAAAUAAAAGUUAAGAUAAAAAAAAAUAUAAAUCCUAACUCUACACUUCUUUUUAUUUAUUUUAAAUUUCUCAUUUCUUCAUUUUCUUCCUAAAUUCCUAAGCUCCCAUCCUAUAUUAUGUCAUUUCCUUCCUAAUUCUCUCAUCUCCAAUCUUAUUUUAACUUUCCCUUAAUCAAAUCUCAAUCCCUAAAUUUUUACUCUAAUUCCUACGACAAUACUCUGGAAGAGGACGAGGAGAUUCUUAAUUUCUUGCUCUAAGGAGGAGGAUAAGAAGAAAUCUUUACUCUUUGUACAGUAUUUAACCUUCCUUCGAUAAUUUUAAUUUGUAGCUACUUUCAAUAUAUAGUAUUGUAAGAGGUUUCUAGUAUUGAUUUUGUAACUUUCUUUAACCUUUGAUUUUAUUACUUCUUUAUUAAAAGAUUAUUACAAAGAUAUAGUUCUAGAUUGGUACUUGUAAAUAAUAUAUCAAUCUUUGUUCUUACAUCAUAUAAGUAUGUGAUUCAUUAUUCUUCAUUGAUAUUUCCUGCUAUUAGUACUAUUUUACUAUUUUCAUGUAUCAUGAAAAAAUGUAACUAAAUUUUAAUGUUAUUUCAAUCGGCAUUUUGUCCAAUGGAGAAGGUUUUUAUAAGUGUGGACUAAGUAUGCACUAACCCGAAGACCAGACAUUUUGAGCAUGUAUUAUCGAUCUAAUUCUGAUCUACAAAAUUAAAGUGAAAAUCUUAUUAUACCUACUCCAUUAUAAGUAAAUAUUUUUAAUUUGAAGUACUUUUUUUCCAAAUCAAUCAUUGCUUUUCAACAAAAUCAAUCCUCACGUUUUCUUAAUAAUAUAUGUUGUUAAUGUAUUUGCUUUAGAUUGACCCUUUGCAAUAUAACCUAGGAUAGUGUUUGGUUGCAGGAUAAAGUGGAAAUAACCCACUUUAUCCUGCUAAUUCACCCAAAUACUAACUUAAUUUAUAGAUUUCGUUGGAUAUAUUGUUAUAUAAUUCAAAUAAUAUGUUCACAUACAAGCCCAAUAGGUGAAAGCGUAUUAGGGCCCAUAUCAACUGGAGCCCAAUAGCUUACUUAUUAACCCUAAGGUUCUCCUAAGCUGGAGGUAACACUGUUGAGCAUUCCAAACUUGAUGUCUCCUAGGGCCCGUUUGGUUCAAAUUAUAUAAUAUUACAGAGUAUUUCGAUAUAUCCAGGUAUCUUGGAUUUCUAAAAGAAAUUACUACUUAUACUGCAUUAGCGUGUUUGGUUUAAUACAGUAAUGUAAUGCUGGAUUGCAGUGGUUAUACCAUUAAUAUGUUUGGUUCUAUCUAAAAAUUCAGUAAUCUAGACAAUAAAGUAUACUAUAUUCCAAAAUUGCCCUUAACCGUAUUUUGUAAAAAAAAAUUUUACUAUUUACAAAUAAUAUUUUUUUACUAAAUUUUAAUUUAAAUAAUUUAAUUUUUUAAAUUUUAAAUUUUAAAUUUUAAAAAAAAUAUAAAUUUAAUAUUUUAAUUUAAAAUAGAAAUAUGAAAUUUAUAAAUUUUAAAUCCAAAAUUUAAAUAUAAAUAUAAAUAUAAAAUUAAAAAUUAAAAAUCUAAAUUUAAAAUUCAGAAAUUAAAAUACAAAUUUAAAAUUAUAAAUUUAAAAUUUAAAAAUGAAUAUAAAAAUUUAAAAUUUAAAAUUGAAAGUUGAAAUUGGAAAUUUAAAUUCAAAAUUUAAAAUUUAAAAUUUAGAAUUUGAAAUUUAAAAUCUAAAAUUUAAAUUCAAAUUUAAAAUUUAAAUUUAAAAUUUGAAGUUUAAAAAUUUAAAAUUUAAAAUUUAAAAGUUGACAAUUCAAAAUUUUAAAUUAAAAUUUUUAAAAUGAAGUAUUGAAAGGGUUUCGGGUGUUAGAAGGGUAAAAUUGUUAUUUUACAUAAUAUGUAGUAUUACCGGAUUUUAGUAAUGCAAGAUAUAUACACGACCCCCCUCUUGUUAAUAUUUUCGAUGUAAUCCUACUCGAUUUGUAAUCCUACAUUAACGGCUAGAUUACAUAGCGGAUUAACCAAACACAGUAAUUCUGACAGGAUUGCUUGUAAUCCUGCCAGGAUAACUCGAACCAAACGCACCCUUAGUGUAAUACUUCAAGCACCCUAAAACGCCAUCUAUUCUCAAAAACCCAUAAUCUCCAACAAUCUUGAAGUAUUAUGAUCGUAUGUCGGAUUUGAGCGAGUAAGGUGUCUAUUUGAAGAUCUCGUCAAGACGAACUCACAGGUAUAAUUUACUUUCGAUUUCGACGGUCAAAUUGGCCGGGAUCUGAGUUUGAAAGUCAGGCGGCCGAAAUCUUUGAUUCAAAAACCCAAAAUUAUAGCCAAUUUCAGAGGGUGAAACCACUUGGGUUUUGUUGUACUCGUCGAUACGAACAUUUUGAGUGGUCACUCGUCUCGAACGGAGGUCGGACGACGGAGUUACGGCAAUCGAAAGUUUUCAGCAGUUUCCGGCGACGAGGGCAGUUCAUCUUAAGGUUUUUGGGCACUACGGAUCCAUUUUUGGGUCUAUUUUUGGCAAAUUUCACCUCUACUGAGCAGUUUGAUUCAGGUCAGGGGCUUUAUUCGACUUUGUGAGCUCUGAGGACUACAAGGUGCACUCUUUCUAACACUUUGUUCUGAUUAAAUGGCAAAGCGUAGUUCUUAUGAUAUUAUAAAGCUGCAAUCAUUUGAUGUCACUGAAUUUCAUGGUUGAAAAUUACAUGUUCAAUUUGGCAUGAAAGAAUGUGAAAUAUUCUACACUGUUUUGAAUGAUUUUGCAUCUACCAUUGAAGAUGUGGAUGAAUAUCAAUGGAACAAGGAUGAAGAUUUUUGUAGAGAUUACUUGUUGAACUCUCUAAAUCCUCGUCUAGCUAUGACUUACAGUGAGCAUAAGACAGCGAAAGAGAUAUGGGAUCACUUAAACGCUCAGUUCCAAAAACAAGAGGGGCUUUCUAAAACUCUUCUAACAGAGAAAUUCUUUGACUUUAAGUUCAAUAUGAAUUCAAGCAUCACCUCUCAGUUAAUUGAACUUGAGAACAUGAGGAACAAGCUGAAAGAUGAUAAAUCUGAUAUGUCCGAUAAUCUCUUUGUCGGUCUUGCAUUGAGUAAGCUACAUGCUUAAUGAAAUUCUUUCAAGACUGAAAUGCACAGACUGAAAGAACAGAUGGGACUGAAUGAAUUAAAGAGGUAUAUUCACAUUGAGGAUCAAAAUAGCACUAGAAAGAGUUUAGAACAAGUAGGACAACAAAAGUCAAUUGCCAACUUAGUUUCACACUUCAAUAAACCUCAGAAAAGGUCCAAGUCACCAAAAGGUGAAUCUUCUUCACAGUUAGAGGCCAAAAAAACUAUCUCCAAAAGGAAGAAGAAGGGAAAGUGUCAUAACUGUGGAAAGUAGGGUCACUGGGCAGCAAAGUGUAAACUACCAAAGAAGCCAAAGAAUUAUACACCACAAAGUGAGGCUAAUAUGCUAAUUAGUGAAUCUGAGCCUCAAGCCUUCAUUGGAAUGAUGAAAAUUGGAAAGGCUAGUAUUUCUUCUGAGUGGUGGUUGGAUAGUGGCGCUACUUGUCAUGCUGCAAAUGACAAGAACUUACUCACAGAGGUCACAGAAGUGAAAGACACCGUGGAAAAUUGCAAUGGUGGUGAGGCAGAAGUGACUCAUGCUGGAACUGCAAAUUUGGUGCUUUCUUCAAAUAAAUUACUAACUCUGAAACAUGUUAGAGUAGUACCUUUACUUAAAAAGAAUUUGAUAUCUAUGAGCUUAUUUGAUAAAGCCGGUAUGUCCUUUUCAACUAUGAAUGGUAGAGUAACCUUAUCUGUUCACUCAUGUUAUUUCGGUUGUGCAUUCAUGGUUAAUGGUAUGUAUAGGUUGAGUUUAGAUACUGAUAGCAUAAACCAUGUGAGUUCUAUUCUGAUUGAUCCAAAGUUGUUGCACAAUAGACUUGGACAUGUGAACUACAGGAAAAUGCAACAUCUAGCUAAAACUCACAACAUUUCAUUGGAUACUUCUAUUCGAUUUGACAAAUGUGAAGUGUGUGCACAAGCUAAGAUCACUAGAAAACCCUUUAAGUCGAUUUCUAAAAGCACACAACUUCUUGAGCUAAUACAUUCUGACCUUUGUGAUUUUAGAAAUUACGUCACUAGAGGUGGUCGGAAGUAUCUGAUAACAUUCAUAGAUGAUUUUUCUAGAUAUUGUCAUGUCUAUUUGUUGAAAUCGAAAGAUGAGGCUUUUGAAAAGUUUAAGAUUUUCAAGUCUAGAGUAGAAAAUCAACUCAACUUGAAAAUUAAGAGGUUUAGGAGUGAUAGAGGAGGAGAAUAUACAAUGACAGGGUUCAAGGAAUUUUGUGCUUCAAAGGGCAUAAUACUUGAAACCAUUGCUCCUUACUCACCCCAAUCAAAUGGUGUUGCCGAGUGUAAGAAUAGAACAUUAACUGAAAGUUAAAUUCUAUGUUACUUACAGUUGGCAUGCCUUCCUCCUAUUGGGGAGAAGCAGUUCUAACUACUAAUAACAUCCUGAACAGGUUGCCACACUCUAAGUUGUCUAUGACACCUUAUGAGAUAUGGCAUAAGCGUCCUUAUAGAUAUGAUACUCUUAAGACCUGGGGCUAUGUUGCUUAUGUAAGAAUACAAGAUCCAAAGAGACCUAAGGUGGGACCUAGAACCAUUACCUGUGUAUAUCUAGGUAGUGCAGAAGAUAGUGCUGCAGAUAGGUUUUUAGAUCUAUCUACUAACACAGUGAUAGAAUCUAGAGAAGCAGAAUUCUUCGAGAAUAAGUUUCUCAGAGAUCCUGGCUUGAAUGUUUCUGGAUCUACAGAAUGCUUUCGAAAUCUCCUGUAGAAUCUGAAGCAGGCCCUUCUGACACUAAUCCCACACAGCUGGCUGUUGAAUCAGUUCCAGUUAGAGCAUCUACAUGAGAGAGAGUUCCCAAAAGUUUUGGUGAGAACUUUGUUACUUACCAUCUAGCGGAUGAUCCAUUUUCUUAUCAAGAAGCAAUGAGAUCUAAGGAAUCCCUACUGUGGGCAGAAGCCAUAGAUGAUGAAAUGAGCUCUCUGUUGUAGAACCACACUUGGCAGCUAGUCAAUUUGCCAAAAGGGGCUAAGGCUAUAGGCUGUAAGUGGGUAUUGAAAAAGAAACUGAAUAGUGAUGGAUCAAUAGCUAGAUACAAAGCACGUUUAGUAGCUAAAGGCUAUAAACAGCAGAGUGGAAUGGACUAUUUUGAUGUCUAUUCACCUGUGUGUCAUCUAUCAACUAUAAGAAUUCUUCUUGCUUUGGCAUCUAUUGAACACUUUGUAGUGCAUCAAAUGAAUGUAAAGACAGUUUUCCUAAAUGGAGAGUUAAAUGAAGAAAUCUACAUGGAACAACCGGAAGAGUAUGUCAUGAAAGAUCUUGAGGUCAAAGUUUGUAAAUUGAAUAAAUCUUUGUACGAUCUUAAACAAGCACCUAAGAUGUGGCAUCUUAAAUUUGACAAAGUGGUAAAGAGUUAUGGCUUUCAGUCUAGUUAUUCAGAUAAAUGCCUUUACCAUCGUUCUAUGUCAAAUAAAAUAAUUAUCAUUUGCUUAUAUGUUGAUGACAUGUUAAUUCUUGGGUCCAAUCAUUCUGUAGUGAGUGAUGCGAAAGCUACUUUAGUUAAAGAAUUUGACAUGAAAGAUCUUGGUAUUGCUAAUACCAUUCUUGGUAUGAAAGUAAGAUUUGAAAGGCAAGUCAUCUCCCUUAGUCAGACUCAUUAUAUUGAGCAACUACUUUCUACCUGGGGAUACAAUGAUUGUAAACCGAGUGAGACAUCAUGUGAUUAUAAUAAAAGACUGAGUCCUAAUGAAGGGAUCGGUGUGGAUCAAUUAAAGUACUCGAAACUGAUUGGUAGUCUCAUGUAUGCUAUGAGUUACACUAGACCCGAUGUCACGCCCCGAGCCCGCCUCUUUGGUCGGAUUCGGGCACGCCGACAGACCGCCGAACGGACAGAGUCUCCCAUGUACGUACAAGGCGUCGCAAUCAAUACAGUACAAGAGGUUCUAACUAGGAACAGUAUUCAAGCAGAGAUUGCAUAAGGAAGUAUCAAAAACAUAGACAACUAGCUAUUACAAGCAUUCGUCUCAAUUUAACAUUUAGAUUACAAAUUACAUUGCUUUAACUAGAUUCUUACUCCCAAAUACAAUCCAAGUUGCUACAAAUUAUUACAAGUUUGAUUCUUUGUCCUCUAAACCCCUAAGUUAGACCACCUCGGGGCAUGGCUAUCUCUGGUCUCUGGGGUAGGGCACUAACUACGGAGCUACGCCCUUUCCUCGCGCCGCCGCGCCGCUCACGUGUGUACCUGUAACACCCCAAAACAAUGUGGGGUGAGAACCAACUCCAUGGUUCCCAGUGGGUACGGCCACCCAAGGGAAAAGCUCAACCAAUAGGUCUAAUGAGGCACUGCAACAGGUUAGUCCAAUAACAUAUAACAGAUACUUAUACUUUUUCUCGAUAUUGAACUACAUGUCAUGCCUCACAAUAUGCAAUAUGAAAUCAUGCAACUAUCAAAGUAGAUUAAUUGAUACUACUUCCCAUUCUUAGCCAUUCGUUAUUAUUAGACACUCAUUCUUUACACUUUAGCUAUUCUUUACCAUUAGCCAUUUCUUGCAAUCAUUCGUUACCCCUUAGCAUUAGCCGUUUCUAUUCUUUAUUCUUUAUUCUUAUCCUCUACUAAGGGCACUCGCACCUUUAUCAUAUUAUACACAACUGCCACUCUUUCCCAAGGUUACUUUACCUUAGCCAACUAUGCCACUAGACUCGGUCUUGAGUCAAUCAACUGCGGAUAAUCCGCGCUCUGUCAGGCUCGAGGUGAAAGAACUCUCACAUACACCUCAGCCUUCAAUCCACAAACCACAUCGCCCAACGGGUCGCCCAGAGCUGCGUAUACCCGUGGUCAGGGAUCUUUCCGGUGGGAGGGGAAUAUGCCACGCGCACCCGCGGCCCAAGACCCCCGAUAGGGAGGGGAAUAUGCCACACGCACCCUAGCGAACCAAGAUUCUUGCUCAAUCUCAAGCCGCGCAGUUCUCCCGGUGGGAGGGGAAUAUGCCACACGCACCCGUGGCCAAGAAUUGUCGAGCUCAUAUGCUGCACUAGCAGCCGCUGCACUCGCAGCUGGGAUUCCGGAAUCUACAUUACAUAACUCAAGGGUUGGUCUCACCCUAUAUUAUCGACCUAUCUAGGUCUAAGUCUUCGUUCAACCUAGGUUAAUACUUUAGGUUCAAUGUCGAUAUGUUCAUAGCCUAGGUUCAUUAACACUAGGUCCAAUGUCAUUUUCCUUCUAGGUCCACUUGACUCUAGGUUCAUUAUCUUUAUCUCACAACCUAGGUUUACUUUUAACUCUAGGUUCAAUCUUAACCUAUAUUCUCUAACAUUAGGUUUGAUGCCACUCUUGUUUGACCUAUGUUUAUUAAUACUAGGUUCGAUAUCAUUCUUGUUCAACCUAGGUUCACGACUCUAGGUUCAAUGCCACUCGAUCUGUAUGUAUAUAUAUGUCCACAUGCACAUGUCAUUCAACAUAGUUCUCUUGGUGUCAACUUACCCUCACUUAGCAUUCUUAUUAUGCCAUCAUUUAUUUUCUUAGCAUUAACCACAUGCAUUCAUUUAUUAUCUCUAUAUCAUGCUUAUCACGUAUUCAUUUAGCAUUUCUUACAUUAACAUCUCUAUAUCAUGCAACAGUCAUCAAUCAAUGCAUUCAUCUAGCAUUCUCACAUUAUGUCUAUAUGCACAUGCCAUUUACUUUAUGCUUUCCACUAGCAUUAUUUACACUAUGUCAUCCUGCGUUAUUUGGUAGUCCACGUAGCAUUUAUCCUAUGCUUUCCAAUGUUUUAUCACUAGCUACCACUACAUGCAUCAAUGAUAAACAUUUAUCUUAGACAUACAGGCGACCUAGUCGCUUCGGUAAACACAACCCACCUCAAUUCGCACUCCGAUUGCUUGUAAUCACUUGCAAUCGGCCUCCCGCGGCACCCGUUGCCCGGUUUGGCCCGAACUCGCACUCGACUACCAACCGGCCACCGAUUCCCGAUCCGAAAGUUGUUUGAUCUUUAGCACGAUGCCAAGAUGCUCCGGAUCCAUUUUCGUGAUUUUUGGACGUUAACUCCGCGUGCUGCGGCUAUCUGUACGAAAAAGGAUGUUUUUGUCAAUAACUUUGCGUACACUCGUCGGAUUGUCGAAUCGAGCGUUCCAUCGCGUUCGUUUGAUCCCCAAUUAGAUUUCUACGAGGUCAAUUUAUCUCGAAAACACCCAGAGGCAAAAGCACCAAAUUUGGUGCCCUAACAAUGCCAUAAUCAAAUUUCUUGGGAUUGAUCUUGUAGCUAAGCAUAAUCAAGCUUAGAACUACCCAAGAAGCUCUCUAAUAUCAUCUCCAACCCAUCCGAACCAUCCCUAGGGCAGCUAGGGCUAACCCUAGAAGUUCACCAUGAGAGGGCUUGAAGCAUCCAUGGAUUUCAUGGUGUUCAAGGCUCAACUAUGCUUCUAAACAUGAGAGAAGCUCAAACCAUUAAGUUCUACGGUGGAAAUCCAAAUCCUAGAUGAGCUUUUACAUUAAAACUCACCUUAGCCCAUGCAAUCCUAAGAUUCUUCUUGUUGAAGAGCUUCUUGAUCCUCUAAACCUCCAAAAUCUCCUUCUCCAAGCCUCUUCUCCUUCUCUUCCAAGCUCUAGGAGGUGAUUUCUAGAGAGAGAAUGAGAGAAAUAUGAGAGGAGAGGGUUUUGGGCUAUUGGCUGUGAAGGGGAGGUGUUGGGGUUAUUUUAUAUGUUGCUACAAUAGCAACAAAACCCCCCAAAAGUCCAUAAUUGCAGCAGACCCAAACUUGCUGCCAGACCCAAAGUGUACCGGUACACUUUAGGGUGUCACCAGUAACACGAUCGCGCAACAGCCAAACCCGAGAGCUACCUUCUUGGAUUUUACACUGUGUACCGGUACACUUUUAUGUGUCACCGGUAACACAGCUUUUUUUUUUUUUUCAGGACUUAGCCAAUUUUUCAGCUUUUCUCCGUUUUCGCUCAUUUUCGCUCGUUAGGCCUCCGAUUCAUUUCAAAUCGCACCGAGACCCCCAAAACAUGUUUUCGAGCACGACUUCAUCAUCUUUUCAUCCACGCUAAUGCCAGAUUUAGCUUAUGGUCCAACAUAGCCUUUCGGAUCCCGUUUUCGCGCCUACGUGCACCGAAAACACCCGAAUGCUCCCGAACCUCAAUCUCACAUUGUUUCGACUCCAAUUCGUGCAGAGCAAUGCUAAAACCUUUCUAACCUCAUCGGAACUCACUUUUCACCCUUCCAACACUGUUGGAAUGUUAAAUAGACUUCGUCCAACCAUUUCUCUUGGGCUCUUUGGCCAAUUUGGCUAGAGUCCAAUAUUCUACCGAAGUUUCGGUAUGUUACACCCGACAUCGCCUUUACAAUUGGCAUGCUGAGUCGUUUCAGUAGUAAUCUUCGUAAAGAGCAUUGGGAUGCCCUUAGUAGGCUAAUGAGAUACCUUAAAGGUACGAAAGAUUAUAUUCUAUGUUAUUCUGGUUAUCCUCCAACUGUGGAUGGAUAUUCUGAUGCCUCAUGGUACUCAGAAAUUGAAAAUAGUAAGUCCACAAGUGGAUAUGUAUUCGCUUUAGGUGGAGCUGCUAUUACUUCGAAAUCCAAAAGACAGACUUGUAUUGCCUUGUCGUCUAUGGAAUCAGAACUUUUUGCUUUAGCUUCCGCUGGCGAAGAGGCAAAAUGGAUAAAGAAUCUAAUUUUGGAUAUUCCUUUGAUUCAGCUACAGAUUAAUUCUUUAAGCCUCUUCUGUGAUAAUCAAGCAACUGUCCAAGUUGUUAAGAAUGCUUUCUUUAAUUCAAAGAGAAGACAUGUGAGACUGAGACAUGCGUUGUUGAAUUAUCAAAGAGAACAAGGAGUUAUCACCUUGAUCGAUGUGAGAUCGAAAGAUAACAUAGCCGACACUCUCACAAAAGGCAUGCCUAAAGAUCGAUUAUUCAAAAUAGUGGGGGAAAUGGGGUUAAAGAUUAUGUAGACUAGUCUUAAUUGUCAUUUACUUACCUUCUAAGUUUAUGUUUUGAAUUAUCGAAUCUUCCUUUAGUGGUCAAACACAAUUUAAAUGUUUCAUCGAUGUUCAUGGUUGCAGACUAAUUUGAAAAGGGUGAGUUGUCUCAUUCCAAACUUGAUGAAGAUGACUUUAACCUAGUUCAAAGUUCUACCUGGAAAGCUUGUGUCAUUCCAAACUUGAUGAUACAAUCCAACUAGGUUGGACUAUUCUUUUCUUAGUUAAAUGAUCUCAUUCCAAAUUUGAUGCUAGAUUAUUUGACUUUAAAGAAUUAGUAACUGCGACAUUCCAAAUUGAAAUAUAGAAAUAGCUAUCUGCAUAAGAAGCCUGUUGGUCUUGGUCUUAAUUAAAACUUGAUAUUAUAUGACUAGUUUAUUGUAAGUGACUUGACUAUUGGUCAUGUUUUUUGAAACUAGACAAUGGUUAUUCUCUUACAAAUAAACUUAAGUUGAUGGCUCUUUGUAAAUCAAACUAUUUAGGCUUUGUUCAUAAUUUAUGAAACUGGCUUGUUGCUUAUGAACAUGAUAUUAUGAUGCUUUAUGACAUUAAUAUAUGUUCUUCUCUGCCUGAUGUUAUGAUGCUAAGUUCUUUUAGUAGAACUAGACACUUUAGUAGAUUAUUCAAAUGAUUGAAUUCAUGAUAAUAUGAAAUUUAUAUUUGAUAUUCUACAGAGGAUGGCAGGGAUGGAGGAGAGCUUAAUGAGUGGGAUCCUGAUCAGGAUGAUCUACUUGAUGAAUGAAUAUAUAUAUAUCAUUUAGAGCGUACGGGAACUUGACAGUUCACCUACUAUUGCCCGUUUUGGUGGAGCCCAUUUACUUAAGACUUGCUUUUUGCUAUCUCUAUUUUGUGAAUAUUAUUAUGCUUUUUUCUUGUAUUUGUAAGGCCUUGGAUUAUUUUGACUGGCCUACUUAUACCUGACUGUUAUGCAUAUGUUGGUUGUGAACUGAUUUUGAGAAUUAUUUUGGGUAUGCCGAUCUCAGAACAGAUUCAUGAUAAGGAUGAUUCACUCAUUUGGAUUGCAAUUGAUGAUUGAGUUUUAAUCCGAGUUGAUUGUCUUGGACUGGAUGUGGAUGAUUCAUAUUUGUUUGAACAUUACACUGAUCACCUAUUGGAUUGUGCUGUAUGGUGAACAUAGGAGGAGAUUGUUGGAUAUAUUGUUAUAUAAUCCAAAUAAUAUGUUCACAUACAAGUCUAAUAGGUGAAAGUGUAUUAGGGCCCAUAUCAACUGGAGCCCAAUAGCUUACUUAUUAACCCUAGGGUUCUCCUAAGCUGGAGAUAACACUGUUGAGCAUUCCAAACUUGAUGUCUCUUGGUAUAAUACUUCAAGCACCCUAAAACGCCAUCUAUUCUCAAAAACCCAUAACCUCCAACAGAUUUAUCUAUCCAAUUCUAAAGGGGUUAUUCAGGAAUAACCUCGUUAAGAGCUAUCCCCUGGGACCAGCAAAAUAGGGUAGUUCUAUUGGUUUAUCCCAAGAGCAAGGGUUGGAAAGUAGGACAAUGCUUUGUCUCCUUCAUUAAUGAUUAAAACCUACCCUUCUCAUUCCUCAUUAUUCCUUCGCCGCUCUCCCUCCUCGUCAUUUUGGACGUUGUCUUCCUCCUCUUUGCUUCCCUCAUCUCAUUCUAUAGCUACCGUAAUCAAUAAGUGAGAUCUCAUAUGAGAUCUGCCUUCAUUGGUAACUCCUCUCUUAUUUUGCUUUCCUUUCUAUACUCCUCUCGCCGUCUCUUAAUUACUGCUAUCAAUGAGCAAGAUCUUACUCGAGAUCCAUCUUCAUCGCUAACUCCUCUCUCACGCCAUCGGUUUGACCCGUAAUAAUGGCUACUUCCUUCUCUCAACUCCUUGUGGGCUUCUGAGGCCAGAAAUCUCCUUCAACCUCCUCGCCCAGUUUACUAUAUCAUCAAGUUGCCCAUUAAAUGCAACCACCAGCCUUGCAAGUAAAAAGCAUGAAGUGUUCAUGAACCCUUUCCUCUAUAAAAUUGAGUGGGAUUUGAAGGUAUUGCUUUUCUUUCAUCAUACUUAAAACACUAUCUCUGUUACUGUUCCAUUGGCUUUAAACUGUACCUGUGUUGGUGUAGAAGUGUUCACUGUUGAAAUUUUCAGUCUUCCAUUUAUCUUGUCCAGGUGAGAUUUUAUGUGAUUUUUUACCGCAAUUUUAUGUGCUUGUGUAGCUUUGUCUUUAGUACAUUCUCGUAUGUUGUUAACUUCAUAUAUAUAUAUAUAUAUAUUAUAUAUAGAUAUAUAUAUAUAAUAUACUAUAUAUAUAUCUGUGUGUGUGUGUGUGUGUGUGUGUGUGUUUUCUUAAAUUGAAGGAAUUUUUUUGAACCCACCAUUUCUGAGUUUUGUAUGCUUUUAUUUGCAACAAUUAGUUUUGUUAUAUAGCAUUGUAACACCCUUAAUACUUAUUCCUUUGGUUUUGACCUCUUUUUAUCUGAAAUUAGACCAUUUCGUAAACUCUAAUAUUUGAGACUCUGUGGCUAGUGUGCCUAAUUAAUCCCUAACUUAUUAGGUCUCUUUCUAUUCGUUCAUAGUAACCCCCCCCCCCCAACCCGACCUACCUCGCUAUCGCUUGACUCCCUCUCCCCUUGCAUCCGUACGACCACCCCUCUCCCGUGCAUGAGCACCGACGCCAUCUGAUUACCGCCGUAAUCCUCAUCGGCCGUUAUUUUUUGGUUCGCUGUCAAUGGCAUCUCGCCGUCAUCUUCACCGUCUUCGGGAAAGUUUUUCUUUUUCUCUCAUUUUUACCUCUAUAUCGAAUCUUGUGAUCAUCCAAUCUCUUUAUUCAUCGUUAUAUUAUUAUUUUGAAUACUCGUCUCAUGAUGAUUGAAAUUUGAAACCAUCAAAAUCUGAUUUGCUUGUAUCUAAUCUUUGUCGUUUGAACCGUUUAAUUUCAUAUCUUUUAUCCUCUAUAUGAUCUAUUUGCGUAAAGCUUCACAAAUUGUACACACUUAUUGGAAUGCCCGCUAUAUGUUCGACAAAAUGCCUAAGAGAAGGCGUGUGGUGUUUUGCUUCUAAUUUUUGAUCUUAUUCGAUUGUAGAUGGUAAAAUUAGUUUUGUACAUAUGAUAAACCCUUUGUUUGAAUACUGAAACCCUCGUUAUUAUUUAAAAUUCGGUUUAUGUUAUCUUAGUCCUUUGAAUAGUUUAAUUAUUGAAACUCCCUCAUCUUUUGAUUGUUAAUUGAGUUUUGUCAAGUUUAAUAUUUUUUAAAGCCCUUCUGUGCUCCAUCCCAACCUAUCAGCAUGUAUUUGUCAUUGAUUAUGUCAACCUAUGUGAGCCUAUUUGAAAUCUAAAAUUUUGUACGAGCUUCAUUCCAUAUAUAUAUAUAUCCUCUUUGUAAGUUCAUUUUUUUGAGUAGCUUAUAGAGAAUCGCAUGUCUCUAUUUUAGGUUCCGACGAUUGAUUUUCUGCACAUUUUCGACUGGAUAAUUUCUUAUCUUUGAAGCUGCGUUAACGUAAGCUAUCGGACACCCGUUAGUUUUCACUAAAUAAUUUAGGAAAAUACUUUAAUUGUGUGAAAUCUUAUUUUUGUAGAUUUUAAAAAUAAGAGUAAAGCAUAUUACUAAACAUCUUUGAAAACUAAACUUCUACUGUGAUUGAUAAAUCCUUUUAGCACAAGAAUUUUUAAAUUUUGUUAAUAUGUUCUGUAAAUUAGUGACUGGAUAAUUUUGAAUUAUAAUGUCUCUUGGUAUUCUGCUAUGCUAAUGUUGGCCAUGCAAUAUGUAUUCUAUUAUGGAAGCUAGCUUCGUCUCUGUAUUGCGCCUUCGGGUGCCUGCGCCUAUCCGUGCCUCUGUUCUAUAAUUGCGCUUUCAAGUACCUCUGUUUUGUACAUGCACCUUCGGGUGCCUCUGUUCUGUUUGCGUCUUCGGGUGUCUCUAGAUCUCACCAACAAAUCACAUAAUAUAGUUAGUUACCAGAAACUUAACGUUUAUUUCGUUUAAUUGCUGAAAGAGGAAAUAUUUUGUAAAUUUAUAUUUGCUAUUUGAUCUAAAUUUUAAAUUUUGAUAAUUUGUAUUUUCUGAAAUUGUGCAAAUUAAAAAUCAGUCGCUUAAAUUAAUUUCUGUAUUAGAAUUUACCUUAGAGCAUUUGUUAUAUAUUUAUUUGUAUGUUUAAUCCGACUAAUGUAGUGUAUGGUUGUUUACCUAGAUAUCGAGACUGAUUUGCAGGGCGGGGCUGGGACCGAGUGAAUGUUAGACGUAGCCAGUUUUGAUUUUAGUCCCCUUCGUUUUAUGUCUAUUGUAUUUAGAUGUGAAUUUUGGACUUCGAGAAUGAUCAAUUGUUUAUCUACUUCUAUUUUGUUAUUUCUUCGAACCCACAUUUGUUAUUUAUAGUAUCUGUUAGAUCAAAUUUUGUUUGCAUUGCGUAAUAAACUUUAGUUCCGCUUAUAUAAGAAUUCAUUUGAUUCUAGUUGAAAUUAAAUUGCUGGUCUUGUAUUUUGACUCUUUGGAUUUACGAAAAAUUUUAUAAUCAUCAUCUUGCACAUCUUUCCUCUGAUUCUAUAGCCUUGCAUACCUAUUAAUUUAGUAGAUAUGCGGCAUCUGUUAUGCCUCGAGUUUGGGGCAUGACAGUAUUCAUGCCUCCUGUUGCAUUUGAUUUCUCAUAUCACUAUUGCCAUAUUUUAUAAAAAUACCCUUGCAUUCGAUGUUGCUAUAUUUUGUUAUACAAGCUUCCUAUUAUACCUUUCUUCAUUUCAUAUAACUAAAAGUUUUUUUCAAAACUAUUUUCAUAAUUUAUAUAAGUGAGUAAAUUAACUAUCAAUUCAUGCCCGUUUACAUACAUUUGUUACUAUUUGAUGGUUACAUUGCUGUAUCUGUAGCCAAUAGUAAGAUUUUUUUUCUUAGCUAUUUGUUGCUUAUUUAUAGUGUUAGAAGCUGAAGUUUCUCAAUUAAGUUUAUUUUUACAGCUUAAUAGAAGCUGGAGUAAUUAUUUUAUAUUUUCUAUUUCUAUAUUUUUUGAAACUUAUUUACUUAUUAGUUGAACUUGUAGGUGAGGCUACCUUACUUAUUACGUACAAUCUGAGGCACGGACCAAAGUAUGACAAGAAUUUUAACAUAGCUGCAGGUUGAAAAAAAAGCUGAAGAGAGAAGAACUUAUAUAUAUGUACUUCAACUAAUUAUUUCAACCUUUACUGAAGCUGAAAUAACUUUCAACUGGACAUAAAUCAACAUAAGAAUGUGAAAAAAAAGAUAUGAUGAAUCGAAGCAACUAGCUACAUCCAGAUUUGAACCUGUUCAAUUUGAGGAAAAGUUUUAUAAAAAUUAAGGCUAUGAUGUACGGAAAGGAUGUACAGAAAGGAGAUUUAGUUAUUCAUGGCAAAGUGGCAUAGUUUUUUUAACUAUUGCAAACAUCGCGGCUUUAUAUACAACCUUGUCCCCUAAGCCUCUUAACAAAAUAAUAUACUAUAUUGAGCUUGUAGUAAAGUAGAGUUAUAUAUUUGUAGUAACAAACAUCUGAGUUGUUCAUCUGUUCAUCUCAGAUAGCCCCUCUAAAAAAGCCAGUGCAACCUAUUAUGGAAAACAAAGGCUCAAUUAUUAAUGUUCCUUCUGCUAAUAGCCAAAGUUUAGAUUGCCCUAUGCAAGAAUCAUCGAAAAGCAUAGUAAGAUCCUUUAACUAGACAGAACGGAUGGGCUCUACAAUGUUGAACUUAAUGAUAGAGGAGCGUGGACUCUACAAUGUUGAACUUAAUGAUAGAGGAGCAUGCUUUUAGAAAUUUUGUUAAUGGGAGUUUACCAUAUUAGCAUGGACUAAAAUGGCUCAAGUCUUCAAUGAGAAGACAAAAUUGUACUUUAACAAAGUCUAUUUGCACAAUCAUUUGAAAGUCUUGAAGCGUCAAUAUUGACAUAUCAAACUCUAACCAACAAGACUGGAUUUACACAUAAAACAUUCUAACUAUCGGUGAUCCUAGUGAAUGGGAUGCCAUUAUAGUGGUAUCAUGGUUUUUUUGUUUAUUAUUUUUGUUUUUUAAAAAACAAAUUUGCUUCUUUUUUAAAUACUAUAUUUGCUUACAGCAUUAAUAUUUUAUUUAUAGGAAAAUCUAGCAUAUCAAUCAAUUGAGUUCUUGUUAGAAAGGCAACUACAAUCGGAGAGAAUCUAUGGGAUUUUGUAGAAAAAGGAUGCAAAGAAACAAUCGGAGAGAAUCUGAAAAAAGAUGCGAAUGCGCUUUUUUUUAUUCAGCAAUCAAUUGACGACUCGAUAUUUUUCCAUAUUGCCGGUGUGUCUGCCGCGAACGAACCGGUCCCGCCGUAGGUGUUUCUAAGGCGAGUGGUCAUUCAUGGUAGAGAUCAAAUUUGUUUAAAUUUUAUUUUAAAAUAGGAUUAUAGGUUUAUGACUUCCAAUAAACUCAAGAAUCUGCUGUUACUUACCUCACACUUUCAGUGUUAGGGAACCCUCGAUUAAGAGACCGAAUAUAAAUGCUGAUAAUAAAAGAGACCGAACCGACAAAUAAGAUUUUAUUAAUAUGAUUUGUUGUGUACAUGGCUUAAGCAAGGGCAUUCCCCCACUUUAUAUAGAUUUCAUAAAAUUAAAUACUCAGUUUAUAGACUUGAUGGUCAUGUCUGAACUUGAUUUGCCUGGUUUAGCGACUUGGCGGUCGAUUGAAGUUGAGAUGCUCAAUUUAGCGAAAUGGCGGUCGAUUUUAAAUUGAGUUGCUCAGUUUAAUGACAUGGCGGUCGGUUUGAGUUUUGAUGCUCAGUUUAAUGACAUGGUGGUCGAUUGAAGUUGAGAUGCUCAGUUUAGCGACAUGACGGUCGAUUUGAAUUAUUGUGCUCAGUUUAAUGAUAUGGCGGUCGAAUAUUCAGUUUAAUGACUUAAUAGUCAUUCGUUCAGUUUAACGACUUGACGGUCAUAUCUGAACAUGAUUUGUUCAGUUUAGCGACUUGGCGGUCGAUUGAAAUUGAAGUGCUCAGUUUAGCGACAUAGCGAUCGAUUUUAGAUUGAGUUGCUCAGUUUAAUGACAUAGCGGUCAGCUUAGGUUUUGGUCUCAGUUUAAUGACAUGGCGGUCGGUUUAAGUUUUGGUGCUCAGUUUAAUGACAUGGCUGUCGAGGGGGUUUGAUUUGAUUGCUCAGUUUAACGACUUGGCGGUCAAAAGUUCAGUUUGAAUGACUUAAUAGUCACUUGUUCAAUUUAACGACUUAACAGUCAUAUCUGAACUUGAUUUCCUCAGUUUAGCGACUUAGCGGUCGAUUUUAAAUUGAAUUGCUCAAUUUAGCGACAUGGCAGUCGAUUGAAGUUCAGGUGCUCAGUUUAGCGACAUGGCGGUCGAUUGUUCAGUUUAACGACUUGAUUGUCAUUUGUUCAGUUUAACGACUUGACGGUCGUUUCUGAACUUGAUUUGCUCAGUUUAGCGAUUUGGCGAUCGAAAGGGUUUGGUUUGAUUGCUCAGUUUAACGACUUGGCGGUCAACUUAAGAUGCUCAUGAAACUGAUUCAUGAAAUUAAUUCAUGCUAGGAGCCCGUUUGUGAAGUCCAUUAAAUUAAUUGAUGAAAUUAAUUCAUGAUAGGGGACCAAUUGGAGAGCCCAUUGAAUUGGGCUUUAUAAAAUUAAUUUAUGAUAAGGAGCCAUUCAGAAGGCCUAUUAGUUCAUGAAAUUAAUUUAUGACAAAGAGGGCCCACGAAAUUAAUUCAUCGAAUUAAUUCGUGAUAGGGGGCCUAUUUGGCAAAUCCAUGAAAUUAAUUUGUAGAAUUAACUCAUGAUAAGGGAUCCAUUUGGAAAGCCCAAGGAAUUAAUUCAUAGAAUUAAUUUAUGAUAAGGGGCCCAUUUGGAAAGUCUGUAAAAUCAAUACCAAUACAUUAAAGGGCGAACCGAAAACUGGCUCUACAGCCUAUCCGCGUUUUCGGUCUGGGUCCCACUAUUUUCAGCCUGUGGGUCCCUCCUGUCCGCCUUUUAGGUUCCACCCUCUCCGCCUUUUCGAUUCCAUCCUCUCCCUGUUUUCGGUCUGGAUCCCACUAUUUUCGGUAUAUGGGUCCUUUCUGUCCGCCUUUUCGGUUCCAUCCUCUCCGCCUUUUUCGGCCUCUGGCUUCCUCCCCAUUUUUUUUUUACGCUCUUCAUCUCUCUCUUUCCCCCUCUCGCCCUCUGUGUGGCUUCGUACAUCCCCGCUGGCACUGUACUUCCUUCUUACCUCUCUUCUUCGUGUUUUCGGCCUGUGGGUCCCUUGCGCAGCGGCUUCUCCCUCUUCCUUUCUCGCGAACCCUAUGUUCGCCUAGCGUUACCCUCUCCGCGGAUCCGCCGCUUCCUCGGAAAUCCCUCUCUCCCUCGACCGUACGCCUGUAUCUACCCAAAUCGGGGCAUUUAAUGGCGCCGCGCAACCGCCGCUCCCUGUAUCUCCCGAAAAUCGUCGGUGCAUUAAAUGCCCCCCAUCAACCCGUCACUUCGCCGGAGAUGGUUUCCUCCCUUUGCCGUACAUGUGUGUAUAUUAUAGAUCUGGGCAUUAAAUGCCCCGCCGGAUCCCCCUCUUCUUCGGAGAUCGCUCGCUCUCUCCGGGCUGGGGAUCGUCCUGAUCUCUACUGUACCUUCACUGUUGCGUCGUCCCGCUGUCAUCUCAGAAUGGUGCGGUGCUACGAGCCGGCGCCCUCCCCUUGCUCUCUUCGCUUCUCUUUUGGUUUGUUCCAAUGCUGGUAUGUAUAUAUAUAGACUGUUGGCCGGUAAGUUUUGAUGCCCAACAAAAUUUGGUUUCCUACCUUGCAACUCUUACCAACCAACCUAUAUUCUUUUCUUGAGAGUGGUGCUGCCGCAAAAGAAGAGGUCCGGUUCUCUGAAAGUUUCCUUGCCUGCUUCUUAUUUUGAUGUUCUCUGUCUAUGUGCAUGGCUGGAUUUGCUGAUGCUUGGGUGCUUCGAUGUAUGGUCGCGGUUUUGCACGCGGCUCCUCUUGCUCUGUCUGCUGUAAUCUGGCGUUUUUUAUCAUGGAUUUUGUUUCCCCUUGGUUUUGUCUUGGAUUUUGACAUUUCUUUCUCUUUAUGCCGAUUUUUUUCCUCUGGUUUUUUACUUUGGCUUUGUUUACCGCUAUUUUUUCCCCGUUGGUUCUGUUCUGGCUUUUGUCGUGCCUUUUUCUUUAUGUUUUUUUUUCCCUCCUCUUUUUUACCUUGCCUUUCCCAAAGAGACUGUUUUCUUACUUACCUUCUUUUUUUUUUCCUCCUUUAAACGAUCUAAUAUUUUGCGGUUUCUUCAGUUUUUUUACAAAACAUGUUUCUUUUUCAACUCGAGUUCUACGGCAAACUACAGAAUCAAUUUUCUUAUUAUAUUACUUUUUUUUCCUGGUUCGCCUCCUUCUCGCUGUUCUUUUGUCCAUCUGCAAUGGCAUGGCAAUCGAAUGGCUUUGGAGCAAUCGCUGCAGCCUGCGAACAAGGCAAUGAUGAUAUCGGCAAUACUCGAAAUCUAUCUUGCCUUCUCUGCUUUCGGCGCACGAGUGAUACCUUCAUUUCUGAAGUUAUCCGCAAUGGCAUGGCAGUCGAAUGGCCUCAGGGUGAUCGCUGUAGCCUGCGGCUAUUACUGUGGAAAUACGAUCCAUAUAAUGUUCGUCGUACCCCUUCGCUUUGGGGGCGGAAGCCGUGAAUCUGAGCCUUGCAUUAUGUUUUCUCAUAUUUUUUAUUUCCCCUUUCUGGCUUUUGCCUCAAUAUGUUUUUCCCUUAAAUUUAACAAUCUGGAAUUUUUUUCCGGCCAUUAAUAAUCUGCGUAGCUCCGCCAGACAUUUUUACCAACUUUCCUUACUCUUUACAAUUUCCUUUUGGGUUUUCGUAUUGUUAGUGCAGGCAUGGGUGUGAUCGACGUAUCAUUUAAGAAUCUGCUGCUCGAAAUUACGCAGAAGCUGUCCAUACCUAUGCCAAAGUACGGCCUUACUGUGGAUUCAUCGGGGUAGCUUACUACUUACGUCGAUGUUGAGGUCCGGCGUGGUGGCUCUGUGGUGGAGACUAUUCGUUCUUGGGGCUCUUCUGGUUGUGUUGCAGGACCAUCCGAGGAGGAAGCGGCCCGUAAUUGCAUCAACACUUUGCGCGACGAGCUUGGCUUCGACGUUCGUGACAUUAAUUUCGAAGACGCUAAGUUCUUCAAAAGUUUGUACGAUCAUUUGUGUGAGCAAUACAAUGCCUUGAUGGCAAAGUAUAAUACCCUUAAGUGGGAUUACAAGUUUUUGAAGGAGUGUUACAACAAAACAAUGGAUGACAGAGACCGUGUUUCUGCCGAGCAUUCCGAGAUUCAGCAGCACUUGAAAAGGAUUUUUGCGAUAAUGAACCUCGUUGACAUGGUUGUCGAUGCUCCUCAUGAGGGAGCUGCACCGCAGGAGGGAACUGCAGCUACCUCCCGUGAGGGACCUGCACCUCAGGAGAGACCUGCACCCCAGGAGGCUGCACAGGAUACUUCUGCUGCAUCUGAAUAGUUUGCGAGUGUCCAGCCUAAUCCUUUUUGGUUCUGUCGGGAUUGGGCUUCCAUCUGUUCUCUUUUCUUUUGCCUUUGGUCAUCAGAUCUCAUGCUUUUUGUGCUUUCUACCCCUUUUGGCCUAGAAUAUGUAGUAGUUGCGAACCGAAAAUCCGCAUUUUCGGUCUAGGUCCCAUUAUUUUCAUCCUGUGGGUCCCUCCUGUCUGCCUUUUAGGUUCCACCCUCUCUGCCUUUUCGGUUCCAUCCUCUUCCUGUUUUCGAUCUAGAUCCCACUAUUUUCGGCAUGUGGGUCCUUUCUGUCCGCCUUUUCGAUUCCAUCAUCUCCGUCUUUUUCGGCCUCUGGCUCCCUCCCCUUUUUUUUUUACCUUCUUCAUCUCUCUCUUUCCCCCCUCUCGCCCUCUGUGUGGCUUCGUACAUCCCCGCUGGCACUGUACUUCCUCCUUACCUCUCCUCUCUGCAUUUUCGACCUGUGGGUCCCUUGCGCAACGGCUUCUCCCUCUUCCUUUCUCGCGAACCCUAUGUUCGCCUAGCGUUACCCUCUCCGGGGAUCCGCCGCUUCCCCGGAAAUCCCUCUCACCCUCGACUGUACACCUGUAUCUACCCAAAUAGGGGCAUUUAAUGGUGCCACGCAACCGCCGCUCCCUGUAUCUCCCGAAAAUCGUCGGUGCAUUAAAUGACCCCCAUCAACCCGUCGCUUCACCGGAGAUGGUUUCCUCCCUUCGCCAUACAUGUGUGUAUAUUAUAGAUCUGGGCAUUAAAUGCCCCGCCGGAUCCUCCCUUCUCCGGAGAUCGCUCGCUCUCUCCGGGCUGGGGAUCGUCCUGAUCUCCACUGUACCUUCACUGUUGCGUCGUCCCGCUGUCAUCUCAGAAUGGUGCGACGCUACGAGCCAGCGCCCUCCCCUUGCUCUCUUCGCUUCUCUUUUGGUUUCUUCCAAUGCUAGUAUGUAUAUAUAUAGACCGUUGGCCGGUAAGUUUUGAUGCCCAACAAAAUUUGGUUUCCUACCUUGCAACUCUUACCAGCCAACCUAUAUUCUUUUCUUGAGAGUGGUGCUACCGCAAGAGAAGAGGUCCGGUUCUCUAGAAGUUUCCUUGCUUACUUCCUAUUUUGAUGUUCUCUGUCUAUGUGUAAUGUCCAUGUCUGGAUUUGUUGAUGCUUGGGUGCUUCGAUGUUGGGUCGUGGUUUUGCACGCGACUUCUCUUGCUCUGCCUGCUGUAAUCUAGUGUUUUUUAUCAUGAAUUUUGUUUUCCUUUGCUUUCGUUCCCUUGGUUUUGCCUUAGAUUUUGACAAUUCUUUUUCCUUAUGUUUACUUUUUUUUCCGUUCUUUUUACCUUAGCUUUCCCUAAUAGACAGUUUUUUAUUGGGCUUCUUCCUAUUUUUUUUAAAAAAAAUGAUCUAAUAUUUUCAGGCUAGAUUUUGGUAAAUUCUUUCCCUUAUAUUUAUUUUCUUCUUCUUUUUAGCUUUNGCUUGCUUCCUAUUUUGAUGUCUCUGUCUAUGUGCAUGACUGGAUUUGCUGAUGCUUAGGUGCUUCGAUGUAUGGUCGCGGUUUUGCACGCGGCUUCUCUUGCUCUGUCUGCUGUAAUCUGGCGUUUUUUAUCAUGGAUUUUGUUUCCCCUUGGUUUUGUCUUGGUUUUUGACAUUUCUUUCUCUUUAGCCGAUUUUUUACCUCCGGUUUUUUACUUUGGCUUUGUUUACCGCUAUUUUUUCCCCAUUGGUUUUGUUCUGGCUUUUGCCGUGCCUUUUUCUUUAUUAAUUCAUGAUAAGGGGGCCUAUUUUGCAAACCCUUGAAAUUAAUUCGUAGAAUUAAUUUAUGAUAAGGGGUCAUUUGGAAAGCCCAGGAAAUUAAUUCAUAGAAUUAAUUCAUAAUAAAUGGCCUAUUUGGAAAGCCCAUGAAUUCGGUUUGGGUUGGAGGUAUUUGGAUGACAUAGGUUUGGUAGAUUUGGUUGGACUUUAUUUGUGGACUUUGUGUUUUGGAUCUUUAUUUGUGGACUUUGUGGACUUUGGGCUUUUAUUUGUGGACUUUGUGGACUUUGGGUUUUGGGUCUUGUUUAUAGGUUUUGGGUUUUGGGUUGAGAAAUUUAUUUAUAUGGUUUUUUUUUUUUUUGUCUUGGUUUUGGAUCUAAAUCUGCAUGUGGGUUGAGGUUGUUUUCGGGCUUUACAUAUUCUGGGCCUUGGACCCGAAUCUGCAUGUGGACUUGGAUUGGUUUUGGACUUUACAUGUUCUGGGCCUUGGAUCCGAAUCAGCAUGUGGAUUGAAAUUGGUCUUGGACUUUACAUGUUCUGGGCCUUCGACCCAAAUCAGCGUGUGGGCUUUAUUAUUUUCUUUUUUUAACUGCUUAUGGAAUUUAUUCAUUGAGCCCAUAAGUAAACGAUGGAUUGAACCAUUUUCAAAUUAAAUAGCUCAAAUUCAUUUCAUCAAAUUUUCUUGUUCCAUUUUUGUUGUUCUUUUUUUUUUGACUAAGAGAAGGAACAACUUUUUUUUUUUCCUCUAUAUUUGUUUUUUUUUGUUUUUUUUGUUCUUCUUUUUCCCUUUUCUCCUUUCUUUUUCCUUUUGUUGACGGCCAGAGAGAGAGAAACCCAACUAAAUUUUUUGUAUUUGUUGUUUCUUUUUUUUUUUCUUUUCUUUUCUUUCUCUUUCUUUUCUGUUGGUUCUUUUUUUCUUUUUUUUUUUCUUUUGGUCCAAAUGUACGAGAUUUCGUCUCUUUUUUUUAAAAAAAAAUAUACGAAAUUGAUCAUGUCGAGCAAUAUGAUCGAAUCAAACGAAGAUGGCGAAUCCAAGCAAAACCCGUCCUUUUUUUUAUUAUCAUUUUUAUUUUUUAUUUUUUUGUCACGUUUUGUUCAAAUACGCGGGAUUUAAUCGUGUCGAGCCUAUCACGAAGAUGGCCGCUCGAUUAAUUCUUUUGACUAUGUCGAGCCUAUCGCGAAGAUGGCCGCAUGAUUUACGUAGCGAAAUAAAUGGUGCUCGAUCACCCAUUUUGACCAUGUCGAGCCUAUCGCGAAGAUGGCCGCACGGUUUACGUAGUGAAAUAAACGGUGCUCGAUCACCCAUUUUGACCAUGUCGAGCCUAUCGCGAAGAUGGCCGCACGGUUUACAUAGUGAAAUAAACGGUGCUCGAUCACCCAUUUUGACCAUGUCGAGCCUAUCGCGAAGAUGGCCGCACGGUCUACGUAGUAAAAUAUCCGGUUCGAUCAAUCAUUUUGACCAUGUCGAGCCUAUCACGAAGAUGGCCGCACGGUUUAGAGAUUAGCGAUGCAUACGCGCGACAAAAGCAACGAUUCAAUGUCAAAUUUAAUCGGUUCGAAACCUAUCAUGAAGAUGGACGGGUUGAUCAAAUUGACAAAAAAAGGCACUUACGCUAUGCGUAUGCAUGCAUACCUCCUAUUGUUGUAGGAGUCGUCGUGAUUGUCGCUGUCGAAGCUGUAGCCGAAUUCAAGAGCCAAAUUCCUUCUUUUUUUCUUUUUUUUUUUUUUGCUGUGUACGAACAGAGGAGGGGGUGCACAUGGCACCCCCUCUGCCAGCAAGCCCAAGGCUACACGAGGGAGAGAGAGAGAGAUAAAGAGGAGAGUAUAUAAAAAAAAUCUUCACCUUUUUCUUUCUUCUUCUUCUUCUUUCUGUUCUUCUUCCUUUUUUUUUUCUUCUUUUUCUUCUUUUUCGGUUCUCCCCUUUCUUCCUUCCUCUAAAAAAAAAAAAAAAAUCUCUCUAGACCCUUUUUCGAAAUUUGGAUUUUAUUUUAUAUAGGAUUCAAAAACGAUUCCCAUUUAGGAAUAAUUCAAAAAUCUACUUAUUGAGGAAACAAUCCUCAAUCAACUAAUUUAUACUUUUUUUUGUUUUAUUUUGAAUACUUUCCUUCUUUUUUUCUUUUGAAUCUUUCCUUUCCCUAUUUCCUUCUUUCUAUAUUUUCAAUUUGAAUUUUGAAAAUUUUUUUUUGUCUCAAACACGGUGCAACUCGAUCGAAGGAAGUAUGGGAUAUAUUACAGAAGGAAUACCAAGGUAACAAAAAGGUACUCGGAGUUAAGAUUCAAACUUUAAAAAGAAGAUUUUAAGCUUCUUUUAUGCAAAAAAAAUAAAAAUAUUCAUACUUUUUAUUCUAAAGUUAUGGAAUUAGUUACCUUAAUGCGUACCUAUGGUGAACAGAUUACUGAUCAAACAGUAAUCGAAAAAAUUUUAAGAAGUCUCACGAAAAUAUAUGGUAAUGUAGUUUUUGCUAUAGAAGAGGCAAAAGAUUUAUCUAAAUUAUCUUGUAGCGAAUUUCUUGGUUCUCUUUUAGCGCAUGAGGAAUGAAAAGAUAGAAUUGAAAAUUUUUCUGAGCAUGCUUUUCAAAGCGAGGUGAAAGGCGAUGAAAAAAGUGGUACAGAUACUUUCAGUCAUUAAGCUUCAGUAUCUGGUGGCCGUGGCAGAGGCCGUGAUCGUGGCUGUGGUAGAGGCUGUGGCGGUAGAUCUAGUGGUUUCAACAACAAAAACGGUAAAGGAUCAGGUAAUCAAAAUCAGAGAAUCUAUGAAGGUACCGAUUAGUCCCACAAUCGUAAAAAUAUUCAAUGCUAUUAUUGUAAAAAAUUUGGCCAUAUUAAGCGGUUUUGUCGAUUAAAACAACAAAAUGCUUAUUUUGCUCAUGGAAAGAAUGAAAAUGAUAAUAUACUUUUUGCAUGUCAUUCAUUAGAAAAAGCUGCUAACAAUAUUUGGUAUGCUAAUAAUGGUUGUAGCAGUCACAGGACAGGAAAAGAAGAAAACUUUAUUAAUUUGGACAAAUCAGUUAAAGGCUUCUGGGAAAAUUAAACUUCCAUGGAAAAGGUACAAUCGCGUGGCGAUGGGUGACGGCUGUGUCCAUGACAUGCACGGAAGAGGUACAAUUGCGGUAAAUAUUUCUAGAAUGCAAAAAAUAAAUAAUGUCUUAUGUAACACCCCAUACUUUUAAACCUCUUGUUUUGACUCCUAUCUUAUUAAGUUUGGACCUUUUCGUAAUUUUCAAUCUUCGAGGGACUCGGCGGCAUAUUGUUACCUAAUUAGUACCUAAUUUAAUUAGUUCUUUCUAGCCAACCCUCACCCGAUCUCUCUUUUUCCCUCUCGCACGACUCUCUCUCUCUCUCCUCCUUCACUGCGUCCGUACGCCUCUACUGCUCCGCACGUGCGUGCGCGGCACCAUCCGAUCCCUACCAUCGUCGCCGUCAUCCGUAGUCGCAAUCAUCGCCGCCGCAAUCCUCAUCCAUCGAUAUUUUUGAUUCGUCAUCGUCAUUCCGCCUUCAAGGCCUAUUUCCUUUUAUUUCUUUACAUCCAUUCUUGACAGUAUCUAAUUCCUCACUCAUGGUUGUAUGAUUAUUUUGAACACUUAUAUCUUAAUGUUUGGGAUUAAAACUAUUAAAAAUCUAAUUCGUUGUAAUCUUAUUCUUGUCUUUUGAACUGUCAAAUUUUAUAUCUUACAUCCUCUAUAAAAUUUAGUUGUGUAAACUUCGCACAUUCUACACAUUUUUGGAAUGCCCGUUAUAUGUUCGAUAAAACGCCUAUGAGAGGGCGAAUUUCGUUUUGUUUGCAAAUUCGAUUCCAUUGAUUGUAUAUCGUAAAAUUAUAUUUCCACAUUUGACAAACUUCUUUUCUAACGCUAAACCUUUCAUUUAUAAUUUCAAUUUCCGUUCAUGUUAUCUUACUCCUUUGAAUAAUUUAAUUUUCAAAACUCCUUCAUCCCUUUGAUUGCUAAUUGAGUUUCGUCAAAUUUAUUAUUCUAAAUCCCUUUGUAUUCCAUCCCGACCUAUUUGCAUACCUUUGUAACCGAAUUGUCACCGAUGUGAGCCUAUCCAAAUUUAAACCUUGGGUAAACUUGUCUCCUAAAUAUAAUUAUAUCCUUUUUGCAUGUUCAUUUUUGAGUUAGCUUAUAGAGAAUCGCAUGUCUCUAUUUUAGAUUCCGACGAUUGAUUUUCUGCGUAGUUUCGACUGGAUAAUUCCUUAUCUUUGAGGCUGCGCUAAGGUAAGCGACCGGACCCCUGUUAGCUUUUCGCUAAAUAAUUUAGGAAAACACUUUGAUUGUGUAAAAAUCUUUAUUUUGUAGAUUUUAAAAUUAAGGGUUAAGCAUAUUACUAAAUAUCUCUGAAAACUGAACUUCUGCUGUGAUUGACAAAUUCUUUUAACACAAGAAUAUUUGAAAUUUGAUAAUCUGUUCUGUAAAUUAGUGACUGGAUAAUUUUGAAUUAUAAUGUAUCUUGGUAUUCUGCUAUGCUAAUGUUGGCCAUGUCGACAUGUAUUUUGUUAUAGAAGCAAGCUUCGUCUUUGUAUUGCGCCUUCGGGUGCCUGCGCCUAUCUGUGUCUCUGUUUUGUUUGUGCCUACGGGUGCCUUUGUUUUGUACAUGCACCUUCGGUGCCUCUGUUCUGUUUGCGCCUUCGAGCGCCUCUGGAUCUCGCCAAUGGAUCAUAUGAUAUAGUUAGUUGCCGAAGAAUGGUAUUCACAGGCAGUUGACAAUCAGUUACACGCCUCAGCAGAACGGUGUUGCAGAGCGCAAAAAUCGAAGUUUAGUCGAGAUAGCAAAACGCAUGUUGAAAGUGAAAAACCUCCCAAACAAAUUUUGGCAGAAGCGGUACUAUUUACUAGCGAGUCCCGGAUCUGAGAGUUCUGCCCGGUUUGCUCCCCGUGCACAUUUUUCGCUAAAUUUCAACUCGCUUCCCGCACAUCCCACAAUGACCCGUAGUGCUCUGAACAGCGAGCACGGCCUUCGCCUUGCCGUGACCUACCAACCUGUGUCUCGAUUGACCUCGAAAAUCAUCGGUUAGUAGUAACAAUCCAUGAAACCUAUCUAAUUACAUUAAUAUCGUGGUUACUUGUAAUAGUAGAGGCUUUUAUGCAAAAUAUCGCCCCGCGACUGCUGAGGACAGCGUGUAUACAUGGUAGAAGACCUCUGGACUGAUCGUCCAAGGUCCGAAGCCCUUCGUAGGGGCCGAAUGUCGGAUUCGGUGCGUUUUGGCUGGUCACCUACGUCAUUUCAAAGGUUUGAAGGCGACAAGUAAGCAGCGGAUGGUUCCGGCGUCGAAAUUGACACUUCCGGGAACCCGAGUUGGAACGACUAUUCGACGAUAAUCGUUUUGACAUGAGUUUUGAUGUUGGCUCCUUGGAUACCCAAAUUGAUGUGUUUUGAGGCAGCGGGUGACUCGUGGCACGAGUCGGUGUGUUUCGAGACACUUAGUGGGUCCCGGCGGCGUCCCAGUGUGAUUUUUGGGAUUUCCAGCGAGUUACGGUCAUCGGUUUUGGGAAACCAAUUCCAUGGGAAAUGUGUGGGGUUUGUGAGUUGUGUAUUUUGGAUUGGUGGGUUGGACACAGACCCGGUAGAUUCUCUGUAGGUUCAGUUGACGAUUUUGUACAGUUCGGAGACAUGUGCGACACUAAUACAUAUGGAUACUUUGAUCCGAAGUCGGUCUAGUGGUGCACGCUCGGUGACGUUCCCUCUACCCUCUCUCUUUAUGUUUCUCACAUAUUACCCAUGUUUGUUGAGCAUAGCACCAUAUGACUUCAUUACAUGUUGCUCUACUUAAUUAUUUUCAUAUCAGUUACUGUGAUAUAGAAGUAGAGCGGUUGCUUGUUUAUCAUACCUGAGGAUUGUGACAUCAGUGUGACCUAGUUGGUCGGUUUGAGAUUCUAAUUGAUGACCUAUUCGGUCGGCACACCCUGAGGGAUUGAUUGAUGGCUAUUUGCCGACGGCUAUUGAUCAUAUUUGCAUCGAUCGUCACUACUCGUUCGCAUUUUCGUACACCAGCGAUUUGGCUACCGCAACGGUGUUCUUUUCCGAAAAAAGUGGUCGGACUUCUGACCCAUGAGCCCAGGAGCUUAUGCUAGGAUAUGCUAUUUAGAGUGGCGUGGCACUUGCCUAAGAUCCUUUGACCGACACGGCGGAUUCUAGAUUUGGUAUUUUGGACUGGCUGUCCGAUUGAUGCAUGUUAUUUACAGUAGCGGUAGUUGCAUUUAUAUAUUCUACUUUCCUACUUGACAUUGCUACUGUAUUACUUUAUAGCUACCUUUUUUGGUUACUAGUGAGUACACUCGCCCUCGUUGGCUUGUGGUAUCCACUGGAAGACUCUUUGUUAGUUUCUCACCCCCCCUCCCAUUUCAGGUGACAUUGGGGGUCUGAGUCAGGACGAGGCGUGAGGCGCGCACAUAGCGAGAGUUAGAAUUCUUGGUUGAGCUAUCUAUCAGUUCUAGACUCACCCCCUUUUGAUUUGAAUAAUUAAUUAGAUAAUUGUGGUUCAGUUUAUCAUUAUUUAACCUGAUUUGGUUUUAUUCCAUUCAUGGUAUGGCUUUGAAUAUUGAAUGAAGAUAUUUGUGAUUUUUAUGUGAACUUAUGAAAUGGUUUUCUACCCCUUGUGGUAGCUUGCUUUUAAAAGAAAAGGUUUCCGUGUGGGAAACGGUUUUAAAAAGGAUUUUUCGGUUUUUGUGAUUCUAGUAUUUCCAACUGAGUUUCCGGGUGGGAAACAUUUUCAAAUGAUUGAUGGGCAUGUUUGAAAGUAAAUCGUGAUUAUGUGAUGUGGUGAUUGUAUAUAUGGUUUGUGAAUGAUUGUGGUUGUAACUUGUACAUGUGCGAUAUCGUGCAAUUACAGGGGAGACUCUGUCCGUGUGAACAAAGGGUUCCCUAUAUUUAUGGUGGAUCUGUCAUCCCCUGGGGUCAAGAUUUUCAAAAAAAAAAAAAAAAAAAUUGGGCACUUUCACUAUUUUUUUUUGCCGAAAAGAGGACCCCAGACCCCGGGGUGUGACAUCCAUUUGGCAAAUUUUUACCGAACGACGCCAUAGGACCACAAUUAAACUCCGCAACGGCUCCCGAACCUUUGACGAUCAAUCAAGAGGUCUCUAACAGCGAUUACAUGUUGUUCAAAGCAGUGCACAGGGUCCACGUUGCAUAAAACACGCAAACAAUACCACUAAUACAUUAAACGUUAAUCAAACAAUACAUAAAAUUGGGUUUCAAGCUCGUUACCCCAAUCCGUGGUGUAACAAACCAAACCAGCCCAUUGAUUUGAUUCGUCUAGACGCUACAAGAUCCGUGCCUGCUGUCUGGAGUGAAAACAGUGGCUGAAAGGUUGCGAAUUAGCGAGAAAAACCACCAAAAGUUGAUCCUGAAAGCGACCACGGCUUUCGCGCACACCGGAGCUUCACCAAUCGUAGCGAAAGUGAGCAUGGUACUCCACAGGGUCCCAGAGUGUAGUGCUCACACUUUGGGUGCUCGCCGAUGUUCGCGGCAGCCGAAAAACAAAGAUCGCCUAAAACCAACCUCGGUUUGGAGCCUACCCAAGCUAGGGCGCCAAGCGGGGGAGCUGCCGGAGGCACGGCCGCCUGAGCUCCGGCCAAGAGGUGGUCACCGUACCCGAAGAGAGGGGUCGGGACCCCUGGCUGGUGGCGAAAGGGACCGGCGGCGGGCUUCACAAGCAGCCCGCGGCUAGGGCAAUCGGGCACGGUGCAACUGCGGCUCGAGGGCGACGCCGGUGGUCCCUUGGGACCGCCGAGGUCGGCCAGAGGCGGUGGGGAGGUGUAGCAGCGGCCAGGUGGCUCCCCACGACCGCGCAGCUGCUACUGCUCUCCCCUUGGCUGCAGCACUUCCCCAAGGCAUGGCGGUGCCGGUGAUCUUAAGGGGCGGCCGCCUGGAGUUAGAGGACCAUGCCAGCAGCGGUCCUGGUCAGCGAUGGCGCAGGGAUAGUGUCACGCCCCGGGACCGAUACCAAUUUGGGCCGGCCUGAGCACUUCAAACAGACGCCGAACGGACAGAGUUUCCCCUGUCCGCCCAAGGCUCAUCACAUGUACAUUUUCAAAUAAGAAGUGCACUAGCGGAAACAUACAAAUACGGCUUACACGAGGGUAAGCAAUAGCCACGAGUGAAGAAAUAGGAUAACUAUGCAACUACACAAGUACCAUGUUUUCAUUUUGAUUUUUUGCAUUUUGAUCACAUACAUUUUGAUAACUAUGCAACUAUGAUUCAUUUUGAUCACAUACAUGUAUCCCUUUUCAUUCUUGAUUCUUUGCAUUUCACUACAUUACAUUGCUUGCAUCAUUUCUUUUUACAUCACAUUUACCUCAAAAUGAGCUUUACAUUCUUUUCUUUACAUCACUAGUCAUCAAAUACAAAAGAUGAACAUAGGGUACUCUACUAACAAAAUGUAAACCCAACUCAACUCUGAUGGCCUCUGUCUAAGGCGCGAUACCUUUAUCUCGGUGGCUCGCCAGCUCGCUCGGUCCCGGCUCUGUGGAAACAGUGGGGUGAGAACUACAACAAAGUUCCCAGUGGGUUCGGCCUCAACUUCACUGACUUUCCUACUAGGACUAACUCAGGCAUAAUAGAAGGAAAAACUGCAUAUAGUAAUCAAACUAUAAUAUGAUGCUAAUAUGCCUGAACAAUAAGCAGGAAGUAUGCUCAACAUUAAACAUAUGCAGAUUAUGCAAGUUCUUUGUUCUUUAUACUUUACACUUUAUCUUUGUUCUUUGCUCUUUAUUCUUUAAUCUCACGGCUAACCCGGGGGUUUCGCCUCAUUAACUUGCUUCACAUUAAGUCCAUCAUCGCAGGAACUCACCCGUUAGGACCGUCCUUCGGGUUUACUCCAACCCGUGAUGCAUAACUCCGGAGCGCAUCGCCCGAGGGGGAGCAACCGCCCUCGAGCAUGGAACUCAUAGCAAGUAUGAUCGAAUCCUUAACUCAGAGGAUUGUAUGUUCAAUCUUGACUUUACACUAACUAUAGUGUUCUUCAUUUCACUUUAUGUUGCCACUCUAGCAAUCAUUGUUCUUUACAUUUCUUUACCUUUGGCUAUCUUUAGCAUUCUUGUUCUUUACACCCCACUUUGUUUUCACUUUAGUCAUUAACAUUAUUCUUUACAUUUCUUUGCCUUACACUACCUCUAGUGUCACUUUACUUUACAUUAUCAAAUGCCACUCGUUGUGUCACUCUGUUCUUUCGCCUCACUUUGGUGCUCACAUUUUCUCUUAUGCAUACAUAUAGGAUUUUUGACAUUCAUAAGGUUCUCAACCAUCUCAUUAUGCAAGUUGUACUCACAAUCAUGCAAUAUCACAUUUUUCUCAUUACUUUAUCCUAAAAUGCAUGCAAUAAUGUAUAAACAUAUGCUCAAUUGAAUGACACAUCAGGCAUAGAGGGAAGUUCAACGAGUUUGAGAUGCACCACCCACCUCGUAGGUUCUCAAAGGUGCUCCGAUGAUUUUCUUGGGAUUUUUAGGCCUCUCGUUCUUUACCUGCGGCAAAAUGAAGCCAACUUAGGUCCUUUUGCCCAUAACUUUACAUUGGCUUUUCGUAAUGCUAAUCCGAACGCACCAACGAGUCGAAAAUAUCCCCAAUUAGAUUUCUAGAGGGUCAAUUUCUCUUAGAAACCCCCAUGAGCAAAAGCCCAAAUUCGGAUGCCCUAGCUCCAUUGCAUACAUCAAACCUAGGGUUUGAUCUCAUUAGGAAGCAAAAGAAGCUUCAUGGUACUCUAAAAGGUCUAUUCUGACCAUUACUUGCUCAAUCAAAACCCUAGUUUGGAUUUCACCAUGAGAGGUGUUGAAGCUCACCUUCAAGCUUCACCUCUAUACCAAACCAUGGUUUUGAUCUCAAAAGAAGCAAAAAAGAAAGUUUCAAAGACUCUAAAUACUCCAUUAAAACCAUUUCUAGGUUAAUCCAAAUCCUAGUUUGGAAUUUAGCAUGAGAAGGGGCAAGACUUACCUCUAAGCUUGCUCCUUUUCCAAGCUAGAGAAGGAGAUGAGAGGUUUUUUUCUUCUCCUUUUCUUCUUCUUCACUUUCUUUUCCUUGUCCUUUUCUUCUCCUUCUUUGUCUUCUAGAGAGAGAAAGAGAGGAGAGAGUGUGAGGGGGAGUAAAAUGAGAGAAAUAUCUCAUUUACCCUCAUACAUAACUCAUUGGGUUGCCAAAAUGCAAAUAAACACCUCAACUUUUACUCUUUCACACUGCCUGAACUGGGCAGUUCGCGUAGGCGGGGACCGGUCUCUCCAUCAGGGACCGGUUCCCGAAGCUUGUCCCAGCGCAGCUAGAGCUGCUCCGCGCGAUGCGACCGGUCUCUCUUGAGGGGACCGGUCUCUGGGGGACCGGUCUCUCGGGGAGGGACCGGUUCCCGAGAGCUGAUUUUCCAAGACUUAGCCGAUUUUUCAGCUACUUAAUUUUUUACGCGUUCGGGGACCGGUCUCUCCCACCAGGGACCGGUCCCCGAGAGCUCAAAAACUGCAGUUUGCAGAUUUUUGAUUCUUUGGCUCUCGAAAACCUUCCAUAACUCACUUUUGAUCAUUUUAACACCUUCGGACUUUCCGAAGUGUACCAUCCUCACACUUUGGUCAAUUUGACUAAAGUUCGAUAUUUAUUCUCCGAAUUUUCGGUAUAUUACAGAUAGCCGGCUCUCGAAAAUAUGCAAGAAAAAAUAAAUCAGACCAAGUCUAUAAUCAAUAGUUUAUCCUUGAUUCAUUCAAUAAAUUGGAACAAAAAAAUGAAAUAAUCUGAGUAACGUAAAGAAAGAUAUUAUCACCUGCAUUGAUAAUGGUCUUAAUUGUGGCCCUGUUUGGCCAAGCUUCCUAAAAGUGAUUUUCGGCUGAAAAUCACUUUUAGGCCCAAUAGAGUGUUUGGUAACGGUAUUUGAAAAAUCUGAUUCUGCUUUUUAAAAGCUGAAAACUGAUUCUUCAACCCCUAAAAGCAGAAGCUGAAAAAACCUGCUUUUCAAAACAGAUUCCCGCAGAAGCUGUUUUCCCACUUAAAUUUUUUUACAAAAAUACCGAAAUUGCCCUUAAACAUUCAAUACAAUUCUAUCAUAUCCUUUUAUAAUUAAAAUACUCUCUCUCCCAUCACUCUACCAUUACCCUCCCAUUACUCACAGCAACCUACUACUCCCACAAAAAAAAACACUCCUUUCCUCUUCUUCUUCAUCUAAUCACUCUCCUCUCCUCUCUUCCUCUUCGGCGAGUUUCUUCAUCUCUCUCCCCUUUUCCUCUCCGGCGACGCCUUUCCACCGGCGAGUUUUUUCUCCGGCGAACCUCCAAGGUACUCCCCAUUUUUUUUUUUUUUCAAGAAGAGUGUUUUUUUUUUCAGACUUAUCUCCCUCCCUCUCUUGAUUUCUCUUCCUAAUCCGCGCCCGGCACCAUAUCCGGCCCCAGAUCCGCGCCCGGCCCCAGAUCCGGCCCCAGAUCCGCGCCGGCGUGAUCCGGCAAAGACGGAUCCCGCCAGCUUGGCCGGAUCCGCCCCGGCGAGCUCUGGCUUUGCCGGAUCCAGCCUCUGAUCUGCCUUUGAGCCGGAUCCGGGCAUGGAUCACGCCAGCGGGAUCCGGCAAAGACGGAUCACGCCAGCGGGAUCCGGCAAAGACGGAUCCCGCCGACUUGGCCGGAUCGGCACCGACAGGGGAAUCGAAUGCAUGAUCUCUACCUUUAGCAGACAUGUUAAUUAUCAGAAAUGUGCAUGAUCUUUAAGUUAAAAAAAAAAUCAACAAUGGCAUUAUAGUAUUCUCCACAACAUUAAUAUAUGGAUUUUCUGAAACAAAGCCUUCUAUGUGCUCCACCAUUCUUGCAUCAUGACCUCCAUUUUAGGUGGUUGUGCUUCUACAGCUAAUUUCCACAAUUAGAAAACAAAUAGUGCUUAUAAAUUAUUAACAUUGGUAAAGUUCUUUGGUUAGUUGUUGUCCAAUACAUAGUUUAGAAAAUGGGCUUUUACAUUUAUAACUCUCUGCAAACACAGCUAUUUACAUAUAUAUGUUCCAUUGUAAACUUUGAACUUUCAUAUACUCCUCAAAAAAUGCUCUUUCUUAUAGAAACAGCCAUAUUUUACAUUGGAGAGUUAUCCAAUUCAUAGAGUAGAUGGUUUAGUAUCUAGAAAGGUUUACCUAGUAGAUGGUAGUUGGUAGUAGAUGGUAGUUUACAUUGGAGAGUUAUCCAGUUCAUAUACUCGAAUUUUCCAGUGUGCUGUUAAAAUAGCAUUCAGAACAAACCAAAAUUCUAGUAGAUGGUAGUUUUAGUAUUUCGAACCUUCUUCGAGUUUGGAACUUGAAGAAACAUCAAGCAAUUUUGAAUUUAACUCUUGUUCCACUAUCUCUCUGUUACGAAGACUGAUUAUGCCUUCUUUUCUGGUCACUCCCAAGCACCAUGAAAGAACAGUAGUAGUUGACAUGCUAUGAAAAUCACUUUUAGGCCUAUACCUGCAAACACCUAACAAAUUCAAUGGGUACAACUCAACUUUUGAGUACAAUAUGUGUUGGAAGGGAAAUGAAUGCAUGCAUCUAGGAAUUUGUUUCCAGUGAUUAUUUUGUGAAAUUUAUUGUAUGCAUGUAUCAAUUAUUUAGUGACUUUUUAUUUGUAUUUAUCUUUUAAUGCAUAUUUGUUUACUAGAAAUCUGAAAGAUGAAUUCAUCACAAGGAGAACCAUCUACCCAAAAAGAAAAAAAAAUUAAAGCUACGUGGGAUGCAACGUUGCUUAAAAUUUUUUGCGAAAUAUGUGUUGAAGAGGUCAAUGCCGGGAACCGACCUAAUACUCAUUUGAAUAGAAUUGGAUGACAAAAUGUGGUUAAUAAAUUUAGAGAGAAAGCAAAUAGAGCUUAUGACAAAAUACAAUUGAAAAAUAAAUGGGAUUCUCUUAGAAGGGAUUGGGUUAUAUGGAUGCAAUUAGUCGGUAAAGAGACAGGAUUAGGAUGGAAUCAUGCAAGGGGUACCAUUGAUGCCAGUCUUGAAUGGUGGGAGGAGAAAUUAAAGGUUAGUAUAAAAUAGUUUGUUUAUAGCUUAUUCAUACUGUAUGUUUUCUUUACAAUAUAAUGUAACCAUAUGAAUAUAUGUAGGUACUACCUGAAGCUGCAAAGUUUCGUGACACGGGGUUGGAGAAUGCUGCACUACUACAAGUUAUGUUUUCGAAAACCGUUGCUUUAUGUGACACGGCAUGGACACCGGCUUUAGGGACAAUGCCUCCCGAUCCAUUUCGUUCACGUGAUUUAGAGGAAGGUAGUGGAGACUCAGGUGACGACAUCAAUGUGGCAGCUAUAAAUCUUGAACCCGGUGAUUCUGAGGUUACUCCUUUAAGUGAUAAAGGAAAAAAAAGAGUAAGAGAUAGUUAGGAAAAAAAAAAAAACAAGAAAGAUAGAAUUGGAUCAGCUGCUUAUAUGCAACAACAAUUAUCACGUAUAUGCGAUGCAGUCGAGAGCUUUAAUUCUCAAAGUAGCCGUUCAGUCACAUCUAGGAGCUCGACCUAUAGUUUAAGAUUGUAUGGCUUUGUUGAUGACGAUGAAUGAAAUUACACGAAUGAGUGCACUUUAUAUGUUUGCCAUUCGCUUAUUUAAAAAAUCGAUUAAUCGAGAGGUAUUCAUAGACUUGAAGGAACCGGAAGUGCGACUCGCGUGGCUAAAGGAUGAAUUUGAAGAAUAUACGGCGACAAAGAAACCAGCAACUUAGGAUGUUUUUCAUUAGUAUUCUGUUGUUGUACUAGUAAUAUUGUUUUAACAUUAAUGUGUGUUAUUGUGUGUUUGUUGUGCUCUAAUAUGCAACAUUGUUAGUAAUUUUAUGUUGUUGUGUGUUUGUUAUGCUUUUUAAUAGAAUGUUGUAUGCUACUGUAUUAAUAAUAUUAUGCUUUCUAAUAGUUUGUUGUGUACUAUUUUUAUGUUUUGUUGUUAUAUAAUGAUAUGUUGCUUUUGUACUAUGAACUUUGUUAAUAAUAGUUUGUCAUUUAUUAUUAUGCAUUUUUUAUGUACAGAUGAGCUCGAAUACAACAAGUGAUUCAAAUUCUAUAGAAGAUGAAAGUGACUCCGAAGAUGAAAGUAACUGCGAAGUGGACAAAAUAAGAAAAUUUUAUAUGACGGCUACUGUUGGAGUUGCAAUAUGUGCUAAUUAUUAUGCCAAGUAUCUCAUGAAACAAAAUCCUAGAACUUCAACACUUUCUGGAUGGCAAUGGGUUCAAGAAACCUUACGAACCCCAGGGGAGAGUUAUAGAAUGCUUCGUAUGGAGUCUGAAGUAUUUAAAAGAUUAGCUUUGUUGCUUACUAAUAAUUAUGGUUUACAAUCAACUCGAGCAAUGCAUGCAGAGGAGGCGCUUGCGAUAUUUCUUUUGGUUUGUGGACACAAUGAAACAAAUCGUAAUAUUCAAAACCGUUUCAAGCAUUCGGGUGAAACAAUUAGUAGAAAAUUUAAUGAAGUUCUUGAUAGUUUAGUUCGAUUUUCUGUUGACAUAAUUAAACCGUUGGAUCCUUCAUUUACUACAACCCCUCCUCAAAUUCGCAACAAUGUUAGGUUCUGGCCUCAUUUUGAAGGAGCUAUUGGUGCAAUUGAUGGAACACUUAUUCGUGCUGUUAUACCUAAAGAAGAUCAAAUUCCAUAUAUUGGUAGAAAGCCUUACCCAAUGCAAAAUAUAAUGGCUGUUUGUGAUUUCAAUAUGGUGUUCACAUUUGUUGUUGCCGGUUGGCCGGGAGCCACGCAUGAUGCACGAAUUUUCACUACUACUUUGAAUAACUAUGGUCAUAUAUUUCCACAUCCUCCUGAAGGUUAGUUUAGUUUUUUGUUUUUUAAAUAGUAAGUUAUAUUUAUAGUUUUAUAUUGCAAUUAUCUAAUAGUUUUUAUUAUUUUCUGUCUAUGUGUAGGUAAGUACUAUCUUGUAGACGCAGGGUAUCCCAAAAUAAAAGGAUAUUUAGGACCUUAUGCUGGCGGAGAUGUUAGAUAUCAUAUUCCUGAAUUUAGACGGGGAUCUCAACCACGAGGUUAUAAAGAAGUGUUUAAUCAUGCACAUUCAUCCUUGAGGAAUGUUAUUGAACGAUCAUUUGGUGUACUUAAAGCACGGUGGCGUAUAUUACAAAUGAUGCAAGGUUAUCCAGUGCCAACUCAAUCAAAAAUAGUGUCUGCAACUAUGGCACUUCACAACUUUAUUAGGAUGAGUUCAACGCAAGAUGAAGAGUUCAACAAAUGUGAUCAAGAUAUAAAUUAUACGGUUAUUUGCAUACACGUCCCUGCAAACAUAGUGAAUUACGAAAAUAUCCCUGCAAAACGGAAACUCCAUAAGUUGUCCCUGCAAAAGUCCUAAUUUAUGCAGAUAUGUCCCUCUGAUUAACAUAUGUUAGAGAACUGUUUAUUUUUUAACAGUUUUCUUGUGAAAUGACCAUUUUGCCCUUACAAAUAUAUCCCUACAAAAGCAUCAUCUUCCCCUUCUCUUUCUCUUCCUCUUCCUCUUCGGGCUGCCGGAGCGGAUGGCGGCGACGGCGCGAGUCGAGCUCGCCGGCGACGAAGAAGAGGGAAGAGAAAGAAUGAGAGGAAGAAAAAAAUAGAAGAGGAAGAAGGAGAGGCAGAGGGAGAGGAAGAGGGAAGAGAAAGAUGAAGAGGGAAAGGAUUCGUCGCCGCGCCGCGCCGCCGCAUCUCCUCCCUCGCCGGCGACGAAGAAGAGGGAAGAGGAAGAGGAAGAGGAANNNNNNNNNNNNNNNNNNNNNNNNNNNNNNNNNNNNNNNNNNNNNNNNNNNNNNNNNNNNNNNNNNNNNNNNNNNNNNNNNNNNNNNNNNNNNNNNNNNNNNNNNNNNNNNNNNNNNNNNNNNNNNNNNNNNNNNNNNNNNNNNNNNNNNNNNNNNNNNNNNNNNNNNNNNNNNNNNNNNNNNNNNNNNNNNNNNNNNNNNNNNNNNNNNNNNNNNNNNNNNNNNNNNNNNNNNNNNNNNNNNNNNNNNNNNNNNNNNNNNNNNNNNNNNNNNNNNNNNNNNNNNNNNNNNNNNNNNNNNNNNNNNNNNNNNNNNNNNNNNNNNNNNNNNNNNNNNNNNNNNNNNNNNNNNNNNNNNNNNNNNNNNNNNNNNNNNNNNNNNNNNNNNNNNNNNNNNNNNNNNNNNNNNNNNNNNNNNNNNNNNNNNNNNNNNNNNNNNNNNNNNNNNNNNNNNNNNNNNNNNNNNNNNNNNNNNNNNNNNNNNNNNNNNNNNNNNNNNNNNNNNNNNNNNNNNNNNNNNNNNNNNNNNNNNNNNNNNNNNNNNNNNNNNNNNNNNNNNNNNNNNNNNNNNNNNNNNNNNNNNNNNNNNNNNNNNNNNNNNNNNNNNNNNNNNNNNNNNNNNNNNNNNNNNNNNNNNNNNNNNNNNNNNNNNNNNNNNNNNNNNNNNNNNNNNNNNNNNNNNNNNNNNNNNNNNNNNNNNNNNNNNNNNNNNNNNNNNNNNNNNNNNNNNNNNNNNNNNNNNNNNNNNNNNNNNNNNNNNNNNNNNNNNNNNNNNNNNNNNNNNNNNNNNNNNNNNNNNNNNNNNNNNNNNNNNNNNNNNNNNNNNNNNNNNNNNNNNNNNNNNNNNNNNNNNNNNNNNNNNNNNNNNNNNNNNNNNNNNNNNNNNNNNNNNNNNNNNNNNNNNNNNNNNNNNNNNNNNNNNNNNNNNNNNNNNNNNNNNNNNNNNNNNNNNNNNNNNNNNNNNNNNNNNNNNNNNNNNNNNNNNNNNNNNNNNNNNNNNNNNNNNNNNNNNNNNNNNNNNNNNNNNNNNNNNNNNNNNNNNNNNNNNNNNNNNNNNNNNNNNNNNNNNNNNNNNNNNNNNNNNNNNNNNNNNNNNNNNNNNNNNNNNNNNNNNNNNNNNNNNNNNNNNNNNNNNNNNNNNNNNNNNNNNNNNNNNNNNNNNNNNNNNNNNNNNNNNNNNNNNNNNNNNNNNNNNNNNNNNNNNNNNNNNNNNNNNNNNNNNNNNNNNNNNNNNNNNNNNNNNNNNNNNNNNNNNNNNNNNNNNNNNNNNNNNNNNNNNNNNNNNNNNNNNNNNNNNNNNNNNNNNNNNNNNNNNNNNNNNNNNNNNNNNNNNNNNNNNNNNNNNNNNNNNNNNNNNNNNNNNNNNNNNNNNNNNNNNNNNNNNNNNNNNNNNNNNNNNNNNNNNNNNNNNNUAUAUAUAUAUAUAUAUAUAUAUAUAUAUAUCAUUUCUAAUCCUUUUAACUUGUUGUUUAACUUGUUGUUCAUGAGCCAGCUCAUGUUCUACUCGAUAAUAAAUAAGCCGAACAUGAGUUGAAUUUUUCGGCUCGUUAUUUUAAUGAACCAGCUUGUGUUCACCUUGUUUCAUAAACGAGCCGAACAUGAGCAGGGCCCAGCUCGCUCGUGUUCGGCUCGUUGACAGCCCUAAAUAUGUGUAAGAAUUAAAGUAAUUAGGCCUUAAGCAAAAUGCAUCAAGCUCUUACUAUCAAACAAAUUCCUAAUAAUUCAACACUUCUUAUAGGCCCUUUCCACUCAAAUUUUUUUAAAAGGGCCUUUCCCCUCAAUUAUCUCAGUAAAAACUUAACCUAAUCAUUUCAUCCUUUUGAAAUUAUAACAACAACAAUGACAACCGCAAUUCAACAGAGUAAUAGUUUUAAUAAUUAAAGUAAAAAAUAGAAAAAUAUCACUAUGAAAAGAGUAAGAAGUGAUGAAGCGAAGUCGGUCUUGACACAGUCGUUUGCUGCGACGAUGUAGAGUGCGAAAGGGUAGUUGUGGAUGGUGGUGUGGCAGAGGAAAUCAUGAUUGGUGCAGAGAAAGGAGAGGAUGGCGUCGAUGCCCCCUAUUUGGAUCGCGUUGAAGAAGGCGCACUUAUAGUUGGAUUAGCUAAAACUUUUUCGAUGAUGGCUCCAGCAAGAACUCCGGCCAUCGCUCUACCGCGCCACCACCGCAUUAAGGAGAGCAGAGAGAGGGAGGGAAGAGAGAGAGAGCUUGAAAGGGUUUUGGGUAAAGGAAGAGUGGAAUUUGAAGUUGGGUUUUGAGGAGCACCAUAAAAAUUAAGAGAAAGAGAGAAGCGGAGACCGAAAAGACUGUCCCUUCUAUCGAAGAGAUGGGAGGGGAAUUAACACGAUCUCUAAAAGUUUUCUUUUACAUUAUAGGCUCCAUCUUCAAUGAAUUGAGAAACGAUCAGAUUCAAUAAAAGAAGAUGAAUAAUAAAGUAAGUGGGCCCUACAGUCAAUAUUUAAGGUAAACUUGACAUGUGGACAAAAUUAUAGAAAUUUAUUAUAGUUUAUAGAUUAUAGAUUGUAGAUAAUUCCGUUGUUUACUGUUGUAAUUAAAGUGUAAUAGCUUGUUAGUAGGGAUGGCAAAGGGUCAGGUUCGGAGCGAAUUUUAAAAAACCCGAAUUCGAACCCGACUACUAAAUUCAAAACUCGAAAUUGGGUGGGUUUCAAAAAACUCGAACAGUAACCCAACUAUCAAAUCUGAAAUCCGAAUCCAAACCCGAAUCCGACGGAUUUUAUAAAUCCAUAUCCAAACCCGAAUCUCUCUCUCAUCCGCUCUCUCACCGCGCUCGGUCCACUCGCGGUCCCGGCGCCCCGCUCUCUCGCGAGGAGGACGACGACGAGGGCAAAGAGGAGGUUGUGCCGUGGUUGCGAUAUCUAGGGUUUUCCCUCUCUCAGCCGCUCCCUCUCUCCCUUUCAGUCUACCCAGCUUUAAUCCUAGUCAUCUUGCAGACUCACACUUUCCUCUUCUUCUCCCUCGCAACCUUCCCUCGACGAUGGCCGCCGAGCCCAAAACUAAGUACGAUCGCCAACUCAGGUACUCUCUCUCUCCCUCUCUCUCUCUUCCUCCCGGUAGUAAUUUAGGGUUUUGUUUAUGCUCUCGUCGUCUUUAUGAUCCCUUGGUCCUACAAUCUCUUCAUCUCUCUCGAUCUAUUUGUGAUCGCUGAAAACUUCAGUUGUACGAGCAUUUAUUUUAUCAAUAUAUAAUUGGGUUAUAUCUGAGGUGUUUGUAACAGUAUUGAUUGGUUUUUGCUUCUUUCUUGAUAUACUUAAAUGUGUUAUUUAUGGGUAAUUUAAGUAGCAAUAUUUCCUUAUAUUUUGUUCAUUUGGUCUUAUUUUAGACAUAGACAAUGAACGGAAAUAGUGUUAUUCUAGUUAUGUAAAACCUUGGCACAAUUAUACUUAGCCACCCGAACUUAAAAAAGAGAUGUUAAAAGAAACCACAUGUUCGAAUUUCUAUGAAAUUCAAUAACUAAUUAUUGCUCGUGAUUGCCAUUUGACCCUUAAAACUCAUGGUUAUCCUUUUCUUCUUCGCCAAUGAUAAGAUGAACUUAUGGGUAUUUGAGUUAUUUGAUCUUUUUAUGAAGGUCAAUAAUAUAUUAAAGCCCUUUUUGGAUGUUGGAAAAAGAUGUUCAAUGGUAAAUUAUCCGGUAUGCAAAUUUUCUUGCAUGAUUGAUAGUUGUAAGCCUAAUUUUUGCUUGUUUAAAUGUCUUCUCUUCCAUGAAUUGCUAGGGUAGCAUGUUUCGCCUAUGAAGUGAUUUAUCUUAUUCUGAAACAAUGACUUGAAGGCCAAAUAUGAUAUCUAUUCUAGACAUUUGAUCUCAAUCUUCAUCUUCCAAAUAUUACAUGCUUCUUGAGUAAAUCGUGUCAGUUUAUGCAUCCAAAUAGGGCUUAAGGAGAGCUAAUGAGAUUUGGAUUUAGGUGGCUAAUGGAAACAAAUUGAAGAGCUAAUGAGAUUUAGAUAUUUAGGUGGCUAAUGGAAACAAAUUGAAUAUUCGUAUAGUUUUUUAUAUUUUUAUUUAACAUCCUUAAGUUUCGAUAGCUUAGUGUAAUCAGUCCAAAGUAUUGGGGGUUCUGGCAUUUUUUCUUUCUCAUUUUUAAGCUUAAAAGAGGCCUUGUCAUUUAGCUGUAGGAUUAGGAGAGGUAGUAAAAUAGGAUCGAAUGGGAUAGGUUAUUCAUAUUGUUGAUCCUCUUAGUGCUUAAUUUCUUUCAAAGAUUGAUAUGGUUGACCAUGAGGAUCGAAAUGGCAACCUAAGAGGGGGGGUGAAUUAGGUUUCUAAAAUAUAAAUGCAAUAAAAUCAAUUUAAGAAAUCCACAAUAAGUAAAAUGAGAAGAGUAGGAGAAAUUCAAACUUAAAGAAGCACGCGAUCGAUUUGUUUUGAGGUUUAGUACUUUGCCUACAUCCCUGCCAACUUCUCAAUACAAGGGAACAUUGGAUCUCCACUAGAUGAUACUUUUGUGGACAAGGACCAAGCCUUUACACCAAGAAUCCUUCUUCUCACAUGAAGAUCUCACAAUUACACUUUCUUUUUUCUCUUUUAUAAAUUUUUUUCUCACUACAAUAUUCACUCAAAUUUAGAGAGAGAGAGUAGAGAGUUAACAAUAUUGAAUACUAUCAAUUACAAGCUGAAGGAUAUGGAUUUGAACCACCAAAGCCCUCUAUUUAUAGCCAAAAUUCAAAAAGUAGCCAUUUUAGCAAAUUAUGAACUUUCGGGUGCCCUAACAGGAUUCCGAGCGCCCGCUUCCGCAAUGAUACAUUACCAUCAUUCUGAAACUGCUCCCCAGAGUAUUUUCGGAUGCUCGGAAUAGGUUCAGGUGCCCGGUUCUGGCAACCAACUUCCACUCGCUCUGCACAGUGGAAAAACAACAUGCAAUCUUUGAAAUUCGGGAGCCCGAAUCAUCUUUUGGGCGUCCAAAACUGCCGAAAUCAUGAUUUGGUUCUGAACACUAAGUCUCGAAACACACAAACUGUUUAAAUCCAAUUUUUAGGAGUUUCAGGCGCCAGAAACCACUUUUGGGCGCCCGUGACCACUUCUGGGCGCACUUACGACAGGUUUGGGCACCUAGCUUCAAGAGUCCGAAUUUCUUCUACCUAUCCGAACAUGUACAACAUUAUUCGGGUGCCCGGAAACACUUCCGGACACAUAUUUGAGCUUUCCAAAUGCCCAGAGGGAUGGAUCCUAAGUUAGAACAAAUUCGGAUCCUACUUCUGGGCACCCUGUCCAGAGCCCGAAACCUGUAAUAUGCUGAAAUUUGAUUUUAAACAGAUUUGGAUGCUGUUUGGAUUUUGACAAAUAGAGUUUUGGCAUUCAUUUUUAGCACAUAUUAGAUCAUGUUCCAUUUUGGUCCAUGUGUACAUUUUAGAUGGUUAAAGUAUUCAGUUUUAGCUCAAUAAUUUCGACUCUAACCAAAAGUGAAUAAAGUUACAAAUAAGCUCUAAAAAGGAUUAAAUGUGAUCUUUUUUACCUUGGAAGCAUAAAUAGCUUCAAAUGAUGAAGCUCAACUCCUUGCAAUUUGCCCUCCUUGAGUUCUUUCAAAUUUGGAAGAUCUAAAUACAAAACUCAAGGUAAAUGUUCGUUCAAAUUUCACUAUUAUUUGUAAUCAUCAAAAUUUAAUUGUAGAUUAGGGCCACUAGGCCAACAGACCAUUUGUUUUGUGUUAAGCUGAAUUGAGUACAGUUGAUUACAAUGCCAGAUAAUCUUAAUUGGAAUGAAUACAACAUCUGAUGUAAUAAAAUAGUUUGACAUGAUGUUCACAAAAUUUAUGGGAUCUAUUAUUUUUUAAAUGUGACUUUGGAAGCAGAAAAUGAUUGCCGAAUUUGCUGAAGUACCGAAAGUAUGCAAGCUUUAUCCACUUUGUAGGGAUCAAGUGAUUAACCUGUCACGAAAGAUAUUUCUUUUGCAAAUAUUAAGGAGUCUUGAACUAGUUGAAUCUUUAAAAUUAUUUCCUCUUUCCAGUUGUUCAAAGCUUGUUUAUCGGGUGAUUCAGCAUAAAAGCAAAGUACAAGUGCCUCAUUAAAUCUUCAUAAAGUACAUUAUUCUUCAUCCGUCAAGUCUCAUGUAUAAACUACAGAGUCCUGUAACCCUUGCAGUGGAUGAGCUUACAGUAUUGUAGUGCUGACUGUUAUAGUGGAGCUUAUAGUAUUGCAGUGCUGAUUGUUAUAGUAAGAAUUCUUAUUGGCAAAUUUAGUUACUUAUUCUCAAUAUUUCGCAUAUCUACAUUGUCUUUGCCCUCUAAGGUGAAGAAGUGGGUAAUGGUUACAAAGCUUAUGAGACUAGCAAGAAGAUGAACUUAAAUUUUUGAGAUGAUCAAAACAUUGGAGCUGAUUGAGACUAGCAAGAAGAUGAACUUAUAUAAUUAAACUAACGUAAAAAAUAUAGGUGGACUUGGUUUGUGACUGUUACCCUUACUAAAUAAAACUAAGGCUAAGUCCACUACUUGGUUUGUCUUAAUCCAUUACUCAGUAAGGCUAAGGCUAAAGUUGAAUAAAACUAAGGCUAAGGCUAAGGCUGAGGCUGAAACUUGGUUUGUGCGGGNAUAAAACUUUAUAUAAAUUAAAAUUUAAUUUAAAUUCAAAUUCAUAAGUUAGAUUCAAAAUACUUGAUUAAAUUUUAAUUUUUAAUUUAAGUUCAAAUUAAAAUUUAAAAUUAUAUAUUUAAUUUUUAAAUUUUAAUUCAUAUUUUAAUUAAAAAAGUUGAAAAAAUAAAUUUAAUCCGAAUAAAUAUCCAUUCCGUCCGGAUUCAACUUCCAAUCCGGCCUCCUAGGCCGGAUUAAAAAAAGAGGUGAUUGGGGGAUUCCCAUUCCACUCGGGAAUCAGAAUCGGAAUGGGACUCCCGCAUACCAAACACUCACAAACGGAUUCACUCAUUCCGAUUUUGAUUUCAGGAUGGAAAUGAAGCGAACCAAACACGCUCUUAAAUUUUUGAGAUGAUCAAAACAUUGGAGCUGAUUGUCGGAAGAAAAGAAUAAAAGAUGGUAACUCAAAUUACAGGCAUGCCUAUCUUCGCAAGUCAUAUUUUCUCAUUAGGUUUUAUUGUAGAAAGUUAGAUAGCUAUAGUUUAUAUGUUUGCGCCGAUUAGACACCUAGGCAAGCUCCACUGACAUGGUCCCAUAUUUAACUUAUUCUUGCCGUGUGCUUUAGGUUGUUUUUUUUCUAGAGAUCUUUGUUAAGAGACAUGAUGUUUAUCCUUGUGAAUCAUUUAAAGUGAGUUAAAUUAAACUGGUUUGCAUCCAUGAAACAUGGUUUUAGGGUUAGUCUUGUUUCAGGGCUAGUCUUGAUAAGAGCUUGCAACAUUUUCUAAGUUUCUAGGAGCUGACAACAUUUUCUAAGAUUUUAGGAGCUAUUGACCUUGGAGGCUUGACUUGUGGUUGUAUGAAUAGUCUUCCCUUUCCUAUUCAUCGCUACUCUAUUGGCAUUGUAAGUGGCUUUAUUAUUUAUGGACUACACAUUCUAAACUUGAAUUAGCCUUGCAUGUCAAGUCAAUAGUUUUCCCUUUAUAUUAUAACCAUUCUCUAGAAUUCAAUAAUUGAGGCUAAGAAGCACAAAUACUUUGUGAUGAUAGUUGUGUUCCCGUUGCAUGUAUAGCUGGUUAUGGUGUCUAGUUCUACAGUUAGGCAUGUUUAAUAUUCCUCUCAACUUUCAAGAACUAUAUUGAUCGUAUAAUGAUAGAAAAGUGAAACAUAGCUUAGACACGUUAGUUAUGCAUGGAUUAAAGAGUAACUUUUUAGACUUAAGGAAGGUAGCUAGUAGGUCUCAUGAGCCUAUAGCCUGAAAUCAAGCCUAGUGUGUCCAGGGUAAUAAUAGGGAUGUUAGUUGAAUAUGUUGAAUCAUGUUAGUCUUCAUAUUGCGAUCAUGGAUUUAGAUUUACCUUAGAUAAAGGUUUUGGUGGGUCUUAGGCUCUUAGCUUAAUAGAGAAUUUCUUUUGUAAUUUAGUUUGGUGAAGAGAGCCUAAUUCAUGCUUAUCCCUUCGUUUAUGCAUUUAUAAAUGACCAAUGCUCAAAAAGGCUGAUUAGACUGGAUUAAUCAUGAACUGGUCUGGUGGCCCAAUUCUUCCCUGUUAAGAUAACCAGAGGUUCGACAACCCAUUUAAAACCAGAUGAUCUGGCUGCUUUUAGCAAGAAACAGGUGGAUUUUGACUGGAUUGGGCAGAUUGGCAUCCUUAGUUGAAUAUGGGGAAACACUCACUCUCGUCUGUUGAGAAUAUCAAAUCUAAGACCUCUCCUAAAAGGAAUAGAAUAACUAGCCCAACAACCGACUUACGAAUCUUAGGAAAUGAAAUUUCUAUACAUUGUUAUAAUUGUCCAAAGCCAAUGAUACUUCCUUGGUAGUCUAUGAUUCUUUAAUUCAACAUCUUUCGGUUUUCUGAAAAAUAGAUUUAUAUUCAUCUAUUUAUAAAUUACUCAUACUAGACAUGGAUAAUAUGUUAACAAUAAUUUUGGACACCGGUUUUGAAGAAUGACAGGCUCAAGGGCCACCGGUUCAACCAUUGGGUCAACCUAUGAUUGAUCUGUGACAUUAUAAUGACAUAGUAAAUAAUCAAUACAAUAAUAAUUAUCAUAUUUAUAUAAUAUGAUAAACUCGGUUUAUUGGGUAAGCUAAAUAUAGUAUAAUAAUUAUCUGGAGUAAAUAGUAGUAUAAUAAUCUCAUUAUUUACCAUAUUGACAUAAUAAAUAAUCAUUAUACAAGCAAAUAUUAGUAUAAUAAUUAUAAUAUUUAUACAAUAUGAUGAUAACUCAGUUAAUACCUUUGGAAUUAAAAAGAUUAGAUAGUUAGUUCUGGCCUAAUUUGUCAUGUAGAAUUAAGGACAUUUCUAAUUCUUAGCAUAUUGUUGUGGUAGCUCAGUAUGUUACUUAAACUGGGUUAAUAAGUUCAAUUGCAAUGUGCUAGCCGAGCUAGGUUAAGCGACUAAAUGCUGCUGGAACAUCAACUGUACAUUGAGGUGCCUUCUAAGCACUCUUAGCAUGUAUAUAAAAGGAUAGAUUGCACUCUGGCUUGUUGGUAAUUUUCGAGGCUUUGACAGAUACUCAGAAGCUGCCCUUGAGGCAAUAUGUCCUCUUAGAUAUGGUGCUUAUGGGUAUUUAAAAAGUGCUCCAUGUACAGUUGAUGUGCGAUGGACCCAUUAACACACUUUUAGAUACAUUCUGAGAUGGUGUGGCAAUAACCUAGAAAGGAAUUGUUUGAACCUCUAUGUUCAGAGGAAAACUUACUUAGUCAAUCAAGUUUACCUAGUUUGUCAUAUUAUAUAAAUGUUAAUUUAAUAUAUUAAUUGAUUAGUUGCUUAGUGAAUAUUUAUUUUGUCAUUAUUGUGACACGGUUUGAUUACAGGUUGACCAAACAGUUGAAUAGGUGAACGUUGACACUCAUUUUUUUAGGUUGGUGAGUGGGCCAGCUUUCAAACCAUUGGUUAUGAACUCGUGUAUACGAAUUAUAAUAUUUUCAGGAAUUUGCCAUGAGGGUCAAAUAUUCUGCCCCCUCCACCCACCCGCCCCUUCCCUCUCCCCCAACCCUUCUUCUAUUUUCUCCCUUCACCACCAUUGGUACAUGUACCUGGCCUCCCUCUUGUUCUACUAUAUCAUACAUAGAGGGCACUUCUUGAAUACUGUGGAAAGGAGGUUAUCACAUGCAGGAAACUUUAGUUGAUGAGCACUUGAACGAAGUUAUAUUAGAGAGAGAGACUGAUUUUAAUUUAAGUGAGAGAAAGAAGGUUUUUAUGCCUUUACAUGAUGAAUGAUGACCUCUCUCAGUUGCGGGUAUGAAGAAUGAUAUGCAUUGAGGUGGAACUGCAGAUAUUUAACAGCUUUGAUCACUGUUACUUAAGCAUGCUUAUAUUUAACAUUGAUGACAAUAAAAUAAUUAUUGUGAUUUGUAGGUAUUAUAUAUUUUUUUUCUUCUAUUUCUCUCAAUCGUAUUUCUAUGCGUCUUGGACACUCCUAAUGAUCUGUAGGCUUUUUAUCUUACUUUUCUUCCAUUUCUAUCAAUCAUAUUUCUCUGUCUUGGACAUUCCUUAUAAACAUUACUUGAGAAUUGAGACCUUUUAUCCAGUUUCUGUAACAUAAGCUGCAUUUCAAAAUUGUGAACGGGACAAAACAAAAGAGAGAGCUCGAUAUUGUGAUACAAACGUUAAAGCCCUUUGUUAUCCGAUGCUUGUCAUAUCAUUUCUGUUCCUCAACAUGGUAACAGUUGGUCUAUCUUUCAUUGCAUUGCACAUCAUUUCCUGUAUGAUUUUGCCUGUCUUGAUAGCUCUUCACUUAUUUGAUUUGCAUUGUUCUUUCAGGAAAAUCAGAUUGAUUUCUUUCAUAUAUAUCUUUUUCAUAUUGUCAAUCUUCCAACAAAAUGCAGGAUCUGGGGAGACCAAGGGCAAGCGGCAUUAGAGAAGGCCAGCAUAUGCUUGCUUAAUUGCGGUCCUACUGGAUCUGAAGCUCUAAAAAAUCUUGUGCUUGGUGGCAUUGGGAGUAUCACUGUUGUGGAUGGUUCAAAAGUUGAAGUUUCCGAUCUUGGAAAUAACUUCAUGUGUAUGUUUCUUAUCUCUAUUAAAACCUCUGCUUUUUUUUCUUGGUGAGCACUUAAUAUUCUAUAUUUGUCAGUGGAUGAAGAAUGUCUCGGGCAAUCAAGGGCAAAGUGUGUAUGCUCUUUUCUGCAGGAGCUGAAUGAUGCUGUCAAAGCCAAGUUUGUGGAGGAGUCUCCUACGACCUUAAUAGACACUAAUCCUUCAUUUUUUGCUCAAUUUACUCUCGUGAUUGCCACACAGGUUUGGUACAUUUUUGAGGCAGUGUAUACUUGAUCAUAUUUCUGAUUAAUCUUCUAAUCAAACUUUAAAAAUUUAGCUGUUUGGACUGACAUCUCAACAAUGAUUGGUUUCACCUAACAAACUCAAUUACAUGCUGUCUUUUUAUAAGGUUCAUGGAAUUUGGUUUAUUUUAAUCUCCAUUCCCACUACCAAAACACACAAAUAUUAACACACACAAUAGAAACAAAUGCCCCUAGGGUUGGCACGGCUAGGCCACAUAGGGCAACAUACUGUCUGCAUGGAUAGUGAUGCCCUUACAAGCUGCAUGCGUAGCAGAGGGUAUCUAAUAUUGUAGUUGGCAUAGCAGAAUGUGUUUUCUCACAAGCUAAAGUUGAUAGGGCUAGUGUGUGUCAAAGACCAUUUGUCUGAAGUAUUAAAGCCACAUUAGCACUUUCUAUGUUUUUACUGUUUCCUGUCCAUAUAAGUAGAACUAUCCAAGGGUAUCCAAUGUCGAAAUAUUUAGCUAUUAAAGUUUUCUCACUUCAUACACAAUUCACCAUGAGAUGCCAUCAAUUCGCAGAAGAUAUGGUAAUUACUGGUUUCUCAAUUCUCUAGGGAUUUUGUCACGACUCGGGGUUUUGUUUUUCUGUUUGAAAAAUGGUGCCUAAAGGGUUUGAAAUGCAACAAGCAGCCCGAGACUUGCACAUAUCCGCCACGUGCGUAGGGUUCAUCUAUCUACAUAGACAGAGUUUUCCCUAUACACACAUGGUGUCGAGCACAAGAUAAUACAAUCAACAUCACAAAUGUAUACAUGCAGCGGUUUGCUCUUUUGUAGAAAGAAAACAAUUAUACAAACAAGACUCAUACUAAACCAUACAAUAGGGAUGGCACAUUACUCCAAACGCCACCGACACAAAUCCCUCCAUAUCUUCGCAAUACAACAAACAUAGCCUCUUAUGUCUCUAAUCUCUGUUUUUAUAAAAUCCUUUUUAAAAUCCACAAUAAAAAAACCAAGUAUAUAAUCACAUCAAAACCGAUCGCCAUGCAUUAAACAAACAUUUACAACUUAACAUCUAACUGUACAAGUAAGCUUAAAAGAUUAAGCAUUCAUGAUAGUAUUAUGCAAGUUUAAAUGAUAAAGGGUUCAUCAACUAAUUCUAGGUGUCAUGGAGCUGGGACGAUGCUAACUAUCAGGCUUCUCACUAAGCAUCCCCCUUCUCAACACCCGAAUUACCUGUUAAAAAACAGAGUGUGAGAUAAACUGAAUGUAUCCAAGUGGGUACAAUGCGCUGGCCUAUUAUAUUUGACAAUGAAUAGAAGUAGGUAGAUAGACAUGGAAUGAAUUAGCAAUAUAUAAUCAUAUGAAUAAUGAAGCAGGAAUUAAAGUAGGGUAAUAUAAAGUCAUUGCUGAAGUAAAUGCAUCAAUAUAAGUUCUAGUGAAUUAUUACCCAAACCUCAGGCUCAUGCUAUAGCAAGUCACCUAGUCCACUCUACCGGUAAAGAACACCACAACAGCAUCUGCUGGUGUACGUGAUAUGUGUAGUAGGUCCAUGGCGGUCACAUUGCAGAAUUCUCAAAUAUCUCACGGUCCAACGACCGAUAGUUUGCAACAGGUCAAGAGACUCCCAACCAAGAUAACAACAGAGCCUCACAUCUACAGUGUGUGAGCAACUCUGAUCACCUACUCUACGAGUCAUGGAACAACUGGAAACAUACAGUCUAGUGCAAGGAAUAAACAACAACCAACUCAAGAGUAGGUAUAAGGGUAUAAGCAUGGUGUGAUACAAGUAUGGAAUAAAUAAUUGAUGAUAGUAGGAAUGACAAUAUCAAUGCUGCUAAAGUAAAUAGCCAGGCUCUACUGUACCAGUAUGCGGAUCUGAGCACCCACCUAAUCCGGUGAAACCAAAUAUACGAUCCUUGCUAAGCGAUCUAGGCAUCACCCCGGCCUAUAUCAAACACAAAAGGUCUAAUUAGCCCCUAGACGGCUAUCAAUUGAUGGUAAUGCAUUCGGUGCGUCGUUUUCUACCAAACGACCUUAGAAUCUGACUCCUGUUUUGCACCGGUUACAUGACCGACUCAACUAGCAAACACAAUUAGUAUAACACCUUAAUGCUGUCCGAAAACACACCAAUUUAUGUGUCGAAGCAGCCACGAGUGAAUUGUGCGACAAAGUGAUUGUUGGCACCAACUAGGCCGUAAAAGUGUUCCAACACACGCCAAAUUGGUCGUGAGAACCAACAGGACAAGAAAUAUAUGUUUGCUGUUGGUUUCAACCAGUGAGGCACCACCGAAAUGAUUGCUACACAUUGUGACGCUCGCACGCAUAAAUAGUGUGUCGUAACGACGGUUCUUCCGCCCCGAAAUGCUCCGGAAGUGCCGUUUGCAGCAUCGGGACAACACACAAUUCCUCAAUCAGCCCUAAGGGUUAAUUCCACUCGGAACAAGAGCAGGGCGGGGUCCCGGACAGUGAUAAGCUCAUCCGAGAGCGCCCGAGAAACUAAUUCAGCCGGGAGGUCUGAUUUCAGUUUACCAUUAUUGGUUUCGGUAAUGGAAAGUGUACGAGGUACACACUCAGCCUGAACAUGUCCCAAACUCCUUAUUUGAUGUGACGGGACAAUGGGAAAGUGCACGUGCUCUUAGACGGCCAGUAGGAAGCGAAUACAUGCUCCCAAAGCUAUGUUGCACAGAUACGGAUACGGGGAUACGGAUACGACACGAUACGGAUACGGUGAUACGACAAUUCCUAAAACUUGUAGGAUACGAUACGCGGGAUAUACUUGAAUAAAAUAUUAUUUUAAUUAAAAUUGUUGAUUAUAUAUAAUGAUAUAUUGAGAACGAUCAGAAUAUCUAGACUAUAUUAAGGAAUAUAUUCUAAUAUGCAUUAAUUUGUAUAAUUGUUCUACAUAUGUUCAUAAAAAAAGAUAAUCAAUCAUAUAAAAUAAUAAUUCAAAAAGUAUCAAACCAACUAUCAUCCAACUUGAUCAAAUGAUAACAAUAGAUAUGUAUUCGCACAAACUAGAUAAUUCGUCAUUCAAUAUAUGUCUGUUUUGUUAGUUCUAUUAUUAAAAUAGUAAUAAAAAAAUAUGCUAACAAUUUAAUAGAGAAGGAAAAAAAAAGCAUAUUUUCUAUAACUUUUGUUGCUUAAUGCUAGGUUGACAAAUUAGAUAAAAGAGAGUAAAUAUUGUGCGAAGAUAGAACGAGAGGGAGCGUCUUCUACCAUUCAAGAGCAAAAAGAUAGAUGAAAUGACAAAUUGAACAGAGAUUGGCGUUUUUCUUACUCUUUUCCUUCUUUCCAAUAGGUUUGGACGUGAGCUUUUAAAAAUUUUUUAAGUUUCGAUCAUUUUACACCAAAAAAGAACAAAAAAGAACAUGCCCAUGCCUCCCCCCCUUGUAUCUCCCCGUAUCACUCACGUAUCCGAGUCGUAUCCGAUAUUUUUUUAUUUUUUAAAAAUGCCGGAUACUUCAUUCCCGUAUCGGACACGUAUCGGGCGUGUAUCGCUAUCCGAUACGUAUCCGAUACGAGUAUGGCAUGAAAUUUGAAGUAUCCGUGCUUCAUAGUCCCAAAGUCUCAAAUAAUGUUGAUUACGGCUAUGGGACAACAUGCGCACAUAUAUCGAUUCUGGUUGAUCUCGACUUCGUAAAAUUCAGCCACGGGGGCAUGGGCGUUGAUCUCUGUCUAGCAAAAGACCAAACCCCAAGUUUUGGCCAAUUUCGACGAGGAUAUGUCACCUGAAGCCUCAAAAGUCAUCAAAAACACAACUGGGGCAGCAUGUGCAUGUGGAUCAGCCCUGGGUAGUUUCGAUCCCUCCAAUUGUACUCAAGAUGGCCAUGGAACACAUUCCGAGGCAGCAAGUAGCUGACCCAAGAGAUUCGACAAACAAUCGAGGGAAAUAGGCCCCUAAUUAGCACAUUAGACAACGAACUACGCGACGAUAGCAACUGCGCUAUGAAGCAAUUUACUGAUACUACGCAAACGAUAGAUAACGUAAUGGAGUCAAGAAGGGGUGGACUCGUUACGCAAGUUCAGCUUGGAUCUGAUCGGGGAGCACCGUUGACAAAGGAAGAGGGCUGGUGCGGAUUCCCAGGGGCGAAGGAACAGAAGGCAGAAGCAACGACGUCGUGAUUGAUGCAGAAAUUUUGCUGCUGCAGAAUUUCGGCCUUGGCUGAAAACGUGCAAUCAUCGGCUGUUUCAACUCGGCCAGGAGCAGCGUGGGUGGCAGUGCGUUCACCGGAGGAGAGGGGUCGACGACAGAAUGAGUUGGAGAAGACCCUGUUGCUGUGAUCUGCCAGCACGACACGACAGUAGUGAAACCGUCUAAAGAGGACGGCGGUUGCACAGGGAGGCCAUUGGUGAGGAGAUCAGGCAGCGGGGUUGGCUGGCUGCAGGGAGUGGUGUAUGGCGUGCUGGUUGAGGUUGCGACGUGAGAUGGAGAGAGAGAGAGAGAUCAUGAAAUGGAGAGAGAGAGAGAGAGAGAGAGAGAGAGAGAGAGAGAGAGAGAGAUUGUGGAAAGGGAGACGGACUGGUUCUGAACUCAUUGGCGGCUCGGUUUGGGUCAGCUAACUUAGGUUUUCGUGUUGCAAAAUUGCGCGACGUCCCUCUGACUGAACCUCCCUUGAAACGCCUCGCAUUCAGGUCCCCAGUUGACGACAAAAUCGCGCAAAAACCUCGAAGUUCGUCGUGUUUCUGCUGCAGUCCUGUGGACUGUGUGCGAAGGGUUGACUUCAAGAUGCUGCAGUUUCGCAAUGGAAAACUUGAUUCCGGUGAAACUUGGUUCAGCGCAUUCUUCUCUGAGUGUAGAAUCCAUAGAGUCCUUUACUUCUCAUUCCGUUAAAUAUUUUGCGAGAAAUUGCAUUUUGAAGGUGAAGUGGUCAGUUUCGUGUAGAAAACUGCGCACAUAUUCUGUUUUCAAGAUCCUGCAACUUUUCACCCAAUUCUGUUUUUGGCGAAACUUGGCUUCAAAAGUUUGCCUUCUAGCGUACUUCAACAUUGCAUUUUUUGUUUUCUAAGACUCGAAAUAUUCACAUAAAUCUCACACCAAGUGCAAUCUGCGCAGAAAAUUUCAGUUCAGACUGCUAUUUAAAUUCACAGUUUCCAAUCCGUUUCCACUCCAAAUUCCCGCAAAAUUCACACAGCUCUUAUUUACCUUCAAAUCAACCCAGUUGUUCAUAAUAAAACUUUCAGAGAGUGAAAUUUUACAUAAAAGUUCCUAAAUCAUAGAAGUUUACAAUUAAAACCCUUGGGUUCUAUAAAUUUGCAUGUAAAUCUGCCCACAUGUAUAAACAAAAGUUGAGUAGGCCUGCAUCAACUACUACCCUUCCCUAAACUCUUUUUUGUAAGCAAUUUUCUUCUGCCUCUCUUUUUCUGUUGAUAAGGAGGUUGAGAUCAAAUUUGCUGUUAUUGGAUAAAAGUAUUGCUUAUAAUGCAUCAACAUGGGCAAUGAAGUACUAAUUAAACCAGACAGCUUGUUGUGGUUCGUAAGUCAAUGUAAAGUUUAAGGAUAAAUAUUUGAAAUCCUUGUGGAAAUCAGGAAAGUAUCUUAGAACCAGUUGUAGAUGGAAGAUCAUAGUGGAGGUUGAGCAUGUUAAUGUUUAUUGCUGUAUGCCAAUUUAAUUGCUACUACGAGUAUCUUGUUUUCUUUAGUUGAUAAUAGAUGGAUCUUAGUUUCACAAAGUAAUCCAACUUUGUGUUGCUGAAUCGAAUGUAACUGUUGUUUUCUUGCUUGUCUUUUAUGCUGAUUGUAUGCUCUGCCAAUAUUCUCUGCUAAGAUCUAUUAUCUUCUGACCUUGAGCCUUGAGGUGCUCUACUAACAUCUGUAUCUCAUAUUUAGCCCUUCCUAAUUAAUACUGAUGGGAGUUUCUUUCUAUGUUUUGGCAGCUUCUGGAGAAUUCUUUAUUACUACUUGACAAGAUCUGUAGGAAAGCGAAUGUCAUGUUGGUUGUUGCACGUUCAUAUGGUCUCACUGGGAUGGUUCGAAUCAGUGUAAAGGUGAUUUACUAGAAUAAACCUAAUAUCUCAAACUUAACUACUAAAAUUUUCAUGUAAGUUGUAUUUUGGGUGAAAGUAAUCAUAACUUUCUUCUUUGUCUAUUAACAGGAGCACACUGUUGUGGAGUCAAAACCGGACCAUUUUCUAGAUGAUCUACGGCUACACAAUCCAUGGCCAGAACUCAAACAGUAAUAAUCGAGUACUUCUAUGUAUUUUUCUUUAAUGUGAUUAGAUGUCGUCAUUCUAUUUUUUUGAUUAAGUGCUUCUGAGUUUACUGUUUUUGGACAGGUUUGCAAAAUCUAUCGAUUUAAAUGUAACGGAUCCAGUGGUCCACAAGCAUACACCAUAUAUUGUCAUUCUUGUUAGGCUUGCAGAGAAAUGGGCUGAUGCACAUGAUGGAUGCUUGCCUUCGACAAGGCAAGAGAAAAAGGAAUUUAAGGUAUGUUCUCGAUGGCUAGUCCACUCAUUUAUUUUGGUCCUAGAGAAUAAAAUCCUGUAAUUAGAUUGCCAUGCUGUUGAUUAAGCGUUUCUUUUCUAUAGGAUCUAAUAAAAGCUCACAUGCUUAAUAUAGAUGAAGAGAACUAUAAAGAAGCUAUUGAAGCCUCAUUUAAGGUCUCCACAGCUCGAGGAAUUAGUAAGUUGGUGUUUUUGUCUGAAAAUUGAUGGUUAAGUGGAAUAAUGCUAUAUUAAGAUUUCAUCAAAUUUAGUCACUGUUACAAAAUUUUCCCCUUUUAAGUGGUAAAGGCAUCAGUUGUAGUAUACACAUUGAGGACAUUUGGGUUCUCUGAUCAGUGGAAUGCAGCUGCAGUUAAUCCAGCAUUUUUUAUAGGGCAUGCUUGCUAAUAUCAAGCAUCUGCAUCAAAUCUAUUUUCACUUCUAAAUUAUCGAGGGUAUUGAUUUUAGUUAUGCAGUCAUAGUCUGUCCUGGGCAUGUGGUAGUAUAUAUGUGCUUUAUAAGUAAGUGUGCUUGCAACUAAAUUCUGUUUGUCUUCGCUGUUAUUAUUUUACUGAAAAACUUUGCUAACAAUACUAUAUGUUGCCUUAUGUGAUUGCAUCUAGUUCAGUUGAAUAAGCAAGAUUGCAAUUAUUAUGUUGUAUGUAUUUAUUUAUGAAUGCUACACAUGCUUAAAAUUAGCUGCUCUGUGAGUGCUUUGGAAACAUUUGUUUUGUCUGUUCUAUGAUUUUAACCGUAAUGGAUGAACAAAAAUGAUAUAUUAAAUCAUAAUUCAUGCCUGAAUUCAUCAUACUUCUUUAGAUAGUUUGACUUCAUAUUUUACAUAUCUGGCUCGAAGAACCUAGAAAGAGUUGCAAGCAGUUGGCCCUAAAAUGCUGGCAAGAAGGUGUGGGGCAUUUGUGACUGUAUUUUGCUGAAUCUCUUGAUAUGUGUAGCAAUGCUAUGGUUAAAAUUUCAUAUUGGACCAAUAAGUUCUUGGUGCCACUUGAUAAACCAUAUUGUGCUAGCUUGGCCAGGCUUGUGCUGGGCCAAACAGUGCGGUGGUCCAAAAGGGGGUGCUUGGCAUGUGAGCUGUACACUAAUGGGCCACAAUUCAUAGCAUUUUGUAGCCCAAUUGCAGAAGCUCCGAAAUCGAAGCUUCUGCAGUAGGAAAAAAGGCAAAACUCACUCUUCUCUAUUAAUGAACUUAUGAAAUAUGACCAGAAUACCCUAAACAAUAAUAAUAAGUCAGCUCUGUCUAAAGUAAACAUUUCCUUUUGUUCAAAACAAUCUCUGUCUCUCUCUCUCUCGUGUUAAUUUUACUAAACUUUUGUUGGUAAAAGUGCAUGGAGAACUCUUCUAUCUACAAGCUAUGAAGCACGGAUACUUCAAAUAUCAUGCAGUACCCGUAUCGGAUUUGUAUCAGAUACUGAUACCCACCCGAUACGUGCCCGAUACGUGUCAGAUAGGGGAAUGAAGUAUUCGGCAUUUUAAAAAAAAUAAAAAAAUAUCGGAUACGGCUCGAAUAUGGGAGGGAUACGGAGGGGAUACAACCAUCUUCUUUUUUGAUCUAAAAAAGUUGUAACUUAAAAUUUUUCGAAAAAUUCGCAUCCAAACCUAUUGGGAAUAAGAAAAAGAGAGAAAAAUGUCAAUCUCUAUUCAAUUUGUCAUUUUUUCUAUCUUUUUGCUCUUGAAUGGUUGAAGGUGCUCCCUCUCAUUCUAUCUUCACACAAUAUUACACCAUGGUUCAGUCCUUUACCGCUUCUCUUUUAUUCUCUUUCGUCUAAUUUGUCAACCUAGCACUAAGCAACAAAGGGUAUAGCGAAUGAUUUUUUUUCUUCUAUUAAAUUGUUAGCAUAUUUUCUUUCAUUACUGUUUUAAUUAUAGAACCUAAUAAAACAUACAUAUAUGUUGAAUGGCUAAUUAUCUAGUUUGUGCAAGUAAUAUCUAUUAUUAUCAUUUGAUGAAGUUGGAUGAUAGUUGGUUCAUAUCUUUUGAUUUACUAUUUCAUAUGAUUGAUUAUUUUUCUUUAUGAAUAGGUGCAGAAUAAUUAUGGAAGUUAAUGUAUAUCCAAAUAUAUUCCUUAAUAAUUGUCCUCAAUAUAUCAUUAUAUAUAAUCAACAUAUAUUUAGAUAUAUUUAAAAUAAUAUUUUAUUCAAGUGUACCCCGCGUAUCAUAUCCUAGAAGUUCGAGGAAUUGCCGUAUCAUGGUAUCCGUAUCGUGUCGUAUCUGUAUCUCCGUAUCCGUAUCUAUCCAAUAUAGUCUACCUGCUAAUUUGAAAUAAAGUCUGGUCAACUAUUUUUUUUUCUUUUGUUCCCUCUUAUUUUGUUAACUAAAUUAAAAUUUUAAUCAUCCAAUUUAUUGAUGGUUUCUUCAAAUCUAAUUAUUUUAAUUAUUUUAAUUAUUUUUUAGCAAAUCAAAAUAGAAUAAUUAAUAGGUAAUAACUAAUAAAUAUUAAAUUUAACUAAAAUUUUAACUUAUUUAACUUAAAUCACUCAAAUUAAAAAAAAUAGAGGGUGUGGUAAAAAGAAAAGUUGAAGACAUCUAUACAAUGCACUAUAGACUAUAGUUUAGGGUACCUGUACUUUUAUGAAAUCAAAUUUAAUAAUUUUAAUUACUUUGUAAAAGGUAGAAUUAAAAUAAUUAAUUAGUAAUAAUUAAUUAAAACCAUUCAAUUAAAUUAAUAAAAUGUUUAAUUUAACUAAUUUGAAUAAUUUAACUAAAAUAAUCAAAAGUUAAAGGUGUCAAUUGAAAAAAUAAAGUUGGGCUUACACUAAAAUGGCCCACAAUUGAAAGAGUGAUUUGGAAGAACAGGAGGAAGAAAAUGAGGAAGAAUCUACGGAAGAUCAUAAAAUUCGUUCAAGAAAAGCCAAACGUGUAGUAAUUUAUACCGAUAACAAUCAGAAUGCCAAUCCUAUUACUACUAAAAAAAUACUACAAAUAGUGAUCAAGCUCUGUGUGUGUUUUCACCUGAGAAGGGUAUGUUGAUAAAAAAAAGGGUGGUUCCUCACACAUUUAUCUUUAAUUUUAUAGACUUUUUCCACACACUACAUUGGUUGGCAAUAUUUUAAUAAAAAUUUUGCCAAACAGCUUUCUAAAAUAGAUAGCACUUUUGUUGGUGAAUUAGUCAAACACUCGCCUGCUUUUUUUUAACAGUACUAUACUACUGCACGCCACACUUGAAACCACACUUGAAACCACACUAUACCUCACAGCUUGGGCAAGCAAGCUCAUUGCAUUAUAUGGGGAAUUCAUGUGCGAGCCAACAUGAGAUUCCAUUUUAUUACAUUUUGAAACUAACAAGUUCGAUUUCUUUUCUGCCAGGUUCUCAACUUCGUCACAUUAUUGAGGACAGUGCUGUUGAAGUCGAUUCAUCUUCACCAGAUUUUUGGAUCUUGGUGGCAGCUUUAAAGGUAAACUUCUUUUAUUUUUUCUCAGGCUCAGCAUGUGUUUCUUGGGAUCUUGUAUAGUUACGAUAUCUUCUUACCAAGGCAUGUCAUCAUAACUGAGUUUUGUGUGGUGUUUUCUUGUGCAUCAUAGUUGGCUGAUAGGUUUCCAUGCUUAGACAUUCUGGCCAAAGAGGAUUUGUCAGUUUAAAACUUAAGAAUAUCAAGCACCCUAAAUUGUUAACACAAGUAUCUCUCGUUAAUCCCUGACAAAGUAAGUGAACAAGGGCGAGAAGAGUAAGAACGAAGAGAGUAUAUGCAGGGGAUAAUAAAAUAGAGAGCAGCAGAAUAGUCAUAUUCUCAUGAUAUCAAUUAGUUCCUAUCGAUGUGAAUGGUUUGCAUAUUUUGUCAAAACUUUUUUGUUCUACUCCAUCAAAAUUUGAAUGUUCUUGAUAGUUGGAAAAAGCGAGUCGUAAGAUAGGGAUAAUUGCCAAAAGAUUAAGUGUAGGUCUUGAUGAUAAAGAGGCUUUGCAGAAUGCAUGAGACAUGAGGUCCUGCUACUUUCAGAUUUGACUAGGGUCAAAUCAUGGGUCUGUAACUUGGCUUGUGUCUUGGUUUUGGUCCUGAAGUGAAAUGUUCUGGACAGCAUUUUUUGGUCAUUAAUAGUCCAAAAAAUUAGGAAGAAAAUAGAUGAAAAAUUAUAGAAAAAGAAAAAAAAAGUCUUGAGAUAUCUGCUCGAAAUAAAACUUUAUAGGAGAGAUGGUAUUUAAAGUGUUCUAUUAUAGGGUUGAGUGGUCUUAUAGAGGAUGAUAUUCCUGUCACGGGUUGACAAUUUCUACCUAAAUAACGCUGUGGGUUCAUUUGUUUUUUUUUUGUGUACUUUCAGCUUUCCAUCUUAUUUUCUUUAAAUUGCGAUAAAAACUGUAGGAUCAAAAAUAUGGAAUCGAAAAUAUAGGAUCAUUGUAGAAUUACGACUUAGAUUGUAGGAUGCAUAGGGUUGUAAUGAACCUUAACCCUACCAAAAUGCUGUUGAGUAGGAUUUAAUUUUGUGUUUUAUUUUUUAAUGACUCAUGGGGUUUCACACUCACCCAUGGUUGUUUGUAUCUUUGUUUCUUGUCAUUGAUUUAGGUGGGUUGUUAGUAUUGUUGGGUCCAUGUUAAAUUUUUGAUGUUAUCUCAUAGUUUUGAAUAUUGUUUUUAUGGAUGAUCAUUCCUAUUUUCUUUGUGUAUGUGUAUUUUUUCGAGUAUGAAUUUGUUAGGAAAGAAGUUGUUGUUUACUGCAUUUUCGAAUAGUUCAUAAUCAGUUGGGUCUUGUCCUUUGUGUGGUGUCUUGCGGUGACAUGAUCUAACAAGGCUGUGCCAUUUAAGUUAUACUGGCUGUAUUGAUUUGCAUAUUAUGGAAAGUUUUUUGAGUUAACUUCAUACUUUGUCGAAUCUUAUGCUUUUAGAGUUCUGCAAUCUGAUCCUGGCAAACCUCUGAACAGUCCUUGAAGGAUUCCAGACUUGCCUUAUUUUUUAUCUUAAUGCACUUUUUAAUUUUUAUGGGCUAAUUACUUUAUAUCCCUGUUAAUUUUUAAAAUUCAUAUAUAUUAACUAUGAAAUGACAAAUUUAUCCCUCUAAGCUUCCAACCACUCGCAAAGUUUAUGGCGGAAAAUAUGCUAGAAUAAUAAAUUUGCUCCCUUAUAUUAACUAGUUAAGGGCCCCGCGCGAUGCGGCGGGAAGACAGUACAAUAAUAAAUUAUUAUAAUAAUUAAUAUUAUUUUUUUCUAUUAUGUAUUAAUAUUUUUAAAUAUUAUUUAUCUCAGUAUUGAAUAAUUAAAAAUUAAAAAAUAAAUUUAAAAAUAAAAUUAAAGUAUAUUUCUUUCUAAAAAUAUUUAAACCUAAUAAGUAAAAUGAAUAAAUCAGUUUGAAAUAAAAAAAGCUCAUUACAGUAUUAAGAAAGAUAAAUAAUAUUUUUCUAUCAUCAUCAAGAUAGAAUUUACGGAAAAAAAGAAAAUUAAGUGGAUUGAAAGUACUAUCUUUGGUAUUCUUUACGGCAACGUCUUCAUUGUGCUCUUAUUAACUUUUAUCGUUACACAUACAACUAAUAAAGUAUUCGAUUCUUGAAUUUUAAAUUAGUGAAAAAAAUCAGUACGUAAUUAUCAGAAGCACAAAAAAUAAGACUAAUCAAAAGGCAUUCAAAAUCAAAAUAGAUAUUUUUUACACUGUAAAAAGAUUCAACUACCAAAUAUUAUAUUAUUAUAUAAAUUAAUCUUUAAAAAAUUAUUUGUAAACUAAAGUGAAAUGCAUGCAAAGUGGCUCAAAAUCAACGGCUGAAAUAAAAAUCUUACAAAAUAUGAUGAUAUGACAUUAAAAUUUUAGAUCAAAGUUAUUGAUCCUGUUUUAUAUGGUAUAAAGAAUUUUCUAUCAAAAUUUCAUGUGAUUUGGAUAUUUCUACACCGUUAAACUUGCAGCCGGCUCACCACGGCCGUUAAAAUUAUUGAUUUUGAGCCCCUUCGAUCACUAGGCAAAUGAUAUCGAAAAAUCACAAAAUUUAUUUUCUAGGUACUUCAAAUACUCUAGAUCAACUCUAACGGAGCCGAUCGUCGAUUCGAAAGUCCGAACAUCGAAAACAACUUGGAAGCACAACUUGGAAGCACGGAGGUCUCCGUGCUUCCAUAAGCAUACUAGCCCACUCUAUAUAUAUAUAAUAAUAAUAAUAAUAAUAAUAAUAAUAAUAAUAAUAUUAUUAUUAUUAUUAUUAUUAUUAUAAUUAUAAUUACUGACGACUUAUCCGAGAAAACCAUCGAGGCAGGCCUCACAACAAAUGGCGGCCACAACUCGAAAUCUAAUCUGAUCCGAUUUAGGAUUCAGUGUUUAGUCAUACUUGAAAACAUCCCAAGUUGCGUUUGCAAAAAAAAAAUAUUAGGGACUAAAGUAAAAAUUGUGCGAAGGUUGGGACAAAUGGUACAAUUGACCAUCAAUUAAAAUGGAAAAAGAGNAAAAAUUGUGCGAAGGUUGGGACAAAUGGUACAAUUGACCAUCAAUUAAAAUGGAAAAAGAGUGUGGGACCCACAAAAUCCUCCGAAUAAAGAGAGCUCUUCUUUUGAUUUCCAAAUCAUAUAUUUAUAAAUUUUAAAUAUAAAUUGAAAUAUCAAAAUCAAAAUAAAAAAAUUAAGUUUGAAAUAAAAAAUUAGAUUCAAUUUAAAAUUCAAAUUUAAAAUUUAAAUUUUAAUUUAAAUUCAAACUUUAAAUUUAAAUACAAAACUUGCCCGUUGUGGGCCCCACUGAAGCCCCCGAUCACGGAAAAGGCUGUCGUAUAAUUUUUGUUUCCCCAGUUUAUAACUUUAAAUAUAGAAUUUUAAUUUCUAUAUGCGGCCCACAACCCACCAAAAUAAAAAGAGAUUCAGUUUAAAAUUUAAAUUUCAAUUUAAAUUCAAAUUUUAAAUUUAAAUUUAAAAUUUUAUUUUUUGUAUGUGAUCAACAACACUAUAAAAUAAGAAAGUUAGAAAAGGGAAAAAAAAGCAAAAGAGAGAGAGAGAGAGAAAGAGAGAGAGAGAGAGNAUAAAAAAAAAAAAAAAAAAAAAAAAAAAAAAGCCCGCCCCGUGCGGCCUCGUGUCUGCGCCGGCUCGCGCCUGUGCUCCCGUGCCUACGCCCGCGCCCGCGUGCCCGCCUGCACCCGCUCGCCCACCCCCGCUCGCCCGCUUGCGCCCGGCCCCUCGCGCCCCCUCGCGCCACGUGGUGCGAUAGAGAACCUCUGGUUCCCAAUUCAUAAGUUUACAAUUCAUAAGUUUAUAAAUGGUUGAAGGGUAAAUGUGACACCUCAAUAGUUCCACAUAAGAUAGAAUAAGGAAUUAUGUAUGCGAAUACAAGGACCAAGGGCUCUAGUAGUAAUAACCGGACUUAAACAUUUUGGGUUCGGUAGUUUGCGCUCAACGAGCUAUUAGUACUAGUGGGUUAGAUUGUUUCUUGUUACAUUUGAUAUCAAAGUUGGUUUGACAGCUAGAAGUUUGAGAGUUAAGUGCUAUACAGGACAAAGAGCUACACCACUAGUUUGGUGGUAGCUACCUCUUGAACCCGCAGUAGAAUUUCACAUCAUCUAUGGACUUGGAUGAGGAUGUUAGUGCCUAAACGGGAGGAGGAUGUGACGCCUCAAUAGUCCCACAUUGGAUAGGAGAGAUUGUGUAUAGAAAUAUAAAGACUAAGGGAUUUAGGAGUAAUAACUGGGCUUAAGCAUUUUGGAUCGGUGGUUUCGGCCCAACGAGUUAUUAGUGCUAGUGCGCUGGGUCAUUACAGUUCUGAAAGUUUAUAAGAAUACUAUUGAAGGAGACUGCUUUGCAGCGGGUAGAUAUAAAAAAAAUUAUAUUUGAACAUAAAAUUACAAUAUUUAUUUUGAUAUAAUGUAAUGCUCUCAGACAAAUAAUUAAGCAGAAAUAAUAAUAAGCAUGGUAAAAAGAAUAAUCAAUUCUUAAAAAAUAACACGGGUUAAUUACACCAUUGGUCCCCAACCUUUGCACAUUUUUUGACUUUGGUCCCUAAUCUUUUUCUUGGCAAUCAAGUUUCCAAUCUUUUGAUUUCAUUACAAUUAAAUCCCAGCCGUCAGAACAGAUGGUAAAAUUGACGGAAAAUAACAAGCGCCGCGGAGGCGCUGUGUCAGCGCCAACUAAUUAUGCAAUUUUAAUUUAAAUUUCAUAUUAUAAAUUUAAAUUUAAAAUUUAAAUUAUAUUUUAAAUUAAAUUAUAAGUUCAAAGCAAAAUUUUUUAUUUAAUAUUUAAAUUUUAAAUUUAAAUUUUAAUAUUUGAUUCAAAUUUAAAUUCGAAUUCAAAUUCCGAUUUUGUAUUUAAUUUUAAAUUCAAAUUCACAUUUUGAAUUCUAAUUCUAAUUUAAUUUCAAACUUUGAUUUGGAAUUUCAAAUUCAAAAUGUAAAUUUAAAUUCGAAGCUUAAAUUCAAAUUUAGAAUAGAAAUCAAAUCUCAAAGUCAAAUUUAAAUUUUGAAUUCUAAAAUUUAAAAUCAAAAUUUUGAAUUUGAUUUUAAAUUCAAAUUCAAUUUUAAAUUUAAAUUUUAGCUUCAAAAUUUUGAUUUUAAUGCAAAUUCAAUAUCAAAUCACAAUAAAAAUUUAAGGUUGAAUUCAAAAUUUAGACUCAAUUUAAAAUUUGAAUUUCAAUUCAAAAUUUUAAUUUAGCUUUAAAUGAAAAUUGUAGUUUUGAAUUCAAAUUCAAAAUUCUAAUUUUUGAUUAGUUUUAAUUUAUUUAAUAUUAAUUUCGAGUUUAAAUUCAAAAUUUUGAAUUUUUAUUUUUGGGGACUAAAGUGAAAAACAUGCAAAGUUUAGGGACCAAAAUUAACAUGCAAAAGAAAGCCACGUAAGCGCUAACAUGACGAUUCUGUUAAUUUUAACCUCUAUUUUAACGACUUGGACGUAAUUACAAUGAAAUCAAGAUAUUGGGGACUUGAUUGCCAAAAAAUAAAGUUUGAGGACUCUUAAGUGAAAAAUGGUGCAAAGGUUGGGGACCAAUGAUGUAAGUAACCCAAAAUAACACCUAAGGAGGUGUUUGGUUGCACGUAAAACCGUAAAAAAAAUGGUUUUCUUUGGAAAAAAAUUUGUGGUGAGAAAAGAAUUUUAUGUUUUGUAGUGUUCGAUUUGUAAGAAAAAAAAAGUUUUCCAUCAACAUUUGUUUGAUUGAAAGAAAAAAAAUUCACAUUUAUUUGGGUUGAUGAAGAAAGAAGUGAAGAAAAUUUGACGUUGCUUGAUUUUUCAUGUUUUGCUGAAAAUCGGCAGAAAACGAAAACAUUUUUUUUCUCAAAUCAGCGUGGUCGUUGAUGCCGUCACUGUCAUGAUCGCUGCUGGUGCCACUGUCGCGACCGCGCUGGCACCACACAAUCCGUUGCUGUCCCUGUUGUCGCCCAAGUCACUGCUACGGUCGUCGAAGCCGAUUUCAAAUUCCCUCACAAAAAAACUUUCAUUUAGACAGGUUGAAAGAAAAAAAAAAUAUUUUAAAAAACAAACAAUACCAAUUAUUAUUUAAGUAGAAAAAGAUCAGCCCCCUACUUCACCACUAUAAAUAAAGUAAAAUAAAAAGCUGAGAGGGGACAUUACCUAAAUAAAAGCUUUUUUUUUUUUGUGGGCGCUCAAGCCGUUGCGAUUGCCACUGACGCCACCCAAUCUGUCGUCCGCUAUCGCCGCCCAAUCUGGCGCCGCCACUAUCGCCGCUCAAACCGCCAUCGCCGCUCAAACCGCCAUCGCCGCCACUGAAGCCGGUUUCAAAUCCCCUUCACAAAAGAGGUAAUGAGAGAGAGAAAAGGGAGGGUGUGAGGAUUUGAUAGUGUGGGUGCUUAUAAAAAAGAGAGAAGAAUUUAGAGAGAUAGAAAGAUUUGGAGAGCGAAAAGGAUUUAGAGAUAAAUAUUUUGAGAGAGAAGGAUUUAGAGAGAGAUAGAAAGAUUUAAAGAGAGAUUUCAAGGGAGAAGGAUUUAGAGAGAGGGAAAGGAUAAUCUGAAGAGAGUUAGAGGAGAGAAAAAAAAAAAGAGGGGGGAGAGAGAGGAGAGAGGGAAAAGGGGAGUGGAACAUGUAGAGAGUGUAAAGGAAAGCGUGCCACGUGUCUAUGAAGGAACUCUCAAAUUAUAGAUUGUAUAGAUAUCAUUAAACACGAGUGCCUUCGUUGUUCCCACUUUACUGUAAUGAUUCUCAUGUACUCUUUUGCUUCUUUUCUUAUUACUUUUGUUUGCAUCAAUAAGCUUAUGUUUUAUUAGUAGGCCAGUGUGACGCCCAGGUAGUCCUAUAUAUAAAAUAUAAUAGGGUUAAAUCUCUUAACCCGGUUAUAGCAUUUUGGGCGGUGGCUAGGCCCAAGAGAUUAAGAGAGUUAAGCAUGUUAGAACUAGAGUAAUCUUAGGAUGGGUGACCCCCUGGGAAGUGGGGCGUCACAGCUAAUCAAUAUUUAUGUUAGUUCAUGGUAAAUUUGCCCGAACAAACUCAAGAACUAUCAAUCUUUGUUAUCUCACACUUGCCAUUUUAACUCACCAUUUUUCUAUUGCUCUUAGCAGGAAUUUAUUGCAAACGAAGGUGAUGGAGAGCCACCUCUUGAGGGAUCUAUACCUGAUAUGACAUCCUUAACCGAGUAAGUGACUGAAAUCGAAAUUCAGUAGCUUAAUACUUUUGUUUAUACCUUCUUUUAUAAUGACUGUUGCGUUGUUACUUGUACAGAUAUUAUAUUAGCCUGCAGAAAAUCUACCAAGCGAAAGCUGAGUCUGAUUGUCUUGUAAUAGAGCAAUAUGUGAAGAAUAUCUUAAAAAGAAUUGGUAGAGACCCCGAUUCUAUUUCCAGGGCAUAUAUCAGGAACUUCUGUAGAAAUGCUAGAAAGCUCAAAGUAAGUUUUUUUCUUUAAUCUUUAUCGAAGUAUAUCUUUUUAAACUGGUUGUGAAUGUCGGCAGUCUUAUCUUUAGUUCUGUUUAUUAAAGUUAUAAGAUACUUUGCCAUGGAUCUGAGUAUGAUACUGCAACUGCUUGUUCUGAUAUUUUGGAGCUUUUAGCUAGCUGCCAAACUUGUAACUUAGUUGAACAUUAUUUUAUCUGCUUAUGCUGAUUUUCUGACCACAUGUGAUCAAAUUUAGAUAUAUGCCACUGUUAGUUCAAAACUUACAAAUGUUCUUGGCUAGUUGGUAUUAACUUGUCAGGUGUUGCACUUACUAGCUUGAUGGAACUAGAUGUUUCCUGACAAGGAUUUUUUUUCUUCUUAAUUUUAUGCAAAAAAUAAAAAUAUACACCUAAUGCUUUAUUUGUCAACAAAUCAUAACUUCAAUCGCAUGAAUUUGGGUUUCAAAAGUAAAAGCAGAAUUGUUGCCCAAAUGAGGCCUUAUUUUGCAGAAAUCUGUGAGGUGGAGUAGGAAAACUACUUUUGCCGUUGGCCUACUGUUGUUUUCAUUUUCAUUUGUGCACACUUCUGGUAACUUUGGGGCCAAAUUCUUGGUUUAUAAUAUCUUGUUGAUGCAGCAUCUUAGAAAUUUCUGAAUGAAGAACGCCAUCCAAAGAUCAUUUGGGAAUCCCAGAAACUAUCUAAAUGAAGAAAAAAAUGGAAAAUACGUCUUGUAAAUGUUUUGAGGUGUAGAUAUUCAUUUAGUUACUUAUUAGCCACUAAGCAGCUUUACAUACAUAUGAAUACUUGUUUUGGCUUGUGCCUUCACUUGAAUGACAGUUUCUCUAGCUUCAUGACAUUUCAAAUUUGGAAAAAUCUAAAACAUUUUUGAGUAUGGAAUUUUCUGUUGAUGUUGAUGUAUGUUUUUUUUUUCUUUUGGAGGGAGAAUUUCAUUUGUACCCCCGGAAUUUCUUAAAAUAUCAUAGAUAUCCUUAUAAAAUUAGAAAGUACAUACUACUACAAAUCUAUAUAACUACAUCAAUUCCCUUAUCAUGUCUCGCUGUUUGUAGGUGCUAGUCUUACUUGAGUUAGAGAAUGGUUUAAUGCUAGUUGACUUGCUAAUUGACAACUUUACCCUUAGCACCUUUGUUUCAAACUGUAAAGGGUUAGGUAGCUCUUUUGAGGAGUCACCAGUCUAUUGUUCCAUCUCCACUUCCCUGAUUCUUGCACCUUCCCUCUUUUUUUUCUCCCCACAAUUUGUGCCCUUUUUUUUAUACUACUGUAACAAGCUCUCCAUGCGGUUGAUGUUGUGGCUUCUUAUCCACACCUGCCAUGCGAGCUUCUUCUACCGGAGUCUUUGUCAUUGAUGACAACAACUUCAAUUGCCUACUCCUUUGCAAGCUUUAUAGUGUUGCCCUUUAUUAGCUAAAUUUUCUCGUUGAGUAAAUUAUUUAUUUAUAAGAAAGGCAUUGUUGGCUAAAAAAAUAAUUAAAUUUGUGGAUGCCUUCUGUAUAAUCAUGUGUUUGGUGGUUUUUUUUCUUUCAACCAGUAGUUAGAAAGGAAAAGGAAAAUGAAAAACCUCUCUUUGAAGUAGUAGUUCUCUAGCUAAUUCUAACCUACCAUUGAAUUUUCAACUGUGCCGCCAUUAACUUGUUGUUUACUCAAGUCAUAAGACUGUAUAACAAGGAGAAUGUCUGAUUUUUGGAGAUUUCUUUGUUUAAAUUCUUUGCUUAUUUCUGUAUAACAAGGAGAAUGUCUGAUUUUCUGAGAUUUCUUUUUUAAAAUUGUCUAUUUAGUACUUCUUUUAACUCUUGAAUUCACUUUACUCUCAUAUGAGGGUAAAUUUGGAAUUUUAAGACUUUGGUCAAAUAUGAACAGAUCAUCUUCUUUGUGGGUAGUUAUGAUAAUUUAGGCUCUUUACAAGGCAUUUGUGAUAUUUCAAAUUUUGUGAGAGUAUUGCUGAACUUAGUGAUCACUAGAGGGGUAUCUAAGAAAUUUAUUUCCUUUUGUUUUAUCUGCAUGUGCAGAAAAUUCUGGUAUGACCUUUCUUAAAUAUAUUUAUUUUAUAUUUUCCAUUUAUUGAGAGAUUUGUUGUGUUGAUCCUAUCCAGGUUUGCAGAUACCGUAGCAUUGAGGAGGAGCUUAGCUCUCCUGUUCUACCAGAAUUGCAGAAGUAUUUGACAGAUGAAGAUUACUGGUUAGUCUCUUGUCAUGUGUUGCACUUGAUUCAGUGUAUCCUGUAUGGUGAAAUGCACUACUAGUUUUUUAUUUCUACUCCAUAACUUGUUUAUAAUUUACUGAACUUCUGAAAUGUGUCAAAAUCAAUGGCUAUAAUAAGGACAGUGUCAAGGUUUUCUUUUAGCUUCUGAAACUUCUACUAUGAUUUAUUGACGAUUUAUUGACGCGCUUGAAAAGAAAAUUCACUGGUCACUCUUGACUCUUAAACACUUCCCAGUGUGAUCUGACUUUCCACUUUUAAGAUCAUUUUGUUGUGUAAAUUUUGGGUUUCAAGUUUCUCUUUCAACCCAUGGUCCACAGCUACCAAUUUGAUGAUUUCCGUACUAUAUGACAAAGUUUAAAAAAUGUGAAAAAGAGAAUAACAUAGUCAAAGGAAAACUGAGGCCUCGAUUGGUAUCGUUUUUGUUUUGUUUUUUUUGUUUUUGUUUUUAUGGUCUUUCCUUUUCUUUUCCGUUUUUUCUCUCCAGUUUUUGGUCGUUUUACUCAGCUUAAUNCUGGCUAAGUAAUAGAUAAUAACUUGUUUAAAAAAAUUUUGGAAGCAAAAAAAGGUUGCUUUCAAAUUUUUAUUUUUUGUUGCCAAGUAAACAUUUUGGAUGAAGGAUUGCAAUCAAUCCACUAUUCACUCAUACACCUUUAGAUAUACAAAAUUCUAUUUACAAAAAUAAAAAGCAACAACAGAUUUUGGUGCGUUUAGAGAAGCCAAUCUUAUGCUGUAGUUUCGGUGGUGAAUAUGGAAUGCAUGUGAUACCCUAACAGUCUACAUUGGUGAAGAACUAUAUGUUGGUAUAAAAGAAAAAGUACUUUAGAAAUGAAUUGCGCUAAGCAUUUUUUUGGCCGGUGUUAGGCUCAACAAGUUGCUGGUACUAGCGUAUUGGGUUGUGGUUUGUUACAUUGCGUAACUAGUAAUCUGGCACAAGUUUGAAAUCUUAGAAAUGAACAGUAUCUGCAGAGGCAUUUAUCUGUAUCUAUGUUGCAGUUUUGCUGUUGGCUUCUAUAUCCUACUUCGUGCUGUUGAUAGGUUUGCUGCCAAUUACAACAGAUUCCCUGGCAUCUUUGAUAGGUAAUUUCAAGAACUCUUUAAUUCCUACCAAAUUUUUAAGGACAAAGAUGAACUUUAACAAUGUUAUUCUGGCUUUGGGCAGCGAAAUGGAUGAGGAUGUAUCACGAUUGAAGUCUAUUGCCCUUUCUAUAUCGAAUGACUCGGGCUUCCAUGGUUCCUCAUUAUCAGAGGACCUAAUUAAUGAAAUGUGCCGAUUUGGGGGUGCAGAACUACAUGCUGUUGCUGCUUUUGUUGGGGGAGUUGCUUCCCAAGAAGUAAUCAAGGUUUGUUCCGCACGCAAUUUCUUGUCAGCUGAUCCAUUUUCUAUCACUAGUUCUUACUUUUCUUUCUUUGCCCUUUUUUUUUUUUUUCCUUUCUGUGAAACUGUUUCAGCUCCUUACUAAGCAAUUCAUCCCAUUGACUGGGACAUUCAUAUUCAACGGGAUUGAUCAGAAAUCGCAAGUUUUAGCCUUGUAAUUGUUAGGUAAAUAAAACAUAACCCUAUUGGUUUGAUUUUGUGAAACUUUGUUUCCUCGCAGUCGAAUAUUUGGUUUGAAAAUAAGCUGUUUCUGCUUUCUAGCAAUUUGCUCUAAUUUACGUUUGGGUAUGGAAGGUUUACAAGUCAAGAAGAGCAAAGAAGUUCAUGUCUAAGUGCCCUUUCGGUUGAUCUUUCUGCUUUCAAAGGGCCACACUGAAAUUUUGUAUGCACAGCUCAAACUAUGAUAUACACCGGCCUGUUCGAGGUGCUUCCUCUAAUCGUAUAUUCAGCUGAGAUAGCAGUGAUCUCAACUUUGGAGAGGAUCUGAUUAUUGUAAUUUGAACCUUGGUGUGAUAAGAUGAUUGAAACAUGCUUAAGCCUACGGGUUAUUCCAAAUUUUUAAUGGAAAAAAAAAAGAAAAAAAAAAAAAAGAUUAUCUAGCAAUCUUCAUUAAAUUCUUCCUAUAUGAUUAGUUUGACAAUAUUUUGCUUGCUUUCUGAGACUAAUAUGUGAUUAAGUACGGCCGAUUAUUUAGUGCUUUUUUUUUUUUUUUUUCUUUUUUCUUAGUGUAGCUUAGGGAGUAAUGUGACUAAUAGAGUUUUAAUCAUGGUGAUUUACAAAAUCUUUUCUCCCUUGUAUGGAUGAAAUUGAUAGAACUGCAAAUUUUCGGCCUCGAGUACUUAAGUUACCACAUGAUCCAUGGAGGAACUGGGUAAGCAUGAUAAUUGCCUUGAAUUACUGAUAGAUAAGUAAUUCACUUUCUUUUUCCCAGUUUUGAAAAGAUAUUUAGGAGUGAGUUGCAGGGUGGUAUCAAGAAAAUUUGAUUUUGAGCCCCUUCGAUCACUAGGCAAAUGAUAUCGAAAAAUCAUGAAAUUUAUUUUCUAGGUACUUCAAAUACUCUAGAUCAAGUUUAACGGAGCCGAUCGACGAUUCGAAAGUCGCAACAUCGAAAACAAGCUGGAAGCAUGGAAGGCUCCGUGCUUUCGAUAGCAUAGUAGUCUUACUCAUGAUAAAAAGUCUAUAAUGUAUAAUACAUACAAUUAAUAUUAUUCUAGCAGGGCUGUUAUUUUAAUGUAUUAUAUUUUAGUAUCUAAUGUGGCACAAUGAAAUUAAUUUGGGAAUUGUUUUACGGGAACUUUUCUUAAAAAUAAUUCUAUAAAUAUUUUAAUUUUUCAAUGUUAUUUUUUAAAAAUUAUUUGGUCAACUAAUUCUCCUUUGGUAACUCAAUGUCAUGCCGGACAAACAUGAGAGAGAUGGUAAAUGGUUCAGUCUAUAGAAAGUGUUGAAUUAUUUAUUGUUUUUAGGUUGUUUUCGUUGUUUAUAUGGUUUUUUCUUAUUUCUUUUACAGUUGCGCGAGAAUUUUUAUGAGAUUGUUAGAAUUGUAAGUGGAUUAUUGGAGUUUUUGUUUGAUUGUCAAAAUUUUAUAAGUAGGUUAAUCAGAUUUAUUGGGUUGUUAGGAUUGUUGUAAUUUUGCAGAAUUUUUAUAUGAUUGUUAGGAUUAUAUAUGAAACAAAAAUAAAUGAUGAGCCGUUCAUCUUUUUUUUAUAUAUAUAAAUAUAUAUAUAUAAAGAAAUAGAUGGUAAAAUAAUUUGCCGUCUUUCAAAUUUAUUAACCGUCUUUCAAAUUUUAUAUUAAAUAUGGUGAACGAUUCAUCGAUUUUUUUUCACCCUCGUACUGAGUGUGGGACAAAAUAGGGUUAUUUGGUAAAAUAGAUUUUGAUAGUGUCAAAGAUAAAUUUUAAAUUUUUUUAAGGGUUAAUUUGAAAAAAGUGUCAUUUUCUAUGGUGUAAACGUUAUAGAG
rnacentral:lncRNA from 1 species